rnacentral:lncRNA from 1 species
AAAUUCGGUCCCAAAUCCAGGCCAACCACUUCCAAAUCUUACAACACUGGGGGGCAAAAAAUUUUGCGUACCCAAACCUGAGGCUACAGAUGAAAAAUUGACGGCCUGUAUAAAAUGAGUUUGCAAAGAGGGAGGUGUGGAUUGUGGUCCAAUUAAUCCUGGAGGUGCAUGUUCUCAGCCCAAUGCUCUUAGGUCUCGUGCAACCUGGGCCAUGAAUGCUUACUUUCAAAUAAAGGGUAAAACUGACACACUGUGUGGUUUUUCGGGCACUGGUGUCGUCUCCUCCACUGAUCCAAGUAAGUAUUCAACAUUUUUUGAUUAGUGUAAAGAAUUUUGAAUAUUAUCAAAUCACUUUGAAGACGAAGAAUUUUUGCGAUACAUACUGACAAUGUUUUGUCAGAUCACCGAUAAAAUAACCACGUAUAACUCAGCAUAGUAACCAAGAUUAGUAACCUAAAAUAUUAGGCAAACAACUGAAAUAACAGUUUAAAUUAUAUUGAUAGUGUAAAAGUUUUUGAAAUUGUAAGCGUAUGUAAGUUUUCACAACAUUAAGUGUUUAGUCUCUUAUUAUAAAAUAAUAAAAUAUUGAAUUUGAAUUGAAAUCAAAUUUAUAAUUAAUAGACCGUGAAUUCAAUAAGAAAACUAAAAAUGGAGCAAUUCAGUUCUAUCCUAAUACAAUUUUUGUUAAUUAGUCCCAUGACAAAAUUACAAUUAUACUCAUUAGUAAGUUUUCAGAUGGAGAAAAUCAUAAAUUUAAAAGGCAAAUAAGCCAAUCGUUUUUUAGUGGAUAUUUUGGUAAGACAACAUUAUUAUUCUUGAUUCUAUAGUAAUAUAGACAGAUAGAUGUAAAUUACAUCUACUUAUUGUUUAGGCUAUUUAAAUAGUGUAAAAAGAUCUUCUGUUUUUUAGUUUAUAAAAGUUAAAACUCUGACGAUAAUUAUUGAUAUUGUUCAUGAUAAGUAAAUUAGUAACUAAUCUGACAAAUAAGAUAAGUAACUUGUUACAACAUAUUACAAUGCAAUUCACAUCCAAUAUUUUUAUCAUAAAACAUUCUUAAAUAUUUUAUUGAAAAUCUAAUGAUAGUUGUCCUAAUAAUUGUUUUUUUCUUUUUUGUAGGUUAUGGUACAUGCAAGUACCAAUCUUAAGUUUUUCGGACCCCAAAAGGAAGAUUUUGUAGCUACUCCAACAUUUGAAGAAUUAGUUUUGAAAUAUUAAGAAAUUGUUUCAAAAUUCUGUAUUUAAUUUUCACAAACUAAUCUAAUUAUGUUGUCAUGUAGUAUGUUGUUAUUACAAAUUAAAAAAAUAAAAAAGAUUGUUGCCUACUUAAUUUUGCAUGAUCAAGUUUUAUUUAUAUUCUAUCUUUUAUACUUUUUGUUUGAUAAAUUAGGUGCAACAUUCUACUAAAACUAAACAAUGCUAUUACUAUUUGAAGAAUUAUAUAUUUUUUUCUUUAACCGUGAUUUACUUAAUACUAAAAAUAAAGAAAGUACAACAAAUAUUAAGUUAUUCAGCUUAUAAAAGUUAUGAAAAAGCUAAAAGCUUAUUGAAUAAUCUUUGUGUUAUCUUUCAAUUAGAACUAUACAUAGAAUUAAAAUCUGAAAUUGAAUCAUAAGCUAUAAGAAUUAAGUUCUUAAAUGAGAAAAAAAAGAGGACAAGUUUUAUUUAUUUUUAAAACAUCUCUUAUCUUAGACCAUUGGAACUUAAAAUUUAUUUAUAGAGUAUUUGUUACAGCUCAAAAUAUGAUCAUGACCGGUGCUAAGGAGGUUGGAAUUCCGAAGCAAGCCUCUUUAGUAUUCUACAGAAAAUUGGACAGGAGUUUCCACUGUUUUUGGGUCUAUCAAGAAAAUUCUGUCUCAAAUCAACAACACAGCCACUCAACAUCAUAACCAAUAAUACCAAUACAAUUUACCAAAAUCAUCAACAACCCAUUCACCACAAAUAACAUUCGAUAUUCAUCUCCAAACUAUGAGAAGAAGUCAAUAACUUCACAAGUCCAUAAUAACAAAAGAAUACGGAAACUCUAAAGACAUGACUAUAGAUCGACUCUAAGAGUUUUCAAUGUGAAUAAGUGCGGGGCUUACCAGGAAUAUGUCACAAUCUAAGGCUACUCCCUAGUCACGAUAACGGUGUUUACGGUCACAAGUGACCAUAAGCUAAUCCAUGAGCUGGUUCCUGCUGUGAGCAUGAGUAUAAUAAUAAUAUAACACAUUUGUGGAAGAUACAUUGAGAAAAUAAUACCAAUCUGACUAUUGAAAAUGUGGUUCAACCACAAGUUUGAAAAAUCUGAUGAAAUACUGGAAGCUAACUGUCAAUUUAAAAUAAUGGAUAAUACUGAAAGGUAUGGUAAACCGAAUAACCAUCUAACUGACUGUCUGAUUGUCUGAAAAGUCUUUAACUGAAUGACUGAGGAGUUGAUGAGACAAACCCCCAACUAACUCCGAAUGACUGAACAUAAUGAAAUUCUGAAGUGCUGGAUGAGAAAUAAUAUGUCCUCGAUGGAUGAAGACUCACCGCUAGGCUGCUGAGUAGCGCUGGCUGUCUAACUACGUCGGGAAACUGAGCCUUUAAACCUAUGAUAUAUGACAUCCUGAAGCAAAUAAGAGUAUACGUUCAAUACUUUGAAUGUAUGCGUUCAGUACUUUGAAUGUACUGGUAUAUGAGAUGAGCUCAGACUGAUAUACAUGGGGUACUACAUAUAUUAAAGAAUGACUAACUUAAUGACAUGCGAUAACUGAAUAUGAAUGCAUGUAAAUUAUAACAUCUGAGAAUGCAUGACUAAAUAUAUAUCUGUUAUGUUACUGAGAUAAUCUAAAAUCUGAAAGACUGAAAAGUUGUAAACUGAACAUAUGAAUAUCCAUAAAGAUCAUGACCCAUCAAAGCUCGCUCUAAUGGAUCAUCCGACAACAACAAAUGUAACUUAGAAGCAAGGUCAGUAACCGAUAUAGAUGACAACUUUUCAUAUAUAGCUGGCAAUUUUAGUGCCUUAUACACAUAAAAAAUCUCCACUUUAUCAUGUGCUCGCAUUGUCACUUUCCUUGCUGCUACAUCAAUUAGUGACUAUCCCAUUACUAAGAAGGGUCCUCCCAAAAUAAAUGGGACCACCGGGUCAGCUUCGAAGUCUAGAAUAACAAAAUCCACAGGAAAGAUCAAAGAUCCUACUUGCACUAAAAUAUCUUCAAUAAUACUAUCAGGCCUAGCAUGGGACCUAUCAACCAAUUGAAAUAUGAUAGUAUUGGGUUUAGUACUCCCAAGAUCCAUCUUCCGGAACCAUAACGUGGGCAUAAGAUUAAUACUUGCACCUAAAUCGCACAACCCAUGAGAACUUAUAACCUGUCCAAUAGUGAUCUGCAAGGUAAAACAGUUUGGAUCUUUAUCUUUGUCGACAGUUUAUUUUGUAUCUUCGAUGUGCACUUUAGACUAAGUGCAACUGUCGCAUAUUAUGUCAACCAAUUUUAUUUGCCAUUAUAUCCUUCAAAUACUUAGCAAAUUUUGGCACGCUUUGUAGAAUAUCAACAAGAAGAAGAUUUACUUGAACCUAUUUUAAGAGAUCCCUAAACUUCUUGUAGCUUCUUUCUCUUGAUGCUUUCGUUGUAUAUGAGGAAAAGAGAGGGGUAGAGUCUUAUUUUCCCUUUGAAUUUCCUCUUCUGCAUCUUUUUCUUUGACUGUGGUCUCCUUUUUAUUAUCCUCUUCAUCAUCAACAGCAGUGUGACUAUCUUUCUCAGGCUCUUUCUGACUCAACUGCAAACCACUCUUUGUUGUAACCACAUUCACCUACUUUGGAUUUGCCUUUGUAUCACUAGGCAAACCCCCUAGAGGUCUUGUAUUCUGUGCUCAUAUAAUUUGUCCAAUUUGUAGCUCUAAAUUCUUUGUGUUCAACUGUUGAUUCUCCAAAUCUGCUGCAAACUGUGUCUGAUUCGCAAGAAGCUGCUUCAUCAUCUCCUCUACAAUUGGAGUGGUGGUCUGAUUUUAUUGCACUUGCUACUGAUUUUAUUGCACUAGGGGCUUAUACUAAUUAUUACCUUGAUCUUGGUUUCCACCCCAUAAGAAAUUAGGGUGGUUCCUGUAAUUUGGAUUGUACGUGUUACCAUAAUUCUGUAUUCCUUGCCGAUUUUCAUUGCCAAUGUAAUUGAAAGAAUCUGGAUUAACUGCACAUGCUUCUGCUGUAUUCUCACUGCUCCCGCAAAAUUCACACCAUGAGUUUAGCUGUGCUACGACAUUAGUUGUAGCUGCUUCUUGUGGUACUCCUAACUUUAUGUUGUUAACUUGAGUGAUCAUAUGAUUUUGCAUUGCUGCAAUCUGCGCUUGUAAAGUAGUAAACUGGUCUACCUCUAAUACCCCUGCAACCUUCUUAGGAGCACUCCUUGAGUCUGCAUGCCAAUCAGGAUUCCCUUGUGAAAUUCGAUUCAACAGUGUAUAUAAUUUUUAUAAGUUUUCUGCAAAGCUUGUCCACCAGUUGCUGAAUCCAAGAGAAUCUUUGUGUUAGACUCAGCCUUCUACAAAUGUGUGAACCAAAACAUCAUCCGAUUAAUGGUGAUAAAGACAAUUUCUGAUCAUGCCUCUAAAUCUCUCCCAAGCUUGUUAGAGAUUCUCUCUAUCUUUUUGUAUAAAACUCAAGAUCUCACUCCUCAAACAUGCAGUCUUCUGUGAUAGAAAGAAUCGAAUAAGGAACUUUCGAGCGUAAUCUUCCCAUGAAGUGAUGGUGAGUGGUGGUUCAACAUGUAACCACCUCUUUGCUUCCCCUAUUAGAGAAAAAAGGUAAGAGUGUCAAUAUGACAUAAUCAACAUUCAUCCCUACAGGAAUGUACGUAUCACUUAUUUCUAGGAAGGUCUGCAUGUGCUGCUGCGGUUCUUUUGAAAGGUCGUGGUAUUGCCCCACUGAAUUCAAUAGUUGCACCAUAUUCUUCUUCAGUCCAAAUCGACCACCUGGAUCGGGCUUGCGAAUACUGUUAGUCACAUAGUUCGUGAGUGGGAUUUUCAUCUCACGAACAGGUCUUGCAGCUGGUUGAGUAGGAACAGCUGGGAUAAUCGGAGCUAGGAUAUUUCCAGCAUUUGGAUCAACCACAUUCAUAUCUCUUAUUUCAGCCAUUUCAACCUGUUGAAUUGGAUAUUGAGCUCUUCGCCUUUGAUGAAAAAUCAUCUCUGGUUCUACAAAAGGCUCUACCAACUCUUUAUCUCUAGCCAGUCCUGUAUUCAGCUAAACCUGCAAAAAUUCAGCCGCUAAGAUCAAGUUGUUAACACUUAAACUUAUUAUCAAAAAUAAAAUUUUUAGCAAUUUACUAAUUAUACUAUUCCCCUACAACGGUGCCAAAAACUUGUUGCAUCUCAAAUGUACACGUAAGUGCAUGUGAUCAUACAAGUAGUAUAGAGACUUAGACAGUCAAAUAUCGUUCCUACAAGGACUAAGCAACUAGAAAUUUAACCAACUUUUUGUUUUAGACAACGAGGUAUUAAGUGUUGUAAAGUAUCCAGAUGAUUGUGAAUUUUGUGAAUAAAAAUAUAAAUAAAUAAUAAGAAAUAGCAAUUUGUGACUAAAGAAAACCAAGCAACAGUUGUAAACUAUAAUAAUAAGAAUUCUAGGGUUGAGGCAUUUCGAACAAUCAUGUAAAUCUCUAUUCUUAUUGUUGUUUAAUUGGUUAUCGGGUUGUUGAUUCACAAGGUUUAUGCUACGAUCUUGGUCUCCCAACCUCAAAUCUUCUAUCUAUUGAAUAUUAUAGCUACAACUCCCGCAAAGAUACAACAAUUCUUCUAGAUUCAUAAAGAUAUCUUCUUCCAAUUGAACCAAGCAAGACUUCUAGGUAUAUCCCUAUCCUAGAUGCUAAUUCAAACCCUUUAUUUCAUAAAAGAAUAAGAACUACGAUCCUUAAUUUCUUCGUUCUAUCCUACAAUUCUCCCCCCAGAUUCACAUAGAAAUAUAGAUUUAUUCUAAUGGUGGUCACUCAUCAAAAUAGUAAGCUCAAGAAAUUAAGAACAACCUAGAGGAUAGUCCAAAAAGAAACUACAAUAAAGAAUAUCAAAGAGUAAUUAUGUUCUUGGCUUUAACCCCAGAACCAGGGUGUUUAGCCACUCAUGUUUGAAUUCAACAUCCAAAAGAUAUAAUUCAUCAUACCAAGAAUAAAUCUUGAAGAAAAGAAGUUCAAAGAAAAACUAAAAACCCUAAAAGUGAUGUUUUUCUGCUUUUUCCGUUGCUGGUGUGUUUGCAAAAGUCCCCCAAAUUAUCUUGGACUUUUCCUUUUAUAGAUGGAAAAAAACUAAAAAUCAUCCCGAUUUUGCCUGACGGCACGUCACGCCAUGCCAUCAAAUGCCAUUUCCUUCCAAAAUCUGGUCAAUCACGGAAUUCAACUAUUUAGUGAAAUUAUGAAUACACUCUCACCGCACCGUGCCAUGAUCGCGGUGAGCCACUGGAUUUUGACAAUUGUGAAAUCUAUUUACUCCGCGAUGAGCUAAUCUUCCAGGUCACACAAAUUGGCAAAUGAGCUUGCACCGCGACGGGUGAAUUCGCGCCAAGUCACUGAAAAGUGACAACUAUGAUUUCCUUCAUCACCGCGACAUGUCACCAUCGCGGAUCAAUACUGGAUUCUGCCAAAUGGGAAAUUGCACCCCUCCGUGACGCACCAUAAUCAUGCUACUCCACCGGAAUUUGACCAACUCUAUUUUGUUUGUCAUCGCAACGCGGAGACUGUGCAAAUGUGAAUUUCUGACUUCCAGUUGCCUUUUUGAGCUAUAUUUCAAUGCCUUUUAUUCCUUCGAUCAUAACAUAUCAUCAAUGUAUCCAAUUACGUCAAAGUCACCAAGACUUUAUACCUGAAAGCACUAAUCAUAUCCAUUAGGUACGAAAUGGAAUUAAAGCUAAAUCACACUCAAUAAUUCACAUCAAAUUCCUCAAAACAAGUCCAAAUUUGAGUGCAUAUUGGUUCUUUGAACAUAUAAAUAUGCCCAAGAUCAAUAAUAUUCACUGUCACUCUAUUCAUAAUCAUCAGUCACCAUCACUAACCACUUCUUCCACGGCCACGUCAACCACCACCCAACACCACCACCCACCACCACCAUCACCACUACCAUCGACAACAAAUAUCGCUACCAACCACUAUUGGCAAUCGCUACCACACCUACUACCUCUAUUAUUUUAAUUAUAUUCACCGCCGCCGUUAACAACACCUCCAUCAUCAACCACUACAGGCCAAUCCUUACUAUCGACCAACUCAUCUAUCACAACUAGCACCACCUCUAACUACCACUAAUACAUCACAAGCUCCACACAUUCUUUGGCCUCCACCACCUUUGUCACUAAUAACGUCACUACCAUCACUUCACCCUUAACCAUUGCUACAAUUUGUCUCUACUAACAAACACCUCCACCAUCACAACUAACAUCUCCAGCUAGCACCAACACACUGUCAACCAUCAUGCAUUAAUUUUUUAGUCAUCACAAUCAACGUCUUCAACUACUAACAUUAAGCAACAUCACAUCACAACUACCACCACCACUAUCAACCGCCACCAUCAUAACAACCACUACAAUACCAACCAUCACAACUAUCACAUCCAACAUUACUAAUCAUUGACCUUAAAAUCAUUGUCACUGGAACCACUGUUAUAAACCAUCUCCACUAUCACUAACAAACAUAAAUAUUUUUUUCAAUCAAAUAAUAACUUUGUUGUAUUAAAUUAAGUACUUUUCUGAUAUAUAAUUACUUUUUAAUUUGAAUUGUAUUUUUUAUUUUUAUUAUAUAUACAAAUAAUUUUUUUUGAACAUUGAGAUGUUGAAAACAAACAAUCUUAAUCAUUCAAUUUUUUAGAUCUCGAGGCAACAUCUUAAUCAUUUAGAUGUGCAUUCCGAUUCAGACUUCAGAAUAUUAAAAAAAUCAAAUGCAGCCUUAGUCAAGAAGAUCUGAACUAAAAAUACACUGAAUACUAUACUGAGGCUGUGGGAUGUACAUCUAACCGACAUGCCCCAUUAUGAAAUAAUUAGGGUCCCACCUAUAACCUAGUUAGAAGGGUGUCAGUACCAUGACACGGUACUAACACUGGCUGUGUGAAUUCACAAUUCUGAUGUCCCGAAGGACUAGGGAGUCAGUCCUAAACUGGCGGGUGACCCCUAAGAUAGUUUCAGUCCUAAAUUGGUGGGUGACAUCUCAUAAUCCUACGCUGGCUACGUAAUUCAAGAACUUAGGGACUGCUUCUAAGGACCCAGUCCGAACUGACGGGUGAGCCCUCAUCCCUAGAUUUGCUCGGUGCUAAAUCAUACUCUCAACUGAACUGACACUAGUACUGGACUGAACUAAACUCAACUAAAUGUUAUUAUAUAACUGAUGGUGCUCAUCAUGAAUAUGAAUAUCUGAGUACACCGAUAAGAUUCAUGGAUUAACUGUCUGAAUACUUGAGAAGCUGAAUUUAUUUAAAUAGGUAUCAGGUAUUCAUAACACACCAGCACUGAAUGGAAUUAACAAUAGUGCCAUAUAAAAGCUUUAAAAUCAUACUAGGGGAUCAUUGUUCUAAACCCAACACUUAGGCAUUUCAUCGAACACACGAGAGUCAUGAACUUAAGCAUGGGAAUGGGAAAGCAUAAAGAAUAAUAUGAUUGCAAGACUAAAAUCAUAACUUAGAGAUUAAUCGUGAAGAUUACGAAAUUUAAAAUAUGUAAACGCUCAUUCCAUUGAAAACACUUAUAAAAUAAUUUAAUUAAUAAGAGAUUCAUGGAGAUAUUUCAAAUUAAACAUGGAAAACUCAUAAUUUAAAACCAAAAAGGGAUUCUUGGUCUCCAUGGGUGAAAGGAGCCUAUAGAUGAUAUGCCCAAGAUCAAUAAUAUUCACUGUCACUCUAUUCAUAAUCAUCAGUCACCAUCACUAACCACUUCUUCCACGGCCACGUCAACCACCACCCAACACCACCACCCACCACCACCAUCACCACUACCAUCGACAACAAAUAUCGCUACCAACCACUAUUGGCAAUCGCUACCACACCUACUACCUCUAUUAUUUUAAUUAUAUUCACCGCCGCCGUUAACAACACCUCCAUCAUCAACCACUACAGGCCAAUCCUUACUAUCGACCAACUCAUCUAUCACAACUAGCACCACCUCUAACUACCACUAAUACAUCACAAGCUCCACACAUUCUUUGGCCUCCACCACCUUUGUCACUAAUAACGUCACUACCAUCACUUCACCCUUAACCAUUGCUACAAUUUGUCUCUACUAACAAACACCUCCACCAUCACAACUAACAUCUCCAGCUAGCACCAACACACUGUCAACCAUCAUGCAUUAAUUUUUUAGUCAUCACAAUCAACGUCUUCAACUACUAACAUUAAGCAACAUCACAUCACAACUACCACCACCACUAUCAACCGCCACCAUCAUAACAACCACUACAAUACCAACCAUCACAACUAUCACAUCCAACAUUACUAAUCAUUGACCUUAAAAUCAUUGUCACUGGAACCACUGUUAUAAACCAUCUCCACUAUCACUAACAAACAUAAAUAUUUUUUUCAAUCAAAUAAUAACUUUGUUGUAUUAAAUUAAGUACUUUUCUGAUAUAUAAUUACUUUUUAAUUUGAAUUGUAUUUUUUAUUUUUAUUAUAUAUACAAAUAAUUUUUUUUGAACAUUGAGAUGUUGAAAACAAACAAUCUUAAUCAUUCAAUUUUUUAGAUCUCGAGGCAACAUCUUAAUCAUUUAGAUGUGCAUUCCGAUUCAGACUUCAGAAUAUUAAAAAAAUCAAAUGCAGCCUUAGUCAAGAAGAUCUGAACUAAAAAUACACUGAAUACUAUACUGAGGCUGUGGGAUGUACAUCUAACCGACAUGCCCCAUUAUGAAAUAAUUAGGGUCCCACCUAUAACCUAGUUAGAAGGGUGUCAGUACCAUGACACGGUACUAACACUGGCUGUGUGAAUUCACAAUUCUGAUGUCCCGAAGGACUAGGGAGUCAGUCCUAAACUGGCGGGUGACCCCUAAGAUAGUUUCAGUCCUAAAUUGGUGGGUGACAUCUCAUAAUCCUACGCUGGCUACGUAAUUCAAGAACUUAGGGACUGCUUCUAAGGACCCAGUCCGAACUGACGGGUGAGCCCUCAUCCCUAGAUUUGCUCGGUGCUAAAUCAUACUCUCAACUGAACUGACACUAGUACUGGACUGAACUAAACUCAACUAAAUGUUAUUAUAUAACUGAUGGUGCUCAUCAUGAAUAUGAAUAUCUGAGUACACCGAUAAGAUUCAUGGAUUAACUGUCUGAAUACUUGAGAAGCUGAAUUUAUUUAAAUAGGUAUCAGGUAUUCAUAACACACCAGCACUGAAUGGAAUUAACAAUAGUGCCAUAUAAAAGCUUUAAAAUCAUACUAGGGGAUCAUUGUUCUAAACCCAACACUUAGGCAUUUCAUCGAACACACGAGAGUCAUGAACUUAAGCAUGGGAAUGGGAAAGCAUAAAGAAUAAUAUGAUUGCAAGACUAAAAUCAUAACUUAGAGAUUAAUCGUGAAGAUUACGAAAUUUAAAAUAUGUAAACGCUCAUUCCAUUGAAAACACUUAUAAAAUAAUUUAAUUAAUAAGAGAUUCAUGGAGAUAUUUCAAAUUAAACAUGGAAAACUCAUAAUUUAAAACCAAAAAGGGAUUCUUGGUCUCCAUGGGUGAAAGGAGCCUAUAGAUGAACAUCAUACAUACCUUAAACAUUUAACUUGAAAGAUAAAUACCAAAUCUUGAUGCUUUCUUGGACUUGGGGAACUUGUAUCCUCAAUUUCUUGAGGAUAAAAGAAUUGAAUUUAUGUUCUUGGGGGAAGGGAAUGAUUUUUAUUGAGAGGAUAAUUGGAGAAGAAGGACAAAAUUAUGCCCUAAUUGAUGCCCAAGUCGUGUUAUGAACGAUUGGGUUGAGGUAAAAAGACCCAAUUGCACCUCAACCAUUUAAAUUCUAUACUGAACGUAAUAGGCUUAUCAUGAUGCGGUCCUAUCGUGGUCGUUUAUUUUUCUCAUCGCGAUGGGGUCUGCAUGGGAACGGGACUAAUGUCGCAUUGCGGGCUUAUCGCGGCAACCCACUGAUUUCGUGAUCCAAACAAGACCCAAACCCUUUCCGAAAAAUUCAAAACUUCUCUGAGACAUACUCCUUACAUCCCUCAAAAAUCAACAUAUCGAGGUCAGGAAUACCAAGUUAAAAAUCUUUUAAGUUUAGAAGCCUUAAAAAUGACUAAGUCCCCAACACUUAGUGAAAUUUUAAUGCCUUAAGCCCCUUAUGCAUGCAACUAGAAGCUGGACUGAGCUAAGAAUAGUACGGGGUAUUACAAUAUGCCAAUUCGAAUCCUCUAGCUAACAAAAUCCUCACCAACGUCACCUGCGUUCUCUGUAAAAACAAUAGCGAGGAGUGAGACACUAGCUUAGUGAGUAAUAACACUUAACCACAAAUCUUUUAAUGGGGAUAGUCGUAAAACAAGCUAGUAUGAUAACCAAAAAGUGUCAUGAAAUAAUACUCUUCCAGAAAACAACAACUUUAUAAGAAAUCAAUUUAAACUUUGGAAAUAGCCAACAAAUACUAACAUAUCAAGUUUUAUCCUACGAGAGAUUUUCAAGAAUGAAUCAUGUAUUCAAUGUGGCAUUCUACUUCAAGGAAUAAACAAUAUUCAUGAUUUUGGAUAAGCACAUGACCAUAAAUGUGCUAAAAUAACUGCAUCUCUUCAGAAAAGUUGUGACUGUUAAGAAUAGUUGCAUCUGUUCAGAAAAAUUGACACUGUUCAAACUUUAUAAAUAUGAAUGAAAAUCCAAAAAUAGUGUAUUCAAUUUACAAAUAUAUUUUCAGACUUUGUUGUAUCCUGAUAAAGAAUUGCUUGUAAUCCUUAAAUUAAAUACGGGCAAUAACUCUUGUCAGUUUCUUGAUAUUCGGUUAUCACAAAGUGUCAGGAUUUGUGAUACAUAAUUUGUAACUUCUGAAUGGUUUCUUGGCACCAUUAAGUGGUUGUAUUGCUGCCUUCUGUUGUUAUUUUAAAGUCCCAACUGCUAAAUAAAUAUGGAUUUAGACUUCUCUAAGUUUCUAUUUGUUGAAUGCAUGUAGGAAAAUACAUUUUUGACAAUCCCAUUGUGGAUGUUCUUCCAUUCGACUUUCAUUUAAUAGUUUGAUAAUCUAAUGUAGUCUAAAAAGUUUGAAAUAGCUUAAAUUUAAGCCUUGAUGAAUAUAUAAAUGAUUUUAGGGGGUUCGUUAUUUUGUAUCUAAUGUCAUUUAUUGCUUAGGGUGUGUUUGAUACGAAGAAAAGUACUUUUCACUAAAAAUAAGUGCGUUUAUUACUUAUUUUUUUAAAAUAAGCAGAAAAUAUUGGUUGAAAAAUAUUUUAUAUAAUUUAUGAAAAUACCGUGGAGAGGAGUGAGGAUAGGAGUGUGGAGAUGCUUGGAGAUGGAGGAUGGAUAUGUUGUAGGAUGAAGAGGAAAUAAUUAAUAUGGAAUACCACUUAUGUAACUUGCUCUCGUACUUUCGCGAGAGAGGUUAUUUUUCUCAUUUUAAGGGAAUUAUUUUUCUAGAGAAAAAUAUAAUCGACCAAAUAUAGGAAUAUUGAAAAAUGUAAAGUGAAAAAUAUUUUUCUCUAUGCCAAGACAACCUUAGGAGACGUUUGGUUGAGUGUAUAAGAAUAAGACAUAAUAUAUUGUAUUAGUAAUGCUUGCAUUAGUAAUGAUUGUACUAGUUGUGCUAGCAUUAGUUAUCCUGAUAUUGUUUCUUAUACAUUGUUUGGUUUGAUAUAUUAAAAAUAAUAUAUCUUACAGAAUUCCUAUAAAAAUGUUUGUUUACAAAAAUAUCCUUCGUUGACAUUGUACACUUUCUUCGCAACAAUGUUCUUUUUUCAUCUUAAACAUAAUUAGUAUUGUUGAACUAAUAUAUAGAGAUGUAGGAUUACUUGCAAGACCUUCGUUUUUGUGCAUGAAAUGUUACACCGAUGGAUUAAUAUAGUCGAAACAAAAAAAAUACAAGAUAUAGAAUCAAUGAAUAGUCUCAUGAAAUUUAUUUUCAAUCUUUUUAAAGGCCCUUGAAGAAAAAUAAAGAUAUAUUGUAUUUAUUUAAACCAACUAUCGUAAGCAUAAUCCAUACAUAAUUUAAAGUGCGGAAGAAAUAAUGAAAUUCAACUUGAUCUUAUGAUUAGAAUAUGUCAGUAAAGUUAUGAAAAUAAAAUACUUAAAUCCCAUCUACGAAGCCUCUACUGAAUACUAACUUUUAAGGAUGAAACAAGGCCACCGGCUGGACCAUAAACUGAAAAAAGUCAACAUAUGAAUAAAUACUCUCCAAAAAAUGGAUGGCGCACCAACUCUGUCAUUAUACCAAAUGUUCUACUGAUGUGAUGGACCAUGAGAUUGUGCCUUAGAACCUGAAUUAUAAGGUUCCAUACUUGAAAAGUAUUGGUAUGAAGAACAAUCCAAAAAUUGCGAAUAUUUCAUUUAAAAUAAUCGAGAGCAUUGUGAAAACGAUUUAGCAUAAUGACUAUAAAAACACAUGAGAAUAAUUCAAAGGCUUCAAAACAUUCUUGUAAAUCAUAGACUCAACUCUUUAAUUUACUUCUGAGCUAGAUUCUUGCGAAUACUUCUGAACAAUCCACUAAUUUGGAAAUCCAAACAUGACCCAAACCCCGUUCGAAAAAUUCAAAACUUCUCCAAGACAUACUCCGUACAUCCCUCAAAAACCAACAUCUCAAGUUUGGAAGACCAAGUUAAAAUUUUUUCAAGUUUAGAAGCCUUAAAAAUGACUAAGCUCCCAACACUUAGUGAAAUUUUAAGGCCUUAAGCCCCGUAUGCAUGCAACUAGAAGCUGAACUGAGCUAAGAAUAGUACGGGGUAUUACAGAAUAUGCCAAUUUGAAUCCUCUAGCUAGCAAAACCCUCAACAACGUCACUUACAUUUUCUGUAAAAACAAUAGUGAGGAGUGAGACUCUAGCUCAGUGAGUAAUAACACUUAACCACAAAUCUUUUAAUGGGGACAGCCAUAAAACAAGCUAGUAUGAUAACCAAAAAGUGUCAUGAAAUAAUACUCUUCCAGAAAACAGUAACAACUUCAUAAGAAAUCAAUUUAAACUUUCGAAAUAGCCAAUAAAUACUAACAUAUCAAGCUUUAUCCUAUGGGAGAUUUUCAAGAAUGAAUUAUGUAUUCAAUGUGGCAUUCUACUUCAAGGAAUAACCAAUGUUCAUGAUUUGGGUUGGUGCUGCUUCAAACAAGAUUUAUGGAGUUGAUGUUGUAAAUAUUCCUGAUUUUGGAUAAGCACAUGACCAUAAAUGUGCUAAAAUAAUUGCAUCUCUUCAGAAAAGUUGUGACUGUUAAGAAUAGUUGCAUCUGUUUAGAAAAAUUGAGAUUGUUCAAACUUCAUAAAUACGAAUGAAAUUCCAAAAAUAGUGUAUUCAAUUUACAAAUACAUUUUUAGGCUUUGUUGUAUCCUGAUAGAGAAUUGCUUGUAAUCCUUAAAGAAAAUAUGGGCAAUAACUCUUGUCAGUUUCUUGAUAUUCAGUUAUCACUAAGUGUUCGAAUUUGUGAUACAUAAUUUGUAACUUCUGAAUGGUUUAUUGGCACAACUAAGUGGUUGUAUUGCUUCCUUCUAUAGUUAUUUUAAGUCACAACCGCUAAAUAAAUAUGGAUAUGGACUUCUCUAAGUUUCUAUGUCAUGACCCGAACCGAGGCCCUGACUGUAAUGAGCAUCCUGAACCAUGAAGGCCCGCAUGCCCCUCUCUAUUUGGUAGUCAUGCACAACGUUCAUACAAUAAAAGAUGAUGUGGAACAAAAUAUAAUAUGGAAUCAUGGUCAUUCUGAAUUCAAUUUAAAGAUGAAAGGUAAAAUCUACAACAACUAAACAAUAUCUGAACCAGUCUGCGAAAUCUCUAAUAUAUGAUAAAAUGACAACUGUCGAAAAACUAGGACAAGCCCCCAGUAGACCAAAACCAUAAUAAAUAACAUAGUCUAAAAGAAUAGGCGUUCUGAAAUAAAGAAGGCUCACCACUGCACAAUCUACUUCUGUCUGAACACUUUACUGCUUAGUCGGACCGCUAGAUUGAGCUUCAGACCCUGAGAGAUAGGGGGGUCAAUACAAUUUUACUAGUACACAGAGCAAAUCCAAAAUAAUGAUUUUUAUUCAACAUAUAUGAGAGCAAUUUAAAUCAGUUCAUAAAUAUGUCACAUGGUAAGAAUCACAUGGACAUUUUUAAAAGACUCUAUAAAAUCAUCUGAACUCUGUGACAUUUUUAUAUGGUAUUGUCAUACCAUUAACUUGCAAGUCACAUUCUCUGAGCAAUUUAUAGCAAAUUAUAUCUCUAUCCUCAAAACAUGGAAUUCAGGACCACCACAUCAAUAAUUCUUUUUAAGAAACUCAUUCUUUAAAGGUCAUGUAAACCUAUACAAGAAAACUCUCAUUUUCAACAUUUCAAACACACAAGGUGGUCAUGUCAAAGAUAUCAAUCACAUGCUAUUCUUUCUCUUUAAUACAAGAAUGAAAUCAUAUCAAGAAACUCCCUCCCAUCAUCAUCAAGAUCAUGUUAAUUACUUUAAUAUUGAUAAGAUCAUUUUCAAAGCCUUAAACAUGCAUCUCAAAUCAUUCUCAACAGUUUCAUAAACUCUAAAUCACCAAAGAGAGGGAUUUCAAUGAUAAUGCUCUCACUCAAAUCUUUAAUAUCAUACAUAUACAUAUAGAAGUAAAUCAAUUUUAAGGGGGAAAAGCCUAAAGGCCAAAACAAUAAAAUUAUCAAAACAUUCAUAAUGCGAAAUUUAAAGCGUAAGUUCCAAAACCCCUUUCAAAUUCAUGCUAGAUAAUCUUUAAAUUAUUUUCUAGUGUUUAUAAGCCCAUGUAGUUUUUAGGAUAAACUCCACGUACCUCAAAUUAGGAUUUUGAUGGAUGAUUCUUGAAGUCCUCGGUUUGGGGAUUCUAAAUCUUCAAUCAAUUUCUAAAACCGACGGUGGAAUCUUAAGUUAUUUGGAAUUUUAGUUUGAAACCCUAAGGGGUGUUCUUGAUGGAUUUUCAUGAAAAUAUCAAUAGAGUGGUGUUUUGGGAGUAUAAUUCCGUGUUUAAGCUGAAGAAGGGGGGGUGGAAGUACCCAAUUUGCCCUCAAAAACAUUUCUAAAAACUACAGGCUGAAGGGGGAGCAUGCGCCGCACGCUGUAGUGCACCGAGAUGGAGCGUGUGUCGCAUGCUCUAUCGCACACUGCCCACCAUAGGAAUGGAGCAUGAAUCUCACGUAAAUUGCACGAUGCUACUAUUUUGGGGUACCAAACACGCCAUUACGCUCGUCCAAAAAAUCCAAAACUUACCCGUGAUGUACCCUUGACACCCCCGGUCAUGAAUCAACUCACAAAUUGUUAUUCUAAGGCCAGGAAGGUCGAGAAAAAAAUCAUCAAAGAUUAAAGGCUCAAAAUGAGACUAAGUGUUUUUGAUACUUAGAAAAAUAUUCUAGUUUUCAACUCUACGUGCAUACUACUAGGAGCUAACACAUGUACGACUUUUGCGGGGUGUUACAUUAUCCCCCCUUGGGAGAAUUCGUCCCCGAAUGAUGACGUGGAACACAGACAAUCAUGAUUUCAAGCAUACCAAGGCCAUAAAUGAAUAAGACAAAGAUUGUACCUUCUGCUUCUUCGUUCACCGGAUCGAAAAGGUUUGGGUAUCUUUAUCGCAUGUCAUCUUCUGAUUCCCAAGUAGUUUCUUUAAUUUUCUGGUUUUUCCAUAACACUUUAACCGAGGUUAUCUCCUUGCUCCUCAAUUUCCUAACUUGGUGAUCCAGGAUUGCAACCGGCUGUUCUUCAUAAGAUAAAGAGUCUUUUACUUUGAUCUCCUCUACAGGCAACACUAAAGAAUAGUCUCCAAUACAUUUCUUCUACAUAGAUAUAUGAAAUACUGGAUGAACAGUACCCAGAUUUGUAGGCAACUCUAACUCAUACGCAACCCCACCUAUCCUUCUUAAAAUCUGGUAUGGCCCUAUAUAGCGAGGACUCAACUUUUCUUUCUUCCCGAAACGCAUGACUCCCUUCAUAGGAGAAACUUUGAGAAAUUCCCCACCACCAACCUCAAAUUCUAUCUCCCUUCUUCUAACAUCAGCAUAGGACUUCUGUCAACUCCGGACUGUCUUAAGUCGUUCUCUAAUGAUUUUCGCCUUCUCCAUCGCCUGAUAAAUAAGAUUAGCCCCAAACAACUGUGUCGCACCUACUUCAUACCACCCUAUUGGCAACCUACAUCUUCUCCCAUAUAAUGCCUCAAACGGAGCCAUUUUUAAUACUGGCAUGGUAGCUAUUAUUAUAUGCUAACUCUAUCAAUGGAAAGUGAUCUACCCAGCUACCUUUGAAGCCAAUUACACAGGCCCUCAAUAUAUCCUCAAGUUUCUAAAUAGUGUGCUCGACUUGCCCAUCGGUCUAAGGGUGAAACACAGUACUUAGGUUCACUUGGUUACCUAUACCCCUUUGGAAAGACCACCAAAACUAUGAAGAGAAUUACGUACCUCGGUCAGAUAUGAUGGAUACAGGUGCCCCAUGCAGGCAAACUAUUUUAUCAAUAUACAGCUUAGCAUAAUCAUCUUCCGAAUAGUUAGUCCUGACAGGUAGAAAGUAAGCUGACUUGGUAAACCAAUCCACAAUCACCCAGAUAGAAUUACACUAGUUUCGGGACCUUGGAAGUCCCGUAAUAAAGUCCAUAUUGAUCAUCUCCCACUUCCAUAAAGGCAAAGCUAUCUCUUAGGAAGUACCACCUGGUCUCAUAUGUUCUACUUUAACUUGUUGGCAGUUCAAACACUUGGAAACAAAGUUAGCCCAUCACGUUUCAUAUUAUUCCACCAGUAUAUAGUUUUUAGAUCAUGAUACAUAUAACAACUCGUACUUUCGGGCUAAAAUCUAGACCCUCGUUCCUACGCGUUAGACCUGAAAAAGAUGAUUCCUUGUUUAUUAUAUAUAUGUGGUGAUCAAUCCUAUAGUGUGGGAAAACCUUUGAAUAUGACUUGAGGUCACAAACAUCUCCUAACUCUAAGACGAGUUGAAAACAUUUCUACUGAUUAAGUUUUGGGGGAUGUUUAAACUUGGGUCAAAUUCCAUUGACCAUAAAUUCUGGUAUAUGAUGAAUUAGAGAGCCUACUAUAUAUCAAAUGAAAGGUCUUCGAAGUAACUUUCCAACGAUACCAAUUUUGCCCAAAUCUGAUACCCGGGAAAAAAUUUUCAACCAUGCUCGUGAGAGAGGCAGUAGCUGCACGCGAUUAGCGUGCGACACACACUCUGUCGCACGCCCCAAAUUUCCAGUUUCUAUUUUCGCAUUUUAAAGGAAAAUUUGGACCUUUGCUUCACCCUAACCCGUCCAUAACAUAAAAUAUCCUCCCUAAGGAGCAUUAGACAACAGUUUAUUCAAGUUUCUCUCAAACUAAAACCCUAGCCACCUCCAUCAAGAAUUCAUCCUUCUAAGUUAAGAUCUUCAAGAAGAGUUUCAAGAAUAGGGUUCCAAUCUUUAAAUAAAAAAACUUAAGGUAUGUGGGACUUCUCUAGACAUCAUGGACAUAGUUUUUCUAUUGUCUUAAUUAUGUUAAAGAUCCCCAAUUAUAUUUACAAAGAAAGGGUUUGGAAUUACUUGAAAAACACAUGACACGGAAUUGUUUUGAAGGAAAUGCAUCUUGUCUUGAAUUGUCUAUCACGAAUUUUGAAUACAACUAUAUAUCUAUGUUUUGGGGUGCAAUGAAAAGUUUGAAAGAGCACAUGAAAGAUCAAAAAUCCCUCUUUAUUAUGAUAUUUUUGGAUUUAUAUUGUUAUGGAUUGUUUAAAGGCAUGAACUUUUCGAGAUGGAAACUAAAUGGUAAAUACUUGUUCAAUGAUCAUAGAUUUGUACCAUUUAUGAUAUGUCAAGAGGUUGUUUUCACAUGGUAAAUGUUCAUUGUGUCAAAUUAACAUUUUUCCUUGAAUUUUAAAUAACACGAAUGUGAGAUGGACGCCUAUUGUUUGUAUAAAUGAGAGUAGAGUGUUUUGAUGAAAACGUGAAUGAAAGAUCUUAUGCAUAUCUCUCUCUCACUUGAUGUUUUAAAAGUUAUGGGUGGUCAUUAACAUGGUAAUACGUGAAAAAGGCUACAGAUUGAUAAGAUGUGAUUUGAUUGACUUGCAUGUUAGGGUAUGACGAUAUCCGGUGAUUACAUGCCCUUAACAAGAUAAAUAUUGAAUGUUUUGAACGUAUGAAACAUGUUUGUUUUAAAAGAACUAAAAGUUGGGCUUAAGAGAGUUAGAUGGUUACCCGAAGAAAGCACGAGUCAGAUGACUCUAUGCCAAAAAUUGUGAAUUUCCAACACGGGAACUUGGUACCCUUCUAUGUUAUCUUGUGUACCUAGUACUUUGUCAUCCCAAAUUGGGACUUAUGGUUUGGAGACCUGCUUUGUGAUCUUGAGGCCAACCACGACAUAAUGACUUGAUUGGAAUUGUGGCACCCUGCUGUGUGAUCUUGUGUGUUCUUUCCUCACUAGCACUUCAAUAUUGGCGGCAACCGAGAUUUGAUAGUCGGUGAAAAAAGUGAAAUUGUAGGGUGCACCAUCUAGCUCUGAAGAAUAACAAUGAGUGAGUCAAGGUUGUCAAGAACUGUUUUGAAAUUAUUAAAUAUGCCCAUGUAUUUUUACUUAUAUAAAACUCUUUGUUACUAUGAAUUGCUCUCAUCUAUUUUGUAUAAAAGCAUAUUAUUUUGAGUUGUUUCACAUACCGGUACAUCUAUAUUGAUCCCCCUUACAUUUCAGGAUCUGAGGCACAGUCCUAGGGUCCAGCUAAUCAAUAGAUUGAAUUGUCUGAAGUUUGCAAUGGGUGAACCUUCUUUAUUUCGGAAGGCCGAUUUUUGAUAUUAUUGUUUCCUUUCGGAUUUUUGGUUCGGCUGGGGGCCUUGUCCCAGUUUUAGUUAUUGGUCUUGAUGUACUAGAGAUUUCGUAAAUAGAUGUUAGAUGAUGUUUAGGGUUUAUUGAUUUCUUUCGACUGUUCAGUCAUAUGAUGUUAUUGAUCAUGUUUCCGUAUGAAUCCAUUUCCUCAUUCUCUUUUUGAUUGUAUGAAUGUGUGUAUGAUUUCCUGUUAACAAAGGGGAGCUCGGGCCUUCACGGCUCGGGAUGCUUGUUGUUGACACCUAAUUUUUGCCCUCCACAUUCAAAUUAGUUUUCGAAUUUCUCAAUUUUAAAUAGUUUUAAAAUAUUUUUUUAAGUUAUUUUUAAAUAAAUUUCAACCCUACCCUUUUGAAUUUAAGUGAAAUAAUAUAUUUAGUAAUUAUCAGUUAAAGAAAAUUCUUUGAAAUUUAUUCAAAGUGAAAAGUUUGAUUAAAUUGUAAAAUAUUCUACUUUUCUUUAAAAUUGAUUAAAAAAAUAAGAAAUUGAUGACCUAAUUGGUUUCUUAAUUUUAUUUUAUUUAAUGUUUACUUUGAAAUUAUUAAAUUUGAGAAAUUCAUCAAAUUAAUUAGGAAUUAAUUUUGUGUGAACUUUAUUGAAAUAGCUAUGAUUUUAAUGAGGCCUAUUAAUUGUUGUUUCAUCUUAAGCCUAAUAGCCCCUUUCUUUCUUUUUAAAAUUGGGUCAGCCAACCAAACCAGCCCAUUCUUUCUCUUCUUUUAUCCAACCAAGUGAGCAACCCACCACCAGCCCAUAACAACUUCAACAGCAACCAGCCCAGCACCACACAAGGGAUUCGGACCAAUACCCUUAUAACAUUAAAAGUACAAAAGCUGUAACUUUCAGCAACACAACAUCCGGUGGUGGAAACCUCAUCAUUAUAGGCUCGUCGUCCCAUUCGCUGCUCCAAAAAAGGUAAAAACUCAUCUUUCUUACACUUUUUUUUUUUUUACGUGUAAAUAAAACUAAAGAUAUCAUUUUAAUUUGUCGUUGGACAUAAAUGGGACUAGUUUCAAUGUUACUGUUGUGUUUACUUUUGUAUUAAAAAAAAAGUUUCCAGCUUUUUGCAUUUGUAUUCUAGAAAAGAAUUAGAGAACAACAUAUAUGUAUACAUCUUUCAACAUAAUUUUUUGUUUGGGUUGGUUUCAUAUUGAUCAUGUUUGACUAAACGGUUAAUUUUUUUUUUUUCUUUGAAUGGAUUGCUGGUUUCCCAUUAAAUUGUUAGUGCCAUUUUUAAUUUUUUUUUUUUUUUUUUUUUGUAAACACAUGAUUCAUGCCGUAUGGGUUGAUUAUUAUGGUUUUUCUAAGUUGGCUUUUGAUAUAUUAUUUGCUCGUCAUGUCGUAUUAUUAGACGCGUACUAAUCCUUAUUUUACCUUUUCUAUGCAUGAACUCCGCCGUAUACUUUCCUUUGCAUCUCCGGGACCAAGUCCCAUUCCUACGAGUCAAAAUCCCACGCCAAAGUGCUAGAACGGAACUGAACCACGAUGGUAUACAGACAAUAUACAUUGGAAGCGGCAGCUGUUCAUUAUUAAACCGUACACAGUAAAAAAUGGAGGGGAAAUAAGCAGAUUUUCAGGCUGAUAUACACUUGAUAUACAAGAAAAACGUGUAGGAAUACAUAUGGUAUACACUUCAGAAAAUGGACUGAAGUCCAUAAUUCAAGCCCAAAACUGGGCAGCUUCAUUAAUGGGCCAAUUGAGGGCCCAAUUUUAAUUCUUGCAUCAUUUUUUGUAACUUGUAUUGUUUAUUUGUGCUAACUAACAUAUUAAAUUAUUAAUCUAGAUAAAUCUCCUAAGUCGUUACCAUUUUUAUCACGUAUUUUAUUCGAAUCGUGAUUUUCUCACUUAAUAUAACUAAAUAAUCUAUUUGAAUGAAAAAUAACUCCUUUUAAACUCAAGAAACUAAAUUUUCUUAUAAAUUUGAACUUGUAAUAAUUAAUAAAGAUUUUUUUUUAUUCAACACGCUCUUAACAUUUUUUGAAGGUAUUGUCUCUAAUAUAAUCAAAUCUUUUUUCUAUAAUGAUUAAUAAUAAGAAAAAAUAAAAUAAUAUAUAAUUUAGUCCAAUUCAAAUAAAUUUAUUUUCUUCUUUGAAUAAUAAAUGUCAUGUUUUAAAUAAAUAAUAUUAUUAUUUUCUAUAAAAUCAAGUGUUUACAAAUAUUUACCUUUUUGCAAAAUUAGCCAUUUUUAGUUAGUUAGUUCUUCUUUGGUACACCGUUUUAAACGGACGCUUCUAAGUGCCUUAAAAACCUUCUUAGGGCGUUAAUUGAACCCUUAUCCAGAAUCUCUAGUUUUAAAGGUUUAUUUCUGUUUUUGAACCUGUUAAACUAUUUUAAGUUUUUUCUUGAUUUUUUCUAUAAAAAUUAAGUGGCGGCUCUGUGAAUUUUCUUAAAAUUAUUUCGAAAUUUCUCAACUAUUUUUCAAAAUAGUUUUAAGAAUAACAAUCAUUUUCUCGCCAAAAUGAAGUCUGAAAAGGGAUAAAACAUUCGUCACGGCCAAGGCCUGGUUCGGGUCGUGACAAACUUGGUAUCAGAGCAUGGUUCAUGGUCCUAGAGUGUCUGCGAAAUUGCAUCGGGUAGAGUCUUGUUUAUGGGUGUGUAGCACACUACACUUAUAAACAAGAGACUACUAGGCGUUUAGGAAUGUCUCUCUUUCUUCAUGUUUUAGUUCGUGCUAUGGAGUCAGAAUGUUCCUCUUUCAUACUUUAGUUCGUGCUAUGGUGUCGCCCAUAUGGAAGUAAAGUUAUCCCAAUUCUUUCCUUACUCUGAUGUUCUCAGAUAUGCCUCAUUGUUGAGGUAAUUCAAGUGCAGAAGUCUAGAAUCUGAAUGGCAUGGUCCUUUCUGAUUGAGCCAUAAAAGAUUAUAACAUUGUGCAAGGACUUGAGAGGAGUCUGUUAGUACUUCAGGGUGUAUUGAUUCUAGUGUAAAUUUUGAUCCUGAUGAAUUCGUACUUUUCAGCCUGAGGUAUUAAGUGUAUCCAGUCCCUUUCAAAAUCUUAUUGCAGGAAAUGUUGUGUACUAGAGUGUUGGAACUGUAUUUUCACCCGAGUAGUAGUGUAUGUUAAAGUGUCAUGACCCAAUGGUAGUGAGAUGGUCCAGAAGUUGGUGACAUGCAGUCACAAUGUUAGAAGUCAGAGUGAGGGUGACUUUUUCGUAAAUAAAUAAUUUUAAUUGUAUAAUCGUGGAUUGAGGAGUGGGUUGCCAUUGUAUAGUAAUAGACUAAUGUGGUAUAAUGAUAGAAUAGUUUUGAACGAUAUUUCUAGAUUGUAUGGUUGUCUGGGAAGGAAGUGGCUAGCUAUUAUUAUUAUCUAUUCGAAUUAGGGAAGGAGCCUAGAAUGAAGAGUUAUGGUGGUUAUAGAAAUUCCUUAUAGGCUGUGAAUGAAAACGAUUAGAUUAGCCAAUAAGUAUAAGUAUAGACUUAUUGUUGUAUGUGAAAUUUGAAGGUAGUCUAAAUGUGUGCAUGGGUAAGUAGAUUUAACGUGAAGAAGUAGAAUAUGUUGAUAAGAUUGCAAUAGGUUAUAUUAUAUGAUUAAGAUUGACUAUCCCUAUUAUGUGGUGUUAACCCCCCUGAUUGUUCUUUCUUUAGUCGUUGUAAACUAGUACUCUAUGUGAGAAGUAUGUAGCAGGUUUUGAGGUGUCAUAGUGAUGUCAUGGAGGGGAUGUGAAUGUAGGUAGUAAUUAAGUAAAAUGAGGUAUUUGGUUGAUUUUCCCAAUUUGAUAGACUAGUAUAUUAUGUUACAUGCUUCAUUGGUGGUAGAUGAUUGAUACCAGAUGAUAGGCUUGAAUUUUAGAUGUAGAAUGUGGUGGUAAGAAUAGUAGCUUAAGAUUUAUGAUGUAUCUUUUGUGGGGAUGAAUUAUUAGGCUUGAUGUGAUUUAUGAAAAAGCCUAGGUUGAUAACUUAUGAAAAGUUUAAGAGAUAAUUGUGAGGUAUAUAUGUAUAUGAGGAUUAAUGUUAAAAUGAUGAAUUGCAGGUGAGACAUUAAGUGGAUAAGGGCUCAAGUAUAUAAGAAAAAGUUGCACCCCCGUGUAGUAUGGCGUUAGGUAAGAUUUUAUGAUAUAAGUUAUGCGAUUAACAGUCUAAUGUUAGAAGGUUAAGUAGUGGCGAGUGGAUUUUUAUGUGAUAAGGAGUGAGGAAGUGUAUGUAUGCUCAUGAGACUGCGAGUUGUAGGUUGAUGACGAUUGAGGAUAGAAAAAUUUAAGAGUAGCGUUCUGGGAAAUCAAUGCCUUUAGAGUAUACGUUAAGUAGCCAUAACGCCCUGUAGUUUUCUUGAUUUGAUGUCACUUGGUAGCAUUCUUAAAGAUGCUGAAAACUUGAAUGAUGUCUUCCUUCCUAAGUGUUAAAGAAUAAGAACUUAGUCACAUUUUGAGCUCCUAAUCUUUGAUAAUUUUAUGUCCGAUCUUCCCAGUCUUAGAAUGAUGAUUUGUGAGUUGAUUCAUGAUCGGGGGUGUCAAGGGUACAUCCCGGGUAAGUUUCAAAAUUUUUGGAUGAGAGUAAGGGAAUGUUUGGUAGCCCAAAACAGUACCAUUAUGCGAUUUGCGCGCGGCGCAUGCUCCAGUCCACUGAUGGGUAGCGUACGAUGAAGUAUGCAGUGCACGCUCCAUUUCGGGGUUUUACACCGCGCGAUGCACGCUCCCCUACGGCCUUUAGCUUUUAGUUACAUUUUGCAGGGGCAUUUGGGUCAAUUCUACCCAUAUUAAUUCAGCCUAAACACCGAAUUUGAGUCUCAAAACAACACUUUAGCUCCCAAAUUCACAUUCUCCCCAAAUUGAAAUCAUCCUCCCUUUCCAAGAAAAAAAACCCUAACUCUUAAAUGUUUAGAAGUGUGGAUAUCCAUGCCUGUAAUGAUGUUAGUCAUGAGUGGAUGAUUUUGGGGUUAGAGGAAGUUAUGAUUAGUAUUCCUGAAGGGGGAUAUCCAGAAAGAAUUAAGUGUCGAUAUGUUAAAUUAUUGAGGGAAGUUUGUGUUCAUGUGUAUACCGAUAUCCCCCAUUGUAUUGAGAAUUGUACUUAGAGGUUGAUAAGAAGUUAUGCUCUCAAGUCUAGGAUUGUGACUUUAAUAUAAGGGGGAGAUGGUAAGUUAAGGUAGUUUUCGAAUUUUCUCAUUGUGGCAAGUUAGGGAAGAGUCAUGAUAAACCUGUUGCUAUUCAAGCAUGUUCCUUCUACUUCAGUUUAAGAGUCCAUUAUACAAAUGUCUUAUGUAUUUAAGUCCUGCCGAUGUCUAAGGUUUGAGUUCUCUAUGCAAGUCAUGUCAUAUUCCGACUUCCAAACUAGAAGCAAUUAUGUCUCAUAGUAAUUCAGUCUUUCAUGUAUUCAAGUCUCAUGUUAUGUUGUUCGUGAUCCAUGAAAAUCUAUGUCUCUCAGCAUGUUUGGUCUUAAGAAAAUGUGUUUCUGUAUGUUGCAGAAUCAUUUUUUUUUUUGCUAAAAUUGGCCAAGGUGAUAAAGUUUAUACUAACUCUUGGAAAAUUUCAGCUCUUUGAAUGAGGAGGAAUCACACUAAGUGAAAUUCGUAUCUUAGUUAUUAACGACAUAAAUUUCGGCUUUAUGCCAUAUAGGUUAUGAUAUGUGCAUCCAUGUUUCUCACCGUAGCCUGUCUUAAGAAAUAAGGUUGUGUGUGGGUAUGCUGAGUGACUCUUUACUUAUGAUUCAGACACCUGAUAUCCAAAGCACUCCAUCUCUAUUCUAUUGUAUAUUCACUUCAUUUCCCUCCUUGAGUAGUGCAACAAGUAUAACCUAUGGUUUGAUAAGUUUUACUUUCAUUCAUGAUGAUUGUGCUCGGGUCCCUCAAUGACCCUCCGUAUAUUAGUUUGAUGGUGGUUGUGGAAGCGUAGUAAUGUGUUAGGUAGGGGAGUAUGUGUUCUUGAAGGUGAAAAUCUUAAGGUGAUUUCUUGAGCCAAGGUUAACGGUGAGAGGGAAGAAGGAGGCGAGGUCUCGUUAUGUGAAAUAGUUAGGAGGGAAGUAUAAGACGAGAAUCUUUAUGAGAAUGAUUGAAUUUGCUGGUCUUAGUGGAGAAGUGCAUGGAGUGGGGUAUAGUAAUGAUAGGCUUGAAUUUUUGUGUUUGGUGAAGAAAUAGACCAAUAUGCCAUAUUGUUAGUAUCCCAUGAAUUAAGACCUGAGGUUGUGGGAUUAUAGUGAUGAGGUGAGUUAGUUUCCUAAUGUGAUGUAGAGUACAGGGUCACGUAGUUUAAGUUAGCACCUAUUUCCUUUGAGUUGGGUUUCAGCAUAGAAGUAAUAUACAACAAGACACAGUUCUUGUGGUUAGAUGUGUUAUGGGAGAAUUGUAAGUUGGAUAUGAUGAAGUAUAUUGAGUAAUGUUGGGGCAUAGAUGAAUAGUGUCUCUAAACUUAAGGUCUAUUCGUUGUAUUUUGUAAGGUGAAAAAUGCUUCUAAAUCCUGUCUCCCACGAAAUCUCAUGAUUAGUACCAAUUAUAGACACAUAAUUUUGUCCCUCCCCGAAAGCAUUUUAACCAUUUUUACUCUCGCCUUACCACGUACCCUCACCCAUGUGAUUACAUCCCAUAAAAAUACCAAAAAUAAUAAUCCUAUCCUAUCCAACUUUACACCUCAUCCUAACAACCUACCCCACCCCAUACCCCUACCCACCUACCCACGUACCCCUCCCCUUUAUGUUUUUCAUUUGGUUAUCCUAUAAGAGAACAAAAAAUAAAAGGGGACCACCACAUUCACUCAGAAGGGGCGAAAAAAAAGGGAAGACACCCAACUGGCUCCACUGAUUUCUUUACCAACAAGAAUAUAUAAUUGAACACAAUACAGAAAAGGAAGGAGGGCAACAUCAUCUUCUCCAUUUUCCUCUCACAUACACAUACCAACACACACAGAUGCCAUUGAAUACCCUAUUUUUCUUCUCCUUGAUUUUCCAUUGUCACACACCCAUAGAGACACCAUUUUUCUCUCUUUUGUUCUUCCUUUUGAAAUACACGUAACCAUAUAAAGUAAAUCGCGCACACACACGCAUUGAGCAAAAAAUCAAAACAAAAAUAAAGAGGAUUUGAGGGUUUUGAUUGUUUUUUCUUUAGUUUUUCUGGUGAAAUCUCGCCGGAAUAGUCGUCAAGCUCAUCGUCUCAACCUACUCAGCCCCAAAACCCCUCAAUAUUCUCUUUUCUUCUCGAUUUCUGGAUAGGAUUGCACUGGAAUCAACAUCCAUCGUGAGUUGGAUUAAAAUCAGUUCCAAGUCCGUUCCCGUCGUUGAUUGAGUCAGUACAAGUGUUGGUUAUUGUAGUCAGUUUUGGGUUGCUUGUUUAUCGAUAUCAAGUUGGGAUUUUGUCGUUGUUGAGGUUUCCUAUUCGGGCUUUUGGAUUCGGACUUUUUUUAACUCGUAUCAUCAACGAAAGUCAUAUUGGAAGGUCCAAUUCUACCCUCUCUCCUUCUAAUUCUUACGUGAUUAUGAAUAAUUUGUGUAUUUGCAUGUUUGAAUCCCCGUUGGUUGUUUGCUUGAUAUUGAAUUUGGAGGAGAAAACUUGAUUGAUGAAUUGCGUAUAGAAUUAGUUUGAUCAUGUUGUUAACAAUGGAUUUGGGGGUGAGAAUUGAAAAUUUGAUAUAAUUGGUGAUUUUGGUUAGUUUGAUUUAAUUGUUUGUUUAACUUGAAAUGACCGUUAAUUGAACUUGGUAGUAUCAUGAUACGCCAAUUGAUUUAGGCAAACGUAGGUUGGGUAGGCAAAGUUUAGAAUUUGUGAUUUUGUUGAAUAUUUGAAAUUUGGGUGAAUAAUUUGGUUUUCUCGCAUUGAAAAAUUAUACUUAUUUGAUCGGAAAAUGCCCCGAGGUAUUUGUAUUGACUUAUUCGGGGAAUGCCCCGAAGUAUUUUGUACUCGGAGGACAUUCGUGAUGAAGGCCCAAGGCAUCGGGUAAAACGUCGGAGCAUAGUUUAGAAUAGGAUUUAUAUUUUUUUUGCAUUUUUCUAUUCUUGGAUUGUAAUAAUUGGACUGGACACUAUAAUUUUAGAUUUUUUUGUUUGUUUGAUUGAUUAGUUUGUAUGUUUUUGUGUGGUUUAUACACUUUUAGUGUCGAAUUAGCCGAUAUGCUCCACCAAGCGACUGUGGUUGAACCACGGGAUCGAGGGGUGCCUAACACCUUCCCCACGAUCAACAGAAUUCCUUAGUCGGAAUCUCUAUUUGCGGAUCAGUUUUAGAGUAAAACUAUUUUGAAAAGGAUUUUCAAAGGUGACUUGGCACCCGAUUUAUGCCAAGUGGCGACUCUGAGUUAAUUGUAAAAUGAAUCCUUUUCGGAACAAAUUUUCUAAUCCUUUUCGGAACAAAUUUUCUUCUUUUGUCACUUUAAUAAUAAAAACCCUUUCGAACCUUAAAAUUGAAUCUUAUUUGGUUAAAAAUGAGGUGUGACAACUCUGGCGACUCCGCUGGGGAUCUUUCAGAAUUUGAGUUUAUUUUGGAGUUGUAUCGGCUUAAUUUGACACUAUAGGUGUAUAGACAUUUUGUUGGUGUGGUUUUGUGUUAUUGUUUUAUCAUUGUUGAGUGCCUAAGUGCUCUUUGUUUACAGUUUUUACUUUAUGUGUUACCAUUUUAUAUCUGGCAUCAUGUGCAUAACCCGAGUAAUUUUUUCUGCAAUUAGUCCGUAGUACAUGUGUGUACACGACCUAUAGUUGAGUCACCCUUAUUUUAGGAGGGGGAGCCAUUGGUUUGUAUGGAGUAGGUCGAAAGCUGUCGCAGCCACUAUCGACCAUACGCUCCCCCGAACAGCUUUGUUAGUGAACCUCAGUGUAGGUCAGCCUUUAGGUCAUGCUUAUGUGCAUCAUAUUGAGACCUAGCGGGACCCACUUGGUCCUUCGUAGGAGACUCACCUCUAAAGCAUCCCUAUGUGCUAAAUGUUGCAUCUUUGAGGGUAACGAGGUCAUUUGACAGACUGUUUUGGGCAAAAGCAUGUUCUAGAAUUAAAGGAAGUGUGUAGAUAAGGAAAAGUUUGAAAAAAAGGAGAAAAAGAGAAAAGGUGAAUAAAAAAAAAGGAAUUUCGUAGUUUUUUUUAGAGUUUUUUUUAUGGAUUUUGUUCUUCACAAUCCAAAAAUUCAGAAAAGAUUUUUAUCUUUUGCACUCAUUUCUCAGAAAAUAAAAACAUCAAAAAGAUUUUUCCUUUAUCUCGUUUAGCAUGUAUUCACAAUUCAAAAACUUCAAAAAGAUUUUUCAUUCAUAGGAGUUUUUAUAAAAGAAAAAUGCAAAAAAAUUGUAGGAGUUUUGUACAUUUCAUGAAAAUACCAAUUUUUUUUUCUUUCAUUGUUGUUGGUGUCAUUUUUAUGUGAAGUGUCAAAUUAAAUCUCAAAAAUAUUUUAUUGACGUUUUGCAUCUUUUGUUUAUGCUCGUGUCUCUCAAGUAAGGGUGUUGGUUAUUUAAUCCUUAAUUGUCCAAUCUGGACGAACUACGCACCCCUGAUUCUCCUCUCUCUGGAGUGAGAUACGUAGGCAGCCUAUUGUUGGUUCGGGGAUCUUAUUUAAAAAAUAUAUAAAAAAUUUUUUUCUUCUCCUCAUUUAGAGUAGGUGUUUCAUAUAUGCCUUGAAAAGAAAAAUACAAAAAGAUUUUCCUUAAUAGUUGUAGGUUUCAUUUUUGGUGGAUCUUAUUUAAAAAAAAAUUCAAAAAGAUUUUCUUCACUCUUCACUUAGAGUAGGUGUUUCAUAUACAUAUUUAAAAGAAAACCACAAAAAAGAUUUCCUUUAAUAGGUUCAAGUUUCAUUUUCAUAUGAAAUUCAAAAUCGAAAACCUAAAAAGAUUUUUUCUUUGGUAAUUAUAAGUUUCAUUUCAUAUUAGAAGUUGAAAAAUUCAAAAAAAGAUUUUCGUCGAUUCUUUUGACAAUUUUAUUUUUCUUUUCUUAUUAAAGUUUCAAGAAAAAGAAAGAAGAAUGGAAAAAGAGUUUAAUUGACCAUUUUGGCAAGACUUCAUGAACUACACAUACCUGAUUCUCCCCUUUCAGGGGGUGAGACACGUAGGCGCCCUUAUAGGGUUCGGUGAUCUUUUCAAGAAAAAAAAGAGGUUUUGAAAAAUUGUUGAACUCUAAUGCAUUUUCUAUCUCUUGUCCAGUUAGUUUAAGGUGGUUGGUUUGUGGCAUUGUGGUUGGUCCUUAAUAUUGCUCCAAGUCACAGAGAAAGUUAUGGCCAACAAGGAUACCGAGUUAGUUGUCACUAAUCAGAUAGGGAGUUCGGGGAAUGAGAAUGUAGGAGCCAAUGAAGAGAUUCAAAAAUUAAGGCAGCAAAUGAUAUAAAUGCAUCGAUCUGGGGCUAAUGGGUUCCCGCCUCCUCCAUUUUCUGCUGAUAAUCUUGAAUAUCUUUCUAGCUUGCCUCCAGUGUCACAUACAUAGUUUCCUAUUUUUGUUGACAUGCCACAACAUACAUCAGGACCUACUCCCAGGCUGUAAUAUCCAAACACUUUCAAUAUUCAUUUCCUCACCCCUCAACGCAAAACUACUACAUACUCGGCUCCACCUGUUGUUCAUGCUUUUGCAACGCAACCCCCGUCUGAAGCUCUUGCUUUUAAUGUCAAUCCAGCAGUUGUAAUUCCCCACUCUACAAGCGACCCUGUAUUGAAUAUUUCUAGUGAUCAGAAUUAUGCUCCCGAGACCACAUUUAAGUCGACUGGUCCAUACGGCAAUACUCAACUGCCUGAAGUUCCUCUUAACUAUUAGAAGCCUGUUAUGACAGAAGAGCAAGAGAAAAUAACCAGAAAAUUGAGAAGUUUGGAACUGACUAUGAAAAACUUGCAAGGACUUGGGGGGUACAAAAAUGUCUAAUAUAAAGAUCUGUGCAUGUUUCCAGAUGUUCAUCUUCCUCUUGGUUUUAAAAUUCCAAAGUUUGAGAAUUAUGAUGGACAUGGCGAUCCUGUAGCACAUUUGAGACGCUAUUACAACCAACUAAGGGGCGCUGGAGGGAAAGAAGAAUUACUCAUGGCAUAUUUCGGUGAGAGUCUUUCAGGUCUAGCUUCAGAAUGGUUUGUUGACCAAGAAAUCGGCAAGUGGAAUAGUUGGGAUGACCUGGCUAAUGAAUUCAUGCAAUAAUUCCAAUACAAUAUGGAGUUGAUUCCUGACGAGAAGUCCCUAACUAAUAUGAAGAAAAAGAGUACUGAAACUUUCAAAGAGUAUGCAAUUAGAUAACGUGAACAAGCUGCUAGGGUAAAACCACCAAUGAAAAAAAGUAAGAUAGUGGAGGUGUUUAUUCAAGUGCAGGAUGAAACAUAUUAUCAACACUUGUUACCUGCAUUAGGCAAGCCAUUUAUUGAGGUCCUCAAAAUGAAGAAGAUGGUAAAGGAUGGAAUUAAGGCCGGUCGCAUUGUGAGUUUUGCAACAUUGAAAGCGACUACUCAACCAAUUCAAAAAGGUUUGGGAAGUGUCGGAGGGAAGAAGUAUGGGGAAUAUGCAUCUUCCAUUGUAGUUGGACAAUAGGCACAGGCAAGAGGACCACACCAUCGUUACCCACAGGCUCAAACCUAAGUUUAUGCCCAAGCUCUACAAAAUCUUUCCCACAAUCCAUUAUACUCUAUUCCCCCACCUCCAUAUCCAAUAUACAAUGCACAACUCUAUGGUCAAUUCCCUUCUUAACCACAAUGGCGUGUACCAACUCUUCAGAGUCAUCCUCAAACUCCACAAACAUACCAAAGCCCUUCUAGGCCAGAUUUUUAGUCUAAGCCAAACAAUGAAAUGAGACAAAAGUUGAGGGAUAGAUUCACACCAAUUAGAGAGUCAUAUGCAAGUUUAUUCCAAAAAUUAGUACAGUAAGGAAUGAUCACUCCUCUCCUUGGGUUUGCAAUUCAAGAAGUUUUUAUCCUAAUGUACGAUGCACAUAUUAUUCUGAUAUUUACGGUCACAAUAUUUAAGAUUGUCGUGCUUUGGAAAGAGAAUUUGAAAAGAUGAUUCAAGAUAAAUCCAUUAUGGUGAAGAACAUUGACAGUGAGGAAAGCUCUAGUCAUGCUGAUAUGCAAACCAGUGGCUAAGAUUCAGGCUGUGCAAUUGAGAAGUCACCCCUCUCCCUACUAGGAAGAGGUCUGGUAGCUUGUUUUGUGUUAUUUUUUGUUGUCUGAAUUAUUUUAGGGUUGUAGUUUAGGAUCUAUCUUAUUUUGUCCUUUUGUCGUUUAUGUUCAAACCCUUCUAUCUUUUGUUUCAACUAAAUAAAGUGCCCCAUUUUUCUGUGUGUUUUAAAUAUGUGUUGUUUGUUGUUUUCUUUACAUAGUACAUUUUAUGUUGACUCUAGUGAUAUGACAUGCUAGUGAAAUUUUCAACUAGAUCUUAAAAUCUAGUUUAAGCAUGAACAUUGAAUCAGAGGGUUAAAGUUAGAAAAAAAGAGCAUAUGAGAAAAUAGAUAGAGUGCUGAGAUAUUUGGUGAUAAGUUCAAGCCUUCAUUAAAAAUUAAGGUAAUUAUUUUGAGAAUCACAAGAAUAACUUGGUCAUCAAUUGAAAAACAUAGCUCCAUUAGGUCAAAUAGCGGAUGUGUGAUUUUGAGGAACAGAAAAAUUAUCUCUACGACAGCAUGGGUCAGUCGAUGUGAGGGAUCUAUAACAUAGGUAGAGUUGUAUGUCUGACAAGCCCAGAAGAAGUAGUGGCACACAUGCUCUGUUAAAGUUAGUAUUGUGAAAAUGUCACAGAUGAUCUUCAUCUUUCACUUUUAUAUUGCAUGAUGAGUACUGACAUUUUCAAGGAUUGAUAUGACGAAUGCAUUUCAUUUUUCUAUCUAUCCAUUGGGUCAUCCUUUUUGUACCUUAUUUGAGCCUUAGUGUUAUUUUCUUUCAUACACCUCUUUUGGAAUCAAUAUAGAGUCAGCAAUGCUCAAAAGAAAAGUGUCGAGAAAAAAAUAAUCAGACAAAAAAAGAGAGAAAAAAUGUGUCCAAAAAAGAAAGAAAAGGGAAUAAUGUCAAGAAAAAUAAAGUCAGAAAAAAGUGAAAAUGAGUCAAUAAAAGAAAAAAACAAAGAAAUCAGAAUCAAUCAAAAGAACAAGCUGUCAGAACUAUGCAUGACCUGAUUCUCCUCUUCCGGGGGUGAGAUACAUAGGCUGCCCUACUCUGGGCUCGGUCCAACCAAAUAAACAAUUUAGAGUCACCCAGUCAAAAGAAACUGGGGCAUGAGUUAAUCCUCAUUCUUUGAGUCGAUUCCAAAAGUUAUACGUCCUACCCCACUUUAAGUGUCGUUUGAGCCUCAUGUCAUCCUUUCUUUCUAACCCUAUCCAAAAGCCAAGUUACAACCAAAGAAAAACCUUCAUAUCAAUCUUUGAGAAUGUUAAGGCUAAGUAUGCAAGAGAUAUGAUGACACAUUUUGGGAACUACUUGUGUUCCUCAACAUAAGGAAUCAGGAGAGAAAUAAAAAUGAGAAAGUCUUAUUGGUGAAAACCCUCACGGGCACCAUAAGGAGAUGGUAAAUCGAGAGAGAUAAAAAUGAGAGAGUUUUAUUAGUGAAAACCCUCACGGGCAUUGUAAGACAUCUGGGAGUUGAGAAAAAUGAAAAUAAGAGUCUCAUUAGUGAAAAACCCUUACGGACACCAUAGGAAAAUAGUGAUCUGAGAGAACAAAAAUGAGAGAGUCUCAAUGGUGAAAAACCCUUACAAACACCAUAAGACAAAGGUGAUCUGAGAAAAAAAAAACGAGAGAGGCUUGUUGGAAAAAGCCCUUCAAGGUGUCAUUAGCCGAAUGAGGUCUUAAAUGCAAUUGACCUAAGGAAAAAACUCAUUUUCAAGGCCAUUAACUCAAUAAAAAUUGGUAGAAAGUUUGGAUGGAAAGAUCAGGUAGCUUAAUCAGAAAUGCAUGGCAUAAUAAUUAGAGUUGACUGCCAUUUCUAGAUAAAAUUUUCAUUUCUUUGUUUCAAAUGGGACAUUCAUUGUGUUUUCUUUCUUCUCUUUAUUUUUAUUUUGUUUUCUUGAGUCAGUUGUCCAAAUAAAAUUCAUUGUCAUUUUUUUCUUGUCUUUGAGUCAAAUCCAUAUCAAAAUAAGUGAGAAAAGAUUUUAAAAGAGGCUACCAGCUUCUUCAAUUGUACAAAGCAAGACAAAAGGUCAACACAUGAAAGAGACAUGAUUAUGAGCCGAAAUAAGGCAUGCAAAAAUUUUUGUCAACAUACAAGUCUAGGAACUUAUAGAAAUAUCAAGGUUCAAAGGGUUUAUCUGAAAAGCAUGGCAAAACAGAAAUACUAUGUUUGUUUCAGAGUCACUCUUAAUAAUCUGAGUUCGGAUCAAUGAUGCAGUGAGUCAGUGACAUAUGCUAAUGGUUGAAAUCAAGAUUAAAUAUAGCGGGGGCAAGAAAAAUUGCCACAAAAUCCAAAGCCACAAACCAGCCACCAUGUUUUUAAACUCACCAGUUUUCUUUGUAUGAAACAGGAAUACAAGUUAUUUUCAAAUCAAGAACUUCAGGGUCUAAAUGUCAAAAGAUGCAAUGCCUCACUUCCGAAAAUUCAAGUGGCAGUGUUGCUGCACAGAUUUGAUAAUUAAAACCAUGGUAAUUCAAGUGAUAUUUGUAAGGAGGCGUAUUUCCUUGUUUGGACAAUUCAAGGGGCAUUCGUAAGGAGAUGGACUUCCUUUUCUGGAUAAUUCAAGCAACAUUUGUAAGGAGACACACUUCUUUGUCUGGAUAAUUCAAGCGACAUUUGUAAGGAGAUGCGCUUUUUUUUUUGGACAAUUCAAGCAACAUUUGUAAGGAGACAUACUUCCUUGUUUUGAUAAUUCAAGAGGCAUUGGUAAGGAGACGCACUUCCUUGUUUUAGUAAUUCAAGCAGUAUUGGUAAUGAGAUGCAAUUUCUUGUUUUGGUUAUUCAAGAGGAAUUGGUAAGGAAAUGCACUUUCUUAUUUUGGUAAUUCAAUAGGCAUUGGUAAGGAGACACACUUCCUUAUUUUGGUAAUUCAACCAGCAUUGGUAAGGGGAUACACUUCCUUGUUUUGGUAAUUCAAGAGGCAUUGAUAAGGAAAUACACUUUCUUGUUUUGGUAAUUCAAGAAGCACUGAUAAAGAGACGUAAUUUCUUGGUUUGGUAAUUCAAGCGGCAUUGGUAAGGAGACACACUUCCUUGUUUGAUAAUUCAAGCAAUAUUUGUAAGGAGAUGCACUUCCUUGUUUUGGUAAUUCAAGCAGUAUGGGUAAGGAGACACACUUUCUUAUUUUGGAAAUUUAAGCGGCAUUUGUAAGGAGGCACACUUUCUAGUCAAAAUUUCUCAGUUUAAUUCUUAGGAGACGCACUUUCUAGUCUUGAUCAUUCAAUUUUACUCUCAAGAGAUGCAUUUCUUGGUCAAAGUCUUGAUUUAUCAUUGCAACAUGUAAGAAGAUAUGAUGUGACUUUCCCAAAAGUCUUAUGAUGAUAAACUGGGGAAAAAUUUAAUUUCUGUUUUUGGAACUUUAUUUUUCUAGCAAAUGGAAUUUCUCGUUACAAUAAUUUUUAUUUGGGAUAAUUUUCUUUCUAGUUUUGAUGUGAUUUCAGGAGCCCGUCUGAAGAAUAGAGCGAUUAAAUGAAAGUCAAGCAAUAGAGUGGAAAAGUUGAAAGUCAAGUAAAAAGGGUAAGAGAUAAAAUAUCAAGCAACUAGGUGAAGAAAUUAAUAGCCAAGCAAUAAGUUGAAAAAUUGCAAGUCAGGAGCCCGCCUGAAGAAUAGGGUGAUGAAACUCAAGUCAAGAGCCCAAAAGAAGUUGUAUAGAUAGGAUUUUUGUAAUUUAAUUUAUGUUUUAACUUGUAAUUUUCAUUUUUGAUGUAAUGACAGAGCCGCGGACUGGAACCUCGACGGGACCUCACUCGAUUCUCCAACUCGGUUGUCCUUCUUCCUUUUGUUUCUUCCUUUGAAUAAUGGUCGGGUCAAAAUUCUGUCUCGUUGUCUACUUCUUUGUAUGAAAACACUUUGUGUUUACAUGAAAAGAGGGGCAUGAUGUAGACACGUCAUUUUGUCCCUCCCCUAAAGAAUUUUAACCAUUUUUACUCUCGCCUUACCACAUACCCUCACCCAUAUGAUUAUAUCCCAUAAAAAUACAAAAAAUAACAACCCUAUCCUAUCCAACUUUACACCUCAUCCUAACAACCUACCCCACCCCAUACCCCUACCCACCUACCCAUGUACCCCUCCCCUUCAUAUUUUUCCUUUGGUUAUCCCAUAAGAGAACAAAAAAUAAAAGGGGACAACACCACAUUCACUCAGAAGGGGCAAAAGAAAAAGGGAAGACACCCAGCUGACUCCACUGAUUUCUUUACCAACAAGAAUAUAUAAUUGAACACAAUACAAAAAAGGAAUGAGGGCAACAUUAUCUUCUCCAUUUUUCUCUUACAUACACAUACUAACACAUACAAACGCCAUUGAAGACCCUAUUUUUCUUCUCCUUACUUCUCCAUUAUCACACACCCAUAGAGAUAUCAUUUUUUCUCUCUUCUAUUCUUCCUUUUGCAAUACGCGCACCCAGUAUAUAGUAAAUCGUGCGCACACACGUAUUGAGCAAAAAAUCAAAAUGAAAAUAAAGAGGAUUUGAGGGUUUUGAUUGUUCUUUCUUUAGUUUUUCUGGUGAAAUCUCGCCAGAAUCAUUUUCAAGUUCAUCGUCUCAACCUACUCAGCCUCGAAAACCCCCAUAUACUCUUUUUUAUUCUUGAUUUAUGGAUAGGAUUGCACUGGAAUCAACAUCCAUCGUGAGUUGGAUUAAAAUCAGCCCCAAGUCCGUUCCCGUCGUUGAUUGAGUCAGUAUAAGUGUUGGUUAUUGUAGUCAAUUUUGGGUUGCUUGUUUAUUGAUACCGUGUUGGGAUUUUGUCGUUGUUGAGGUUUCCUAUUCGGGCUUUUGGAUUCGGGCUUUUUUUUUAACUCAUAUCAUCAAUAAUAGUCAUAUCAGAAGGUCCAAUUCUACCCUCUCUCCUUUUAAUUUUUACGUGAUUAUGAAUGAUUUGUGUAUUUGCAUGUUUGACUCCCUGUUGGUUGUUUGCUUGAUGUUGAAUUUGGAGGAGAAAACUUGAUUGAUGAAUCGCGUAUAAAAUUAGUUUGAUCAUGUGGUUAAAAAAUGGAUUUGGGGGUGAGAAUUGAAAAUUUGAUAUAAUUGGUGAUUUUGGUUAGUUUGAUUUAAUUAUUUGUUUGAUGUGAAAUGACCGUUAAUUGAAAUUGGUAGUAUCAUGAUACACCGAUUGAUUUAGGCAAACGUAGGUUGGGUAGGCAAAGUUUAGAAUUUGUGAUUUUGUUGAAUGUUUGAAAUUUGGGUGAAUGAUUUGGUUUUCUUGCAUUGAAAAAUUAUACUCAUUUGGCCGGGAAAUACCCCAAGGUAUUUGUAUUGACUUAUUCGGGAAAUGAUCCAAAGUAUUUUAUACUCGGAGGAUGUUCGUGAUGAAGGUCCAAGGCAUCGGGUAAAACGUCGGAGCAUAGUUUAGAAUAGGAUUUAUAUUUUUUUUGCAUUUUUCUAUUUUUGGAUUGUAAUAAUUGGACUGGACACUAUAAUUUUGGAUUUGUUUGUUUAUUUGAUUGAUUAGUUUGUAUGUUUUUGUGUGAUUUAUACACUUUUAGUGUCGAAUUAGCUGAUAUGCUCCACCAAGCGACCGUGGUUGAACCACGGGAUCGAGGGGUGCCUAACACCUUCCCCUCGGUCAACAGAAUUUCUUAGCCGGAAUCUCUGUUCGCAGAUUAGUUUUAGAGUAAAACUGUUUUGAAAAGGAUUUCCAAAGGUGACUUGGCACACCCGAUUUAUGCCAAUUAGAGACUCUGAGUUAAUUGUAAAAUGAAUCCUUUUCGGAACAAAUUUUGUUCUUUUGUCACUUUAUUAAUAAAAACCCUUUCGAACCUUAAAAUUGAUUUUUUUUGGUUAAAAACAGGGUGUCACACCAAUGUAAAUAGGGCCUAUGAUCACCGAAUAAACUCAUGCAUUAUGUUGUGAUGAUGAUGAUUUACAGAACUCGUGUGCAAGGUCAUCCCUAUGUAAAGUCUCAUUUUCUCAUGUUUUGUGCUUUUACGUUUCACUAGGGGUUACCAUGAAGCUCGUUUGAUGCCUGAACAUUUUUUUUAUGUGAAGGAGACAUGUCCAGCACAAGGUUUUGUUCUUUAUUCCACACUUUUAUAACUUCAAAAGGUCCCCACCCAUCAUUCGGGGACGAAUGAUCCCAAGGCAGAGAUAAUGUAACACCCCGUACUUUUGGGCUAGAAUCUAGACCCACGUUCCUACUCGUAUAGACCUGAAUAAGAUGAUUCCUUGUUUAUAUAUGUGUGGUGAUCAAUCCUAUAGUGUGUUAAAACCUUUAAAUAUGACUUGAGGUCACAAAAAUCUCCUAACUCCAAGAUGAGUUGGAAACAUUUCUACUAAUUAAGUUUUAGGGCCUGUUUAAACUUGGGUAAACUUCCAUUGACAAUAACUCCUGGUAUAUGAUGAAUUACAGGGACUACUAUAUAUCAAAUGAAAGGUCUUUGAAGUAUCUUUUCAAUGAUACUAAUUUUGGCCAAAUCCGAUAUCCGAACAAAAAGUUACAGCCAUUUUCGUGAUAGAGGCAGUAGCUGCGCGCGAUUAGCGUGCGACGCACGCUAUGUCGCACGCCCCAAAUUUUCAGUUUCUCUUUUUGUGUGUUUUAAGGGCAAUUUGGACCUUUAAUUCACCCUAACCCAUCCAUAACAUAAAAUAUCAUCCCUAAGGAGCAUUAGAUAACAGUUUUUCUCUAACUAAAAACCCUCGCCACCUCUAAGAACAAGAAAUCAAGAAUUCAUCCUUGUAAGUCAAGAUCUUCAAGAAGAGUUUCAAGAAUAGGGUUCCAAUCUUCAAAUCAAGAAACAUUAAGAUAUGUGGGACUUCUCUAAACAUCAUGGGCAUAGUUUUUCUAUUGUUUUAAUUAUGUUAAAGAUCCCCAAUUAUAUUUACAAAGAAAGGGUUUAGAAUUGCUUGAAAAACACGUCAUGAAAUUGUUUUGAAGGAAAUGCAUCUUGUCUUGAAUUGUCUAUCACAAAUUUUGAAUACAACUAUAUAUCUAUGUUUUGGGGUGCAAUGAAAAUUUUGAACGAGAGCAUGAAUGAUCAAAACUCCCUCUUUAUCAUGAUAUUUUUGGAUUUAUAUUGUUAUGGGUUGUUUAAAGGCAUGAACUUUUCGAGAUGGAAACUAAGUAGUAAAUACUUGUUCAAUGAUCAUGGAUUUGUACUAUUUAUGAUAUGUCAAGAGGUUUUUUUCAAAUGGUAAAUGUUCAUUGUGUCAAAUUAACCUUUUUCCUUGAAUCUUAAAUAACACGAAUAUGAGAUGGACACCUAUUGUUUGUAUAAAUGAGAGGAGAGUGUUUUGAUGAAAACGUGAAUGAAAGAUCUUAUGCAUAUCUCUCUCUCACUUGGUGUUUUAAAAGCUAUGGGUGGUCAUUAACAUGGUAAUACAUGAAAAGGGCUACAGAUUGAUAAGAUGUGAUUUGAUUGACUUGUAAGUCAGGGUAUGAUGAUACUUGGUGAUUAUAUGCCCUUAACAAGAUAAAUAUUGAAUAUUUUGAACGUAUGAAGCAUGUUUGAUUUAAAAGAACUAAAAGUUGGGCUUAAGAGAGUUAGAUGGUUACUCGAAGAAAGAACGAGUCAGAUGACUCUAUGCCGAAAAUCGUGAAUUGCCGAUACGGGAACUAGCUACCCUUCUAUGUUAUCUUGUGUACCUAGUACUUUGUCAUCCCAAAUCGUGACUUAUGGUUUGGAGCCCUGCUUUGUGAUCUUGAGCCCAUCCACGACAUAAUGACUUGAUUGGGAUUGUGGCACCUUACUGUGUGAUCUUGUGUGCUCUUCCCUCACUAGCACUCCAAUCUUGGUGGCAAUCGAGAUUUGGUAGUAGGUGAAAAAUGUGAAAUUGUAGGAUGUACCAUCUAACUCAGAAGAAUAACAAAGAGUGAGGCAAGGUUAUCAAGAACUAUUUUGAAAUUAUUAAAUAUGCCCAUGUAUUCUUACUUAUAUAAAGCUCUCUGUUACUAUGAAUUACUCUCAUCUAUUUUGUAUAAAAACAUGUUAUUUUGAGUUGUUUCAUAUACCAGUACAUCUGUAUUGACCCCCCUAUAUUUUAGGAUCUGAGCCACAGUCCCGGGAUCCAACUAAUCAAUAGAUUGGAUUGUUCGAAGUUUGUAGGGGGUGAGCCUUCUUUAUUUCGAACUAGGGGCCUUGUCCUAGUUUUAGUUAUGAUGAUUGGUCUUGAUGUACUAGAGAUUUUGCAGACAGAUGGUAGAUAUUGUUGAGGGUUUAUUGAUUUCUUUCGACUGUUCAGUCGUAUGAUGUUAUUGAUCAUGUUUUCAUAUGAAUCCAUUUCCUCAUUCUCUUUAUGAUUGUUUGAAUGUGUGUAUGAUUGCCUUUUAACAAAGAGGCGCUCGGGCCUUUACGGCUUGGGAUGCUCAUCACGGCCAGGGUCUGGUUCGGGUCGUGACAAUACAUCUUAGUAGAGCCUGGAUGUACAACAUUCCUCAAAGUGUGAGCUUCGUCAAGGAUUCUUUUCCACAACCCAUCUACAUCUAGCAUACAUAAUCUACCCUGAUAACUCAGAAUUCCAUCACCACCAAUUCAAAAGACAUCACCUUCUGUUGCCCCACAUCUUUCUUAAUUUGCUUCAAAAUUGGAUCUUCGGCCUGCUUCUCUUUGACUUCUGCACAAAGGGAAGAUUUAUCUAUCUCAUGAACAACCACUGCUCCAUCUUCGGAAUCCAAAAGUCGCAUCCAUAGAUUUGCAAGUCAGUAAAUAUCCUUUACUAUCUCUCUCUUCCCUUCCUUAACAUAAGAAAGACUGCCCAUAGAUAACCUACUAAGGGCAUCAACCACCACAUUCUCCUUGCCCGAAUGAUAUGCAGGCUCAUGUCAUAAUCCUUUAACAGUUCCAUUCAACACCUUUGUCUAAGGUUUAAUUCUUUCUGUGAGAAUAAAUAAUGCAAACUCUUGUGGUCAAUGAAAAUAUGAACAUGUACCCCAUAAAGGUAAUGCCGCCAUAUCCCAAGAACAAAUACCGCAACCACUACAUCCAAGUCAUGGUUAAAGUAAUUGCGCUCAUGCACUUUCAGCUGCCUAAAUGCAUAAGGCACCACCUUACCAUGCUGCAUAAGUACACACCUAAGUCCCACACGAGACACAUCACAGUACACAACAAAGCCCUCUGUUCCUUUCGAAAGAGUCAAAACAGGAGAAGUUAUCAACUUAUCUUUGAACUUCUCAAAACCAUUCUCACAGGAGUCAGACCACACAAACUUUACCUUUCUCUGUGUCAAAUUAGUGAGUGGAGUAGCUAUGGAAGAAAAACUCUCUACGAACCUUCUGUAAUACCCUGCCAAACCUAAGAAGCUCCGAAUGUCGAUUGGAGUGUUGGGUCUGGACCAUUUUCUCACUGCCUUAACCUUUUGGGGAUCAACCUUAAUUCCCUCACUAGACAUAAUAUACCCCAAGAAAGCAAUAACAUUUAGCCAGAAUUCACAUUUGGAAAACUUUGCACACAACUUAUGAUCUUUGAGAGUCUGAAGAAUAAUUUGAAUGUGAUUGGCAUAGUCCUGCACACUCUUAGAAUAGAUCAAAAUAUCAUUAAUAAAAACUAUGAUAAAUAGAUCUAGAAACUGACAGAACACCCUAUUCAUUAGGUCCAUGAAAUCUGCAGGGCGUUAGUCAACCCGAAAGACAUAAAUAUGAAUUGAUAAUGACCUUAGCGGGUUCGGAAACUUGCUUUUGGAAUAUAUGACUCUCUAACCUUUAACUGAUGAUAUCCCGAACGAAGGUCUAUCUUUGAAAAAUAUCUAGCACCCUAAAGCUGGUAAAAAAGAUCAUCAAUUCUAGGAAGAAGAUAAUUAUUUUUAACGGUGACCUAAUUUAGCUGACGAUAAUCUAUACAUAUAUGGAGGGAACCAUAUUUCUUCCACAUGAAAAGAACAGGUGCAACCCAGAGAGAAACACUAGGAAGGAUAAAACCUUUGUCUAGAAGAUCUGUUAGUUGCUCUUUCAACUCUUUUAGUUCUUGAUACGAGACAAAGAGGCCUCUUAACUUUCAAGGAUAUGAUUGGAGACGAAUACAUUGAGAUUCGAGCUUGGGGGCUACUCAACUAAGAAGUAAAAGCAUUGAAGUUUCAAGAAGGCCUUUCAAAACACUCUAAGGCUUCCCAAUUAUACAUGCCAAAGCCGCCACUUUGUAAUGGCUCAUUAAGGGCCUUUUGGACAUUUUGUGUAAUAGUUUAACCUAGGCUAUAAAUAGAAUAUGUUAGGUCAUUUUCCCAUAACUUUGAUGAUAUUUUACAAGGUGAAUUCCUUGUAAACAAGUUGGAUAUAACUUGUGUUGGUGCUAGUUUUGAAAUAUUUGUUGCUUGGGAAUCUUGUUCCCUUGAGGUCACCGUAGAGCUUGGUGUUAAUUGUAUGAAUUCUUGGGUAUUUAUGUUUAAUAUAUACUUAAGUUCAUAGUGUUUGUAAUUUGUAUGUCAAGUUACCUAUUUAUCUAUCUAUCUGUUUGUCUAUCUAUCUAUCUAUCUAUCUAUCUAUCUAUCUAUCUAUCUUUCUAUUUAUCUAUCUGUCUAUCUGUCUGUCUAUCUAUCUAUCUAUCUAUCUAUCUGUCUGUCUGUCUGUCUGUCUGUCUGUCUGUCUAUCUAUCUAUCUAUCUAUCUAUCUGUCUGUCUAUCUAUCUGUCUGUCUGUCUGUCUAUCUAUCUAUCUGUCUGUCUGUCUGUCUGUCUGUCUAUCUGUCUGUCUGUCUGUCUGUAUGUCUGUCUGUCUUCUGUCUGUCUGUCUGUCUGUCUGUCUAUCUAUCUAUCUAUCUAUCUAUCUAUCUAUCUAUCUAUCUAUCUGUCUGUCUGUCUGACUAUCUAUCUGUCUGUCUAUCUAUCCAUCUGUCUAUCUAUCCAUCUAUCUAAAUAUCUAUCUGUCUAACUAUCUGUCUAACUAUCUAUUUGUCUGUCUAUCUGUCUAUCUGUCUGUCUGUCUGUCUGUCUUAUCUGUCUGUCUGUCUUAUCUGUCUGUCUGUCUGUCUGUCUAUCUAUCUGUCUAUCUGUCUAUCUGUCUAUCUGUCUAUCUAUCUAUCUAUCUAUCUAUCUAUCUAUCUAUCUAUCUAUCUAUCUAUCUAUCUAUCUAUCUAUCUAUCUAUCUAUCUAUCUAUCUAUCUAUCUAUCUAUCUAUCUAUCUAUCUAUCUAUCUAUCUAUCUAUCUAUCUAUCUAUCUAUCUAUCUAUCUAUCUAUCUAUCUAUCUAUCUAUCUAUCUAUCUAUCUAUCUAUCUAUCUAUCUAUCUAUCUAUCUAUCUAUCUAUCUAUCUAUCUAUCUAUCUAUCUAUCUAUCUAUCUAUCUAUCUAUCUAUCUAUCUAUCUAUCUAUCUAUCUAUCUAUCUAUCUAUCUAUCUAUCUAUCUAUCUAUCUAUCUAUCUAUCUAUCUAUCUAUCUAUCUAUCUAUCUAUCUAUCUAUCUAUCUAUCUAUCUAUCUAUCUAUCUAUCUAUCUAUCUAUCUAUCUAUCUAUCUAUCUAUCUAUCUAUCUAUCUAUCUAUCUAUCUAUCUAUCUAUCUAUCUAUCUAUCUAUCUAUCUAUCUAUCUAUCUAUCUAUCUAUCUAUCUAUCUAUCUAUCUAUCUAUCUAUCUAUCUAUCUAUCUAUCUAUCUAUCUAUCUAUCUAUCUAUCUAUCUAUCUAUCUAUCUAUCUAUCUAUCUAUCUAUCUAUCUGUCUAUCUGUCUAUCUGUCUAUCUGUCUGUCUAUCUGUCUGUCUGUCUGUCUGUCUGUCUGUCUGUCUGUCAGUCAGUCUGUCUGUCUGUCUAUCUGUCUAUCUGUCUCUCUGUCUGUCCGUUUGUCCAUCUGUCCAUCUGUCCAUGUGUCCAUCUUUCUAUUUGUCUGUCUAUCCGUCUAUCCGUGUAUCCGUCUAUCCUAUCUAUCCGUCUGUCCGUCUGUCCGUCUGUUUGUUUGUCUAUCUGUCCAUCUGUCCAUCUAUCCAUCUAUCCAUCUGUCCAUCUAUCCAUCUAUCUAUCUAUCCAUCUAUCCCUCUAUUCCUCUAUUCUUUCUGUCUUUCUGUCUUUUCGUCUUUCCGUCUUUUCGUCUUUUCGUCUUUUCAUCUUUUCAUCUUUCCAUCUUUCCGUCUGUCCGUCUAUCCAUCUAUCCGUCUGUUCGUCUGUCCAUCUGUCCAUCUCUCCAUCCGUCCAUCUGUCCAUCCAUCCGUCUGUCUAUCUAUCUAUCUAUCUAUCUAUCUAUUUCAUUGUUAUUGUUGUUCAUUGUCAGAUUUGGUGUCCCAAAACUGAGACUUUGUAUUUUUCUUGUUCUUGUGCUUAUGUUGUUAGUCUAGUUUGUUGGCUCUUUAAUUUUAGAGGUGUUGAACACCUUAAUAUCUUAUUGUUAUUGUGUUUUCUUUGUUGUUGUAGUGAAUCCAAGAGUGGUCACCAAAGGGGUCCCCGGUUCUCCUAACUUGUGGACUGUUUUGGUGUUUGUUUUGUGUCUCCUUUGUUGAUCUUGUAUCAGUUCUGUAGGAGCCAUUCUAUAUGGCAGAAUUGAGAAGGGACCGGUGUAUAGCGGUAAGUUAAUACUAAAAUCUAUCUCCUUAUCAGGUGGUAUUCCUGGGAGAUUAUCUGGAAAGACUUCGGGAAAUUUAUUUAUAACAGGGACUGACUGAAGAGAAGGAGUCUCAACAUUAGAAUAUUUUACUUAGAUCAUAUGAUAUAGACAAUAUCUGGAAAUGAGCUUACGGGCUCUAAGAUAAGAUAUAAAGUUCCCUUUAGGUGCUAAAGAAUGUCCCUCCCACUCUAUCACUGGUUCAUUUGGAAAAGAAAAAGUGACUCUUCAGGUUCUACAAUCUUGUGUGGCAUAGAACGAAUGGAGCUAGUCCAUUCCUAAGAUAGCAUCAAACUCAACCAUAUCAAGCUCUAUCAGGUCUGCCACCAUAUCCCGACUAUAAAUAGACACAACAUAAUUUUUAUACACCUUCCUAGCCACAACAGAAUCUCCCACCGAAGUGGAAACAGAGAAAGGUUCAACAAUUACAUCAAGCUCAAACCCAAAAACAACUACCACAUAAGGGGUCACAUAAUAUAGGGUAGACUCGGGAUCAAGUAACACAUACACAUCACGAGAGAAAAUCUGUAACGUACCCGUGACCACAUCUGGCGAUGCUUCUGCCUCCUAGCUGUUGGAAAAAAGUAUAUAACCUGUUGUGACCGCUUUCGAUAGUUGGAGUGGCGCCCUUGGGCGGUGGUGGUAGAGUGAAAGAAUUAGCCUGUGACUUGGCUCCCUCAACACUACCUCUCACUGUCGGACAAUCCCUCUGGAUAUGGCCUAGCUAGCCACACGAAUAACAUACCAUGGAACCAAACUGGCAUCUUCUUGGAUGAUUUCUCCCACAUCUUCCUCAACACAGGUAUGACCGAGAAGUCUGAUCUAUACUUCCCUGAGACUGGGCACCCUGCACUUUCGUCCCUUGACUAGACUAAAAAUUUUGGCAUCGCUAAUCAGCUGGAGAUGUGGGCACCGGAGCACUGACUAUGGACUGAGCAUUAUCCCAAUUCUUCUUCUUUUUCUGCUAUCUGUUACCCCAAUUACCACUCUAUGGCUGACUGUGGCUCUGGUCUGCUAUUCUGACCCUCUUGGCCUGCCUGUUCUUCUCUCUAGAUUCAACGAUUCUCUUAUUCUUCUCCUCUACCUACUGCAUGUGGACUGACAGUCUAGAGAAGUCCAUAUCCCUGUUUAGCAUUGCCCUUUUACAGUUGAGCACCAAGUCAUCUGAAAAGUCGAAUGCAAAUUUUCUCAUAUGGGCUCUCAUAUUACGAGCCAUCUCCGGAGCAUAAUAGGCUAGUUGGUUGAACUUUAGAGUGUACUCCUUGACACUAAUUUUUCCUUGCUUUAGGUUCAUAAACUCUUUAGCUUUGGCCUCCUUCAACUUUAGAGGAAAGAAUCGAUCUAGGAAGGCUUCCACGAACUCACCCCAUACUGUGGGCUCAACAUUCUUACCCUUAGAAUCUUCCCACUCACUAUACCGCUGAUUCGUAACUUCUUUAAGCUGAUAAGCUACUAGUUUCACCCCUUCUACCUCAUCUAUAUGCAUCACCCUAAAAAUAUUCUCCAUCUUAUCGAUAAACUUCUGUGGCGAAUUCAUCCUCAUGAACUGACCCACCCUAGUAACCUCAGAUAUAACAAAUGUAGGCCUAACAUCCUCUGACCGUUGAGUCUGUGUAGCCACCAACUACGCAAGCAUAUGAAUUAACUGCCUAAAUUCUGCAUAAGAUACCUCUCUCUCAUGAGGUUGGGUGUGGUUGGUCACCAAUCGGGGAGCUCUAGGUGCCCUGGGUGGGCUGGUAUGAGUAGGUGGGACUCUUAAAGUAACAACAUCUUUUGGAGUUUGAGCUCUAUUGUGUGUACUCAUCCCAUGAGUGGGAUGGACUUUAUCAGUUUGAGCAUUUUGAUCGCUAGAGCGACGUAGAGGCAUGACUGCUUUUUUGAAAUGCAAGAGCAUGGAUUAGAGAAUAGAUUAGAUUCCAAAGCAUGAACUAAAUCACAAAGAGGGGAACCAUUCCUAAAUGCCUAGUAGCCUCCUGCUUAUAAGUAUGGUGUGCUACACACACAUAAACAAGACGUUAGUCGACACAAUUUUGCAGAUACCUUGGGACCAUGAACCGAGCUCUGAUACUAAGUUUGUUACGAUCCAAACUGAGGCCCUGGCCAUGAUGAGCAUCCUGAACCAUGAAGGCCUAAAUGCCCCUCUCCAUCUAGUAGUCAUGGACAACGUUCAUACAAUAAAAGAAGAUGCAGAACAAAAUAUAAUAUAGAAUCAUGGUCAUUCUGAAUUCAAUUUAAAGGUGAAAGGUAAAACCCAUAAUAACUAAACAAUAUUUGAACCAGUCUCCAAAAUCUCUAAUACAUGAUAAAAUGACAACUGUCAAAAAACUAGGACAAGGCCCCCAGUAGAACAAAACCAUAAUAAAUGAUAAGUCAGAAAGAACAGGCCUUCUGAAAUAAAUAAGGCUCACCACUGCACAAUCUGCUUCUGUCUGAACACUCUACUGCUUAGUCGAUCCACUAGAUUUAGCCUCAGACCCUGAGAGGUUGGGGGUCAAUACAGUUGUACUGGUACGCAGAUAAAAUCCAAAAUAUUGAUUUUUAUUUAACAUAUAUGAGAGCAAUUUAAAACAGUUCAUAAAUAUGUCACAUGCUAAGAAUCACAUGGGCAUUUUUAAAAGACUCUAUAAAAUCAUCUGAACUCUGUGACACUCUUUCUUUUACUUCUGCGCCAGGUGGUAUAUCCUACAAUUCUGUAAUUCCAUGGGCUACAAGGAAUCUGCCCUUAACUCGGCAGCCAAGUCCCCAACUCAAGUUUGACGCAAGGGUCGGAGUCUCUGAAUCUGUACUACGCCACAGGGCCAUCGCCAUCGUACAAAAGUAACAUACCCGUAUUGGCAAAACACGACUUUAGGCUAUAAGUUGAUUGACUCGUGCCCUCUUCAGGUAAACACCUAACCCUCUUUAAGCCAUUUUUAAUUAUUUACAACAUGCAAUCUUUGAAAUUAGACUCUAAAGACUCUAGUUCUGUUAUGGCAUAAAUUUAUAUGGUAUCGUCACACCAUUGACUUGCAAGUCACAUUCUUUGAGCCAUUUAUAGAAAAUUAUAUAUCUAUCCUCAAAAUAUGGAAUUGAGGACCACCAUAUCAACAGUUUUUUUCAAGAAACUCAUUCUUUAAAAAUCAUGUAAACAUAUACAAGAAAACUCUCGUUUUCAAUAUUUCAAACACACAAGAAGGUCAUGUCAAAGAUAUCAAUCACAUGUAACUUUCUUUUUAAUACAAGAAAGAAAUCAUAUCAAGAAACUCCUUCUCAUCAUCACCAAAACAUUGUUAUUACUUUAAUAUUGAUAAGAUCAUUUUCAAUCCAUUAAAUAUGCAUCUCAAAUCAUUCUCAAUAGUUUCAUAAACUCUAAAUCAUCAAAGAGAGGGAUUUCAAUGAUAAUGCUCUCAAUAAAAUCUUCAAUAUCAUACAUAUACAUAUAUAUGUAAAUCAAUUUUAAGGGGGAAAGACCUAAAGGCCAAAACAAUAACAUUAUCAAAACAUUCAUAAUGCAAAAUUUAAAGCGUAAGUUCCAAGACCCCUUUCAAAUUCAUGCUUGAUAAUCUUUAAAUCACGUUCUAGUGUUUACAAUACUAUGUAUUUUUUAGAUAAACCCCACGUACCUUAAAUUAGGAUUUGAUGGGUGAUUCUUGAAGGCCUCGGGUUGGGGAUUCUAAAUCUUUAAUCAAUUUCUAAAACCGAUGGUGGAAUCUUGAGUUAUUUGGAAUUUUAGUUUAAAACCCUAAGGGGUGUUCUUGAUGGAUUUUGAUGAAAAUAUCAAUAAAGUGGUGUUUUGGGAGUAUAAUCCCAUGUUUAAGCUGAAGAAGGGGGUGGAAGUACCCAAUUUACCCUUAAAAACAUUUCUGAAAGCUGCAGCCUGAAGGGGGAGCUUGCGUCGCAUGCUGUAGUGCACCAGGAUGGAGCGUGAGCCGCAUGAUCCAUCAAACGCUACCCACCAUAGGAAUGGAGCGUGCGUCGCACACAAAUUGCACGAUGCUACUGUUUUGGGUACCAAACACGCCUUUACGCUUGUCCAAAGAUUCUGAAACUUACUCGGGAUGUACCCUUGACACCCUCGAUUAUGAAUCAACUAACAAAUUGUUAUUCUAAGGCCGGGAAGGUCUAGAAAAAAAUCAUCAAAUAUUAAAGGUUCAAAAUGAGACUAAGUCUUUUUGACACUUAGAAAAAUAUUCUAGUUUUCAACUCUAUGUGCAUACUACUAAGAGCUAACACAUGUACGACUUUUGCGGGGUGUUACAUUCUAUUAGUUGAAUGCAUGUAGGAAAAAAUAUUUUUGAGAAUCCCAUUGUGGAUGUUCUUCCAUUCAACUUUCGUUUAACAGUUCGAUAAUCUAAUGUGGUCUGAAAAGUUUGAAAUAACUUAAAACUAAGCCUUGAUGAAUAUAUAAAUGAUUUUAAGGGUUCGUGAUUUUGUAUCUAAUAUCAUUUAUGGAUUAGGGUGUUUGAUAUGAAGAACAAUACUUUUCACUAAAAAUAAGUGCGUUUCUUUCUUAUUUCUUAAAAUAAGUAGAAAAUAUUGGUUGAAAAUAUUUUAUAUAAUUUAUGGAAAUACCCUGGAGAGGAGUGAGAAUAGGAGUAUGGGAAUGCUUGGAGAUGGAGGCUGGAAGUGUUGGAGGAUGAAGAGGAAAUAAUUAAUAUGGAAUACCACUUAUGUAACUUGCUCUCGUACUUCCGCGAGAGAGGUUAUUUUUCUCUUUUUAAGGAAUAGAAAAAUAUAUCGACCAAAUAUAGGAAAGUUGAAAAAUGUAAAGUGAAAAAUAUUUUUCUCUAUGCCUAGACAACCUUAGGGGACGUUUGGUAGAGUGUAUAAGAAUAAGGCGUAAUAUAGUGUAUUAGUAAUGCUUGCAUUAGUAAUGCUUGUACUAGUUGUGCUUGCAUUAGUUAUAUUGAUAUUGUUUCUUAAACAUUAUUUGAUUUGAUGUAUUAAAAAUAAUAUAUCUUACAGAAUUCCUAUUAAAAAUGUUUGUUUACAAAAAUAUCCUUCUUUGACAUUGUGCACUUUCUUUGCAACAAAGUUUUUUUGUCAUCUUAAACAUAAUUAGUAUUGUUGAACAAAUAUAUAGAGGUAUAUGAGUACUUGCAAGACCUUCGGCUUUACGCAUGAAAUGUUAUGCUGAUGGAUUACCAUAGUCGAAACAAAAAAAAAUACAAGAUGUAGAAUCAAUGAAUAGUUUCAUGUUAUUUUUAAUCAUUUUAAAGACCCUUGAAGAAAAAUAAAGAUAUAUUGUAGUUAUUUAAACCAGCUAUCAUAAGCAUAAUCCAUACAUAAUUCAAAGUGCGGAAGAAAUAAUGAAAUUCAACUUGAUCUGAUGAUCAAAAUAUGUCAAUAAAGUUAUGAAAAUAAAAUACUUAAAUCCCACCUACGAAGCCUCUACUGAAUACUAACUGUUAAGGAUAGAACAAGGCCACCGGCUGGACCAUAAACUGAAAGAAGUCAAUAUAUGAAUAAAUGCUCUCCAAAAGAUGGAUGGCGUACCAACUCUGUCAUUAUACCAAAUGUUCUACUGAUGUGAUGGACCACGGGACUGUGCCUUAGAACCAGAAUUAUAAAGGUCAAUACUUGAAAAAUAUUGGUAUGAAAAACAAUCCAAAAAUAGCGUAUAUUUCAUUUAAAAUACUCAAGAGAAUUGUGAAAACGAUUUAGCAUAGUGACUAUAAAAAACAUGAGCAUAAUUCAAAGGCUUCAAAACAUUCUUGUAAAUCAUGGACUCAACUCUUUAAUUUACUUCUAAGCUAGAUGGUACACCCUAAACGUCUAUUAUCCUACAGGCUAUAUGAGAUCCGCCCUUAACUCGGUGGCCCAACCCCCAAUCCAAGUUUGCCGCAAAGAUUGGAGUUUUCAUAGCAUGAUAAAUCUCCCAGUGAGUAUACCGUAGGCAUCCACUAAUGGGAGAUGUCCUAAUUAUCCUCCCAUAUAGUAUAACAUAUCAUAAAUUCCCCGUCGGCAAAACACGAUUUUCGACAAUGAGUUAUCUGAAUUUGUUCCUUCUUCGGGUAACCAUCUAACUCUCUAAGAGCUCAUUUUUAGUCUUUUAAAACAUGCAUCUUUCCCAAAACAUAGUCUGAAGUAUGAAAAGAUGUCAUCACAUUUGUUUGAUUUGGUAUUGUCAUACCAAAACUUGUAAGUCAUAUAAGUCAUAUCAUGUCAUGUCAUGUCUUUAACCCUUUAUUUAAAAACAUGCUAUUUGACCACCAAAAUGAUUCUAUUAUCACAUGAGAGUUAUUAUUUUAAAAUCACAUGAAAAAUUAUGCAAAGUACUCUCCUUUCAAGACUUUAACAUUGGGUGACCAUCAUUUUCAUAAAUCACAUGCAAUUCUUUUAUUUAACACAAAAGGGCAUUUAUCAAUAUGAAACACCUCUUGAACAAAUAUAAAAGGACAACCAUAUUUGAUAAAGAGGCAUUUAAAACUUAUUUAUCCAAUCGUUAGUUAAACAACCCCCAACAAUAAUAUAAAUAAAUCUCAUGAUUGAUAAAGGGGGGCUAUUAGUUCAUGCUCUCAAAUUCACUUCAAAACUCAAAAUACAUGCACAUAUUUCAUAAUUAUUUGAGAACCCAAAAUUUUUUAAAUACAUGAAUCUUAUCAUAAAAUUAUGGUCCACAGUCCAAACACUUCAAGACUCUUAACAUAUGCACAUAAUCAAAGUUUCAAACUUGAAGAAAAUCCCAUAAUAAAUGGAUAAUUCUAUCAAAAGGUUGAGGUUUCGAAAUUCAUGUUUUUUAAUCAACUUCAAAGACUUAAAUUACAUACAUACAGAAUAAGGAUUAUUAAAAUCAACAUAUUUAUGCCAAUAAAUUUUAGGAUAGUUCUAGUGUAACGCCCCGAAGUUUGCCUAGCUAAGUUUUUCUCUAAAGUAUCAAGCAUGGUCUUCUAGAGUGAUUUAUACUUAAUUACCUAUGGAAUUACAAUCUGUCGACAUAAGAUUCGUCCAAAACGGACACUCGGUAAAGGAGUUAUGGUUAAUUUAAGUCCUAGUCGUAAAACACCGUCAUUCGUAUUCUUGGCGCGUCGCAGAGAGGGUGUAAAUGACGAUGGUCAAUUUCUAGUGAGACUCCGCGAUGGUGGCACAUCGUGGAGUGGGCCAAAUUCCUAUUCUUCAAUUUCCAGUGAGCCACAGCGAUUGUGGCAUGUCGCGGUGGCCCAUAAAAUUAGACACCCAGUUAUAUUUUUAAUCCAUAUCAUUAAGGGUAUAUUGUGUAUUUCUAUCCCUCUUAUCAGAUUAAACACGGGAUUAUAUUCCCAACUGACCACAUUACUCAUAUUUGCCUCAAAAAUUCACAAGAACUCUCCCUAGGGUUUCAAAUAAGAAUCCCGAAUAACUCAAGAUUUAAUCGUGGGUUUUCAAAACAAAUCAGAGAUUUGGAAUUCCCAAGCCAUAGGAAUCAAGAAACAUUCUUUAAUUUCCUAAAUCGAGGUACGUGGGAUUUUUCUAAAAUCUCAUGGGCAUAGAAAUCAUGAUUUUAAGAAAGGGGUUUUGAAUUUAUGAAUAUAUUCAUGUUUUAGAAGCGUUGAUGAUAUUGUUUUGGCCUUUAGGAUUUCCCCUAAAUUGAUUUGAAUAGUAUAUAUGUAUGUAUGCAUUGAAAACCGUGAAUUGGGAAUUGAGAGCAUGAAAUAUAUAUAAUCUCCCUCUCCCAUUACUUUAUUAUUUGAUUUACAAGUUAUGAAUCUUUACAUUUCAUGGUUUACAGAAUGAUUCAAGAUACUUUUUGUCCUAUGUGAAAUUCAUGAUGAUUAAGAAUGGGAGAGAGGAAUGCUUUUAUGAUUUUAAAUGUUGAGACUGAUAAACAAAGAAACUUCAGGAAUGUUUUUGAGAAGUUGGCCACUACUUGUUGAAAUUGUUGAAUGAAUGGAAAGUCUUUGCAUGAUUUUUGACUAAUGAUUUGAGAUAUGACUCUUCUUACAGUAUAUGUAUGAUCAAGUGGCCUGGACAUUGUUUUAGAAUGAAAUAAUCUUAUAUGGCUCAGAAUAACGACUUGCAAUUCUUGGUAUGAUGAUACCAAUUCAGACAAUGCCAUAACAGAGACAAACUAACACAGACAUCAAACUUUCAUAUUUUAGAAUUUCAGAAUGAUGCAUGUUCAGAAAAGGCUAAAAUAGGUUAUAAAGAGAUGUUAGGUGGUUUCCUAAAGAGAGAACGAUUUCAGAUAACUCAUUGCCCAAAACCGUGAUUUGAUGAUCCGAGUAUAUUAUAUUAUGCUGGCAUAGUGCCGUAUGGCAUAUCAAAAUCAGAGAUUCCAACCCUUGUGGCACACUUGGGUUGGAGGCUUCCCCGCCGAGUCAAUGGCGGAUUCCAUAUAGACCGUGGAAUAUCAGAAUUGUAAGGGAGUGCCACCUAACUCAAAAGUAAUACAAAGAUCAGAAUUUGCAUUGAUAGAAAGGUUUUAUGUUUUCAGAAAUCCCGUGUGUUUUGAAAAUUAUAUCUUUCAUGAUGUUUAUGACUAGCUCUUACCUAUUUUAGUUAUAUAAAAGCUUUAUUUUGGAUUGCUCUAUGUACUAGUACAUCUAUAUUGACCCCUCUCCCUCCCAGGUUCUGAGGCUCAGUCUUGGGGUCCAGCUAUUCAGUAGAGUAUUUCAGAGAGAAAUAAUCCAUGCAGUGGUGAGCCUUCUUUGUUCUACAAGGAUCAUUUAUUUCAAAUUAUGUGACUACUAUGGUUUUGGUCUAUUGGGGGCCUUGUCCCAGUUUUCAAAUAGAUGUUAUUUUUAGAUAUAGUAGAGAUUUUGAAGACUGGAUCAGAUAUUGUUUAGAUAUUAUUGGAUCCUUCACUGUUAAACUAAAUACAAAGUACAACCUUGUUUUCAUGUUUGACUAUAAUUCUGCAUUUUCUUUUAUUAUAUGGAUGUUGUGCAUGAUUACCAUAUAGAGAAGGGCAUUUUAGGCCUUCAUGGUUUGGGAUGUUCGUCAUGGACAGGGCCUCGGUUCGGGUUGUAUCAAACUUGGUAUUAGAGCACGGUUCAUGGUCCCAGGGUGUCUGCAAAAUCGCGUCGGGUAGAGUUUUUUUUAUGGGUGUGUAGCACGCCAUACCUAUAAGCAGGAGGCUACUAGGCGUUUAGGAAAAUAUUUUCCCUCUUUAUGGUUUAGUUCAUGCGUUAGAGUCUGAGUUAGAAUUGUCCCUAAUUAGUGAUCUAUUGUAUUUCAGAAAACAAUCAUGCCUCCCCAUCGUUCCAACAAAUAGGAUACUCAGGAUGAUUAAGUCCGCCCACCUAUGGGAUACGGGCCCGUAAUAGAGCGUACACACUAAAACCUAUUCCUACUAUGGGAGUAUCUCUAGUCUCGACCAGUCCUCCUCGAGCUCCUGGAAUAAAUGUUAAUUAUUCCUAGUUGUCCAUGAGGGACAUAUCGAAUACAAAAUUCAAGCAGUCCAUUCACAUGCUUGCAUAAAUAGUAGCCGUAUAGACUCAAAGGUCAGAAGAUACUGGGUCUGCAUCUAUCACUUCUGAGGCUAUUAGAGUGGGCUAGUUUAUGAGAAUGAACCCACCCAAAUUCUCUGGCACUAAGGUAGAAGAGGACCCAUAGGAGUUCGCAGAUGAAAUGGACAAAAUUUUCAAAGUAAUACAUGUGGAUCAGGAGGAAGGGGUGGAGUUAGCAGCAUAGUAGCUUAAGGAUGUAGCGAACCAAUGGUACAAUGAGUGGGAGGAUAUGAAGAGAGAGAGUGCUGAGACCACAAUCUGGGAUGAAUUUAUGGAAGCUUUUCUUGACUGAUUCUUUCCUUUAGAGUUGAGGAAAGCCAAAGUAGAGGAAUUCAUGAAUUUUAAAUAGGAGAAUAUAAGUGUCCAGGAGUACACUUUGAAGUUUAACCAAUUAGCCCGCUCUGCACCAGAGAUGACUAGCAAUAUGAGAGCCCGGAUGAGGAUAUUUGCAUUCGGCCUUUUAGAUGAUCUAGUGCUUAAAUGUCAAGGGGCGAUGAUAAAUAGGGAUAUGGACUUUUCUAGGCUGUCAGUCCAUAUGCAACAAGUAGAAGAAAAGAAAAAUAAAAUCACUGAGUUUAGAGAGAAGGACAGGCAGGCAAAGAGAGCCAAAAUAGUAGAUCAACAUCACAGUCAGUCGGAAAGUGGUAAGUGGGGAAGUAAAUGGCAGAAAAAGAAGAAUUGGGGUAAUGCACAGUCCGCAGGCAGCGCCCCAGCACCUAGACCUCCAGUCGACAGAAAAUCUCAGAGUUUCCAGACUAAUCAGGGAUCUAGAGCUUAGGAUACUUAGUCACAGGGUAGUGUGGCUCUGCAAUAUCGUACUUUUUUGUGGUGUGAGACUUGUGGUAGGAAUCAUCCAGGAAGGUGUCAGUGGGCAGCAUUUUUAUGUUAUUCAUAUGGUUAGCCAGGUCACUUACAAAGGGAUUGUCCAUCUGCUAAAAGAAAUUUUGGUGGUGCAAAAUCUUAGGAAAAUUCUUCCGCACCACCACCACAUCAAAAGGGCACCACUUUAGCUGCCGGAAGCCGUCACAAUUGGCUGUAUGCUUUGAAUAACCUCCAGGAGGUAGAGUCCCAGAAGUUGUCACCGAUAUAUUACAAAUCUUUUCCCGUGAUGUAUAUAUGUUUCUGGAUCCCAGGUCUACCUUAUCUUAUGUGACCCUGUAUGUGGCUGUUGGUUUUGGGUUUAAGCCCGAUGUGAUUGCUGAACCUUUCUCUGUUUCCACUCCGGUGGGUGAUUCUGUUGUGGCUAGGAAGGUGUACAAAAAUUGUGUUAUGUCUAUUCUUAGUAUGGAUACUUUGGCAGACCUCAUAGAACUUGAUAUGGAUACUUUUAAUGCUAUCCUAGGAAUGAAAUGGCUCCAUCGGUGUUAUGCCAUACUAGAUUGUAGAACACAAAAGGUUACCUUUUCUUUUUCGAAUGAGCCAGUUAUAGAGUGGGAAGGGCAUUCUUUAGGACCUAUAGGGAACUUCAUAUCUUAUCUCAAAGCCCAUAAACUUAUUUCCAAGGGAUCCUGUAUCAUCUUAUUCGGGUUAAAGAGUCUAACACCGAAAGUGUUCCUCUUUGUUCUAUACCUGUAGUAAAUAAAUUCCUAGAAGUUUUUCCAGAUGAUCUCCUAGGAAUUCCACCUGAUAGGGAGAUAGAUUUUGGUAUUGAGGUGUUGCCAUAUACCCAUCCUAUUUCUAUUCUGCCAUAUAGAAUGGCUCUUAUAGAGCUAAAAGAGUUGAAAGAAUAGUUAGUAGAUCUCCUAGAUAAAGGUUUUAUCAGACCUAGUGUUUCUCCCUGGGGUGCACCUGUACUCUUCGUGCAAAAAAAAGAUGGUUCCCUGCAUAUGUCCAUAGAUUACUGUCAGCUGAAUAAGGUCACUGUUAAAAAUAAAUAUCCUCUUCCUAGGAUUGAUGACCUCUUUGACCAACUUCAGGGUGAUAAGUGUUUUUCUAAAAUAGACCUUCGUUCGGGAUAUCAUCAAUUAAAAGUUAGGGAGUCAUACAUUCCUAAAACAGCUUUCCAAACCAGAUAUGGUCAUUAUGAAUUCUUAGUCAUAUCCUUUGAAUUGACUAAUGCCUCUGUGGCUUUCAUGUACCUAAUGAAUAGGGUCUUCCAUCAGUUCCUUGACCUAUUUGUCAUAGUUUUUAUUGAUGGCAUCUUGAUUUACUCCAAAAGUGAGGAGGACUAUGCCAAUCACCUCCGACUUAUUCUCCAGAUCUCAAAGAUCAUAAGUUGUAUGUGAAAUUAUCCAAGUGUGAAUUCUGGAUGAAUGCUAUUGCUUUCUUGGGGCAUAUUGUAUCUAGUGAGGGGAUUCGGGUUGAUCCCUAAAAGAUUGAGACUGUUAGAAAAUGGCCCAGACCCAUGAAUCCAACCGAAAUUCGAAGCUUCUUGAGUUUGGUAGGAUAUUACAAAAGGUUCUUAGAGAGUUUUUCUUCCAUAGCUGCACUACUUACUAAGUUGACUCAGAAAAAGAUAAAGUUUUCGUGGUCUGACUCUUGUGAGAAUAGUUUUGAGAAGUUGAAAGACAAGUUGACUACUGCUCCUGUCUUGACUCUUUUGGAAGGUACAAAGGGUUUUGUGGUGUAUUGUGAUACGUCCCGAGUGGGACUUGGUUGUGUACUUAUGCAGCAUGGUAAGGUAGUAGCUUAUGCAUCUUGGCAGUUGAAGGUACACGAGCGGAACUACCUCACUCAUGACUUGGAGUUCGCGGCUAUGGUUUUUGUACUUAAGAUAUGGAAACACUAGUUGUACAGAGUACAUGUUGAUGUAUUUACUGACCAUAAAAUUUUACAGUAUGUUUUCUCGCAGAAAGAAUUGAACCUCAGACAGAGGCGUUAGAUGGAAUUGCUAAAGGAUUAUGACAUAAGAUGCACUAUCAUCCGGGCAAGGCAAAUGUGGUAGCUGAUGCCUUUAGCAGGUUGUCUAAGGGUAGUCUUUCUCAUAUUGAGGAAGAGAAGAGGGAGAUGGUGAAGGAUAUUCAUCGACUCAUAAAUCUAGGAGUGUAACUUUUGGAUUCCGAGGAUAGAGAAGUGGUUGUUCACGAGAUAGCUAAAUCUUCCCUUUGUGCAGAAGUUAAAGAGAAGCAGGUUGAAGAUCCUAUCUUGAUGUAGAUCAAGAAAGAUGUGGGUCACCAAAAGGUAUUGUCAUUUGAAAUUGGUGGUGAUGGUAUUUUGAGAUACCAGGGUAGGUUGUGUGUGCCAGAUGUAGAUGGUCUGAGGAAGAGAAUCCUUGACAAAGCUCACACGUAGAGGUAUGUUGUUCACCCUGGCUCUACUAAGAUGUAUCAUGAUUUGUAAACCAUUUAUUAGUGGAAUAAUAUGAAGCGUGAUAUGGCUAAUUAUGUUGCCACGUGUUUGAAUUGCCAACAAGUUAAAGUAGAACAUAUGAGGCCAGGUGGUUCUUCUCAAGAGAUAGCUUUGCCUUUUUGGAAGUGGGAGAUGAUUAAUAUGGACUUUAUUGUAAGACUUCCAAGGUCCCAAAAAUAGUAUGAUUCCAUUUGGGUGAUUGUAGAUAGGCUGACCAAGCCAGCUCACUUCUACCUGUCAGGACUAAUUAUUCGGGAGAGGAUUAUGCCAAGCUGUUCAUUGCAGAAAUAGUUCAUUUGCAUGGGGUACCUGUGUCCAUCAUAUAUGACCAAGGUACACAGUUUUCUUUACAGUUUUGGAAAUUGUUUCAGAAGGGUUUAGGUACCCAAGUGAAUUUGAGUAUGGCUUUUCACCCUCAGACUGAUGGGUAGGCUGAACACACCAUUCAAACCCUUAAGGACAUAUAGAGGGCCUGUGUAAUUGAUUUUAAAGGUAGUUGGGUGGAUCACUUGCCAUUGAUAGAGUUCGCAUAUAAUAACAGUUUUCAUUCCAGUAUUAAGAUGAUGCCAUUUAAGGCAUUGUAUGGGAGAAGUUAUGGGUCACCAAUAGGGUGGUAUGAAGUGGAUGAGAUGCAUAUGUUUGGGCUUGAUCUUGUUCACUAGGCGAUGGAAGAUGUGAAACUUAUCAGGGAACGACUUAAGAUAGCCCAAAGUAGACAAAAAUCCUAAGCUGAAGUUAGAAGAAGGGAGUUAGUAUUCGAGGUUGGUGAUUAGAUAUUUUUAAAAGUUUCUCCUAUGAAGGGAGUCAUGCGGUAUGCGAAGAAAGGUAAGUUGAGUCCUCGUUAUAUAGGACCAUAUCAGAUUUUGAGAAGAAUAGGUGCAGUUGCAUAUGAAUUAGAGUUGCCUGCUAGUUUGGGUUCCGUUCAUCCAGUAUUUCAUGUGUCCAUAUUGAAGAAAUGUAUUGGAGACCAUAGUUUAGUGUUGCCUGUAGAGUAUAUCAAGGCAAUAGACUCCUUGUCUUAUGAAGAAGAGCCUAUAGAAAUCUUAGAUCGUUAAGUUAGAAGAUUAAGGAGCAAAGAGAUAGCCUCAGUUAAAGUGUUGUGGAGAAACCUGAAAAUUGAAGAAGCAACUUAGGAAUCAGAAGUAGACAUGAGAGCUAGAUAGCCAAACCUUUUUGACCCAGUGGAUGACGAAAUAGAAGGUACAAUCCUUGCCUUAUUCUUUCUAUGCCUUAGUAUGCUUGAAAUUGUGCUUGUCUGUGUCCAGCGUCAACAUUCAGGGACGAAUGUUCCCAAGGGGGGAUAUUAUAAUGCCCUAAAGUUUUUCUAUCUAAAUUUUCCCUAAAGUAUCAAGAAUGGGCUUCUAGAGUGAUUUAUACUUAAUUCCCUGUGGAAUUCUUUAUAUUUUAACUUUUCAUUACGUAGAUGAUCGAAUAAGUUUUCUGUCAACAUAAGAUUCGUCCAAAACAGACACUCGGUGAAUGAGUUAUGGUUAAUUUAAGUCCUAGUCGUCAAACAUCAUCAUUCCUAUUCUUGGCGCGUUGGGGAGAGGGUGUAAAUGACGAUGGUCAACUUCCAGUGAGACUCCGCGAUGGUGGCACAUCACGGAGUGGGCUAAAUUCCUAUUCGUCAAUUUCCAGUGAGCCACCGCGAUUGUGGCGUGUCGCAUGGCCCAUAAAAUCGAGCACCCAAUUAUAUUUUUACUCCAUCUCAUUAAGGGUAUAUUGGUAUUUCCACCCCCUUAUCAGCUUAAACAGGGGAUUAUAUUCUCAAGCGACCACAUUACUCUUAUUUUCCUCAAAAAUUCACAAGAACUCUCCCUAGGGUUUCAAAUAAGAAUUCCGAAUAACUCAAGAUUUAACCGUGGGUUUUCGAAACAAAUUGGAGAUUUUGAAUUCCAAGCCAUAGGAAUCAAGAAUCAUCCUUUAAUUUCAAAUUGGAGAUUUUGAAUUCCAAGCCAUAGGAAUCAAGAAUCAUCCUUUAAUUUCCUAAAUAGAGGUACGCGGGCUUUUCCUAAAAUCUCAUGGGCAUAGAAAUCAUGAUUUUAAUAAAGGGGUUUUGAAUUUAUGAAUAUAUUCAUGUUUUAGAAGCAUUGAUGAUAUUGUUUUGGCCUUUCGGCUUUCCCCCAAAUUGAUUUGAAUUGUAUAUAUGUAUGUAUGCAUUGAAAAACAUGAAUUGGGAAUUGAGAGCAUGAAAUAUAUAUAAUCUCCCUCUCCCAUUACUUUAUUAUUUGAUUUACAAGUUAUGAAUCUUUACAUUUCAUGGUUUACAGAAUGAUUCAAGAUACUUUUUGUCCUAUGUGAAAUUCAUGAUGAUUAAGAAUGGGAGAGAGGAAUGCUUUUAUGAUUUUAAAAGUUGAGACUGAUAAACAAAGAAGCUUCAGGAAUGUUUUUGAGAAGUUGGCGACUACUUGUUGAAGUUGUUAAAUGAAUGGAAAGUCUUUCCAUGAUUUUUGACUUAUGAUUUGAGUAUGACUCUUCUUACAGUAUAUGCAUGAUCAAGUGUCCUGGACAUUGUUUUAGAAUGAAAUAAUCUUAUAUGGCUCAGAAUAAUGACUUGCAAUUCUUGGUAUGACGAUACCAAUUCAGACAAUGCCAUAAUAGACACAAACUAACACAGAAAUCAGACUUUUAUAUUUUAGAAUUUCAGAAUGAUGCACAUUCAAAAAAGGCUAAAAUAGGGCAUAAAGAGAUGUUAGGUGGUUUCCCGAAGAGGGCAUGAGUUCAGAUAACUCAUUUCCCAAAAUCGUGAUUUGCCGAUCUAGGUAUAUUAUAUUACGCUUGCCUAGUGCCGUGUGGUGUAUCAGAAUUAGAGAUUCCAACCCUUGUGGCGCACUUGGGUUAGAGGCUUCCCUGCCGAGUUAAUGAAGGAUUCCAUAUGGUGGAAUAUCAGAAUUGUAGGGGAGUGCCACCUAACUCAAAAGUAAUACAAAGAUCAGAAUUUGUAUUGACUGAAAGGUUUUAUGUUUUCAGAAAUGCCCAUGUGUUUUGUAAAUUAUAUAUUUAAUGAUGUUUAUGACUAUAUCUCACCUAUUUUAGUUAUAUAAAAGCUUUAUUUUGGAUUGCUCUGCGUACCAGUACAUCUGUAUUGACCCCCCUCCCUCCCAGGUUUUGAGGCACAGUCUAGGGGUUCAGCUAUUCUGUAGAGUAUUUCAGUGAGAAAUAAUCCGUGCAGUGGCGAGCCUUCUUUGUUCCAGAAGGCCCAUUUAUUUCAGAUUAUAUUACUACUAUGGUUUUGGUCUACUGGGGGCCUUGUCCUAGUUUUCAGACAGAUGUUAUUUUUAGAUAUAGUAGAGAUUUCACAGACUAGAUCAGAUGUUGUUUAGAUAUUGUUAGAGUUUUUCCUUUAUUGUUAAACUAAAUACAGAGUACGACCAUGUUUCCGUAUUCGAUUAUAAUUUUGCAUUUUAUUUUAUUAUAUGGAUGUUGUGCAUGAUUACCAGAUAGAGAAGGGCAUUCUGGGCCUUCAUGGUUCGGGAUGUCCGUCACGGCUAGGGCCUCAGUUCGGGCCGUGAAAAACUUGGUGUCAGAGCAUGGUUCAUUGUCCCAGGGUGUCUGUAAAAUUGCAUCGGGUAGAGUCUUAUUUAUGGGUGUGUAGCACGCCACACCUUUAAGCAGGAGGCUACUAGGCGUUUAGGAAAAUGUUUCCCCUCUUUGUGGUUUGGUUCGUGCUUUAGAGUCUGAGUUAGAAUUGCCCCUAAUCAGUGACCUAUUGUAUUUUAGAAAAUAGUCAUGCCUCCCCAUUAUUCCAGCAACAAGGAUACUCAGGAUGAUGAAGUCCGCCCACCCAUGGGAUGCGGACCCGUAAUAGAGCACACUCUCCAGAACCUGUUCCUACUCUGGGAGUACCUCUAGUCCCGACCAGUCCUCCUCGAGCUCUAGGAAAAAAUGUUAAUCAUUCCCAGUCGUCCUAUAGGGACAUAUCGAAUGCAGAAUUUAGGCAGUCCAUUCACAUGCUUGCACAGCUAGUAGCCACACAAACUCAGAGGUCAGAAGAUACUGGGUCUACAUGAUGAAAUAACAACUGUCUGAAAACUGGGAGAAGGCCUCCAGUAGACCAAAAUCAUAAUAAAUAAUAACUGUCUGAAAGAAACUAGGCCUUCUGAAAUAUAGAAGGGUCACCAACUGGUAAUCUUCACUCCUAUCUGAUGAAAUCUACUGCUUAUCAGGACCCCUAUACUGUGCCUCAGAACCUGAAGAGGGGGUCAAUAUAGAUGUACUGGUAUGCAGAGCAAUCCAAAAUACAGCUUUUAUAUAAAUAAAAUAGUUGGAGAGAAAUUUGUCAAAAUACCAUACAUGAAGUAGUUCUAGAACACAUGGGCACAUUCUGAAAAUCAUAAAUAAUUCUUGCCAAUGCAAUGUUUGAUCUUUGUAUUACUUUUGAGUUAGGUAGCACUCCUCUACAAUUCUGAUAUUCUACAGGCGGUAUGGAAUCCACCAUUGACCCGGCAGGGAAGCCCCCAACCCGAGUGUGCCGCAAGGGUUGGAGUUUCUGAUUCUGAUACGCCACACGACACUAGGCCAGUGUAGUAUAAUAUACCCAGAUCGGCAAAUCACGGUUUUGGUCAACGAGUUGUCUGAACUCGUGCCUUCUUCAGGGAACCACCUAACAUCUCUUUAGGACCAAUUUUAUCCUGUUCUGAAUCAAGCAUUAUUCUAGUUUCAACAUCUGAAAAUUCUAACUUCAAACAUGCAUUUUAUUUCGUUCUGAAUUUACCAUGGCAUAAUCUGAAUCUGUGUCAUCACACCAAGACUUGCAAGUCCUAUUUCUGAGACAUAAUGUAUCAUGUAAAAUUCUUUCAUUAAAAUACAGUUCUAACCACCCAAACAUGCAAACAGUAUAAAAGAUUUCAUGUUCCAAAAACAUAAGUCAAAACUAUGCUGAGAUUAUUCAAACAUAUGGUGGUCAUGUGUUCUUUUGGCAAACCAUGCUACUCUUAGUUAUAUGCAUAUUCAACAUUUAUUAACAUGCAUGUCCCUCUCUUUUUAUUUCAAAAUCAAAUUCAAUUCAUAGCAUAAAUCAAGACAUUUCAUAUCAUGCUUUCAAGAUAUAAUUUUGAACAAGUCAUAUCAUAUGAAAGAUGGGAAAAAUCAUAACAAGAGAGGGGUUCAUUAUAAUUCAUGCUCUCAAUUGAAUAUUCAUCCUUAAACACAUUUAUACAUAUAUAUUUAUAUAUAAUUAUUCAAUCAAUUUGGGGGAAGGCCUAAAGGCCAAAACAAUAUCAUCAAUGCUUCUAAAACAUGAAUAUAUUCAUAAAUCUGAAAAAUCCCUUUCUUAAAAUCAAGAUUUCUAUACCCAUGAGAUUUUAGGAAAACCCCGCGUACCUUAAAUUAGAAGUUUUUGAUUGAACUCUAACUUUUGGGAUGCUAUACGUACGAUUGAUGGGUGCUUCUUGUAGCCCUCGCAAUGGGGAUUCUAUCUCGAAGAAUUAUUGAAAACCCAUGGUGAAAUCUUAAGUUAUUUUGAUCUUUGGGUUGAAACCCUAAGAAGUAUUCUUGAGAGAAUUUGAGAGAAUGAGGGUAUAAUUUGGUUAUUAGAGGGUGAAUCUCAUGUUAUUGGGGAUAUUUAAGGAUGGACAAUGACCCAAAUACCCCUCUUGGAUGCGGAGCUUGACUGCAGAAAAUUACAAAUAGCAGGGCACUACCUCGCUAUCGCCCUGGCUUACUGCCUCUCAUAAAAAUGGCUGUAACUUUUUGCUCAGGUAUCAAAUUUUGGAAAAAAUGGUAUCGUUGGAAAGCUAAUUCAAAGAUAUUUCAUUUGAUAUAUAGUAUACCCUCUAAUUCUUUAUAUACAAAGAGAUAUUGUUGAUUGAAGUUGACCAUGUUUCGACUCUCACUCAACUCGAAUGAUAGGAAAGCUUUCAACUCGUUCUUGAGUUAGGGGACCUUUAUGAUAUUAAUUCAUGCUCAAAUAGGUUAAUAUACUCUAUAAUUGAUUAACAUGCCAAAUUUUUAUAGGAUUUAAGGCUUUUAGAUCAUCUACGCAUAGAAAUGACGAUUUUUGUUCUAGCCCAAAAUGCGGGGUGUUACAUUAUUUUCCCCUUGGGAUCAUUCGUCCCCGAAUGAUGGGUAGGAAUGUUGAAGCUUAAAGGUAUGGAAUAAUGCGGAUAUGAAUGUGUCUUCUAAGAGAUGAUAUAACUGAUCUGAAACAUUUAAACUUCUAUCAUGAAACUGAAUUUUGAGCUGACUUGACUUUACUUGCUUUAAGGAGUUGAUUCAUGCUGAGAAUUUAGGAUUCCCUUGAGGUGUUCAUGAUCCCAUCAUAUGUAUCGAAUUGAGAAGUGAUAACUUAUGUAAGUAUGAAUCUUGAGGCAAUAAGAUUUAGCUCGUACAAAGGUAUUACACUGUCUGAGCUAAAAUGCCUAGAGAGAUUUGAGGCUGCGCUGAACUCUUAUGAUUUGAGUCAUGAGUAAAUAGCUGAAUCUGAAACAUGAUGUUCGGAUUGAACUGAAUUUGCAAUUUACAUGGAUGGAAUAGAUUAUCUCUUUGGAUGGUCAUACAUAUGGGAAUUCGGAUAGCAGGACUAGGUGUAAAGGUGGAAAACCACAGUAACUUGUCUGCCUGACAAUUAAACUUAAUUAUAGACUGAAUUAUACCGGACAAUUAUACUUAACUGGAGUAUCUCUUCCAUACUCUUUCUAAAGAAUUUUAAGUAGCAUUAGGGAGCAAAGAAUCUUGGGCAUGAUUUACACAAAACACCCAACUAAAGGAUCCCAACAUUGACAUUACUCUAUAGCACAGAAUAUAGACAUAUAACUCAUAAACUCGGAUGGAAUUACCAGGCCUUAGGCAAUGCAACUUCUUACUUUCAAGCUUAGCGCACUUCUCGAAUAUUCCCUUAACUAUAUUAUUUCCUUUAAAUACCAUACUCAUUUGAUUCAACUUAGAAUUCUUAUAUGGGCAUCGAGAAAUCUUUCUACCAAUUACUAAAGUAACAUAAGUCCUCUCACCAUGAUCAAACCUAACUUCAAAUCACAAAAUACAACAUGCCACACCACGAUACUAGUCUAAACCAUAUGAUUCAAUCUUCUAUAUAUAUAUAUUAGAGAUCACACCCUAAGCAUAUCGUGCCUUACCACUUCAACGACUAACUCUGAUCUCUUACUAUGGAUUCACUAGAGCACACGACCUUUUCGACCGUCGUUUUUGGAUUUUCAAGCUGUGUUGCGAUGGGGAAAGGUCGUAGUACAUCUCGGGUAAGUUUUAAAAUUUUUUGAAUAGCGUAAGAGCAUGUUUGGGUUUCCAAAAUAGUAGCUCUGGGCGAUUAGCCCACGCCGCCCGAGCUACUGCACUGCUCUAAGGCAGGUGUCGCCUGGUCUAGCCCGACGGACUUGUCGGGUGUCGCCUGCCAACUCUUGUGGUGCCCAGGUUUUUUUAGCAUUCCACCGUUGUGUUUUUAAGGGCAUUUUGGUCCUUUUCCACCUGUAUAUAAGCUUCUUAACACGGGAUUUAGCCUCUAAAACACCAAAAUAUAGUGUUUUUGCUGAAUUUCUCUCAAAAACAACCAAGAACAAGUCAAGGCUUUAAUUGGGGGUUUCAAAUUCCAAUCUUAAUUCACUGCUAACCUUCACGAAUUCUUAAUCUAAGGUAUGCGUAGUGUUCAUCCACGGAUUCCUUUCAUCCGUGGAGUUCAAGAAUCAAUCUUUAAAUACUAAAUUAUGAUUGUUUUGUGGUGAUAUGAUUUUAUACAUGUUGGUGGUUGUUAUUUGUGUUGUAAAGUAGUAUCUAUGUAUUUUCAUGGAGAUAUGAUCAUGUUAGUUGGAACCCAUGAAUUUGAGUGGUUUAAUAUGGUAAAACUUAUGAAUAUACCUAUGCCUUAAAGAAUGCAUGCAAGGUGUUUGAUAAAAUGCUUAGGAUGCUAAAAAUCACGUUCCCAUGGAUUCAAUAAUAUUUAAAUGGCAAGCCAAUGUUAGUCAUUAUGAUUUGUUAAGAAUUCCAUGCUAUUGUUGUGUUUCUUGUGUUGUGGUAUGAAGCCUUCAUGAUAAUGGAGUUAUACAAUAUGUACAUGAUAUAUAUAUAUAUAUUCCAUGCACUCCCUAUCAUGCACAAGAUGUUGAAAAACUACAUGUGGUAUACUAUCCCCUACUUAUGAUAUUGUGAAUUGUGGACUCUACUCUUAUGAUCAAGUUAGUCAUGUGUGUCAGUUUCCUUCCAUCGAGUCCUGGGGGUACUCGUACCUCAAAAAUAUAGCUGUGUGCCUAGAGCCAUAUCAUGUUUCACGAAACCCGAAAUCAAGCCAUGAUUCAGUAGAAAUCAGUCGAUCAUGUGACUCAGGAAACCUCAUGAUCUCAGUCAGUUAUUAGAUAUCAAUAGUAUUCCAUCAGUCAACGGAAUUCAGUAAGCUCAGUCCAUGUACAGUUAGUUAAAUCAUGUUUAGUCUCUUCAGAUGGGAGUAGGAGUUAGCACCGAGUGAAUCCAAGGAUGGGAACUCACCUAUUAUAUGAGGGUGUGAUUCUUAGCAGUUAUCCUUGCAUUACAGAACUAUGUAUCCAGCAUAGGUUGAGACAUCGUAGCCUGCUAUAUGAGGGUAGAUGAGGUGGUUUAGCCUGUUAUAUGAGGGUUCCCACCAUUCUCACUAGAGUUACCUAUUAUAUGAGGGUUGCUCACACAUUAUCUUUACUAGUGGCGUGAUAUUGACACCCUUCUAAUUAGGGUAGAGAUUGGACCCCAGCUUAGCUAUAAUGGCACAUAUAGGGCAUGUCGGUUAAACAACUUCUUCCCAUAGUUUCAGUAUUCAGUAUCAGUAAAAGAACUCAGAUAGUUCUUCAGAUAUCAGUAUAUCAAGACUGUCAGAUAUAGUCAAUUCAGUUAUAGAACGAAACUCAGAUAGUUCAAUCAGAUUUAGGACUAUCAGACACAGUCACCCAUGUUAUCAGAACUAUAGUAUCAGUCAUGUUAGUUAUCAGUAAACCAUGUAUUAGCGUAUAGAUUUGACUAUCACACAUUUAUGAUUCUAAUUACUAUAUAUACAUACUUGCACUCUCACAUUCAUAUCAAUUAGUUAGUUAGCAUGUUCAUGUAUGUAAACCCUUUUGCAUUUAGCCUACCUCACUGUAUACUUAGUAUAUUCCCACAUACUGACACAUUUGCACUAUGGUGCUUUCAUUUAUGUUACACCAUAGGUUCAUAGACACGAGAUGUAGAUCAGCAGUAGUAUUCUAGUCGCAGAGUUACAGUGAGUCCUCAUUCAUUUGAGGAUGAUAUUAUUUUAUUCAUUAUUUCAGUUCAGUUUUGCUAGACGGAGUUAGUUGGAGACAUGUUCCUUCAACUCCUUAUUCAGACAGUACUUAGAGGCUUUUAGAUUUAGUUUAGAUUUAUGUUCAUAUUUUAGAUUUAGAUUUUAGUUGUUUUGGGUAUUCGUUACCCAUAUGGAUGUCAUGUUUUUUUCAGAUUCUUUAUUUAGUUGAACCUUAUGGCCUAUUGCUUAUGUUUUUUUGCAUAUUAUAUGAAUAUUGUGCAGUGUAUAGGUAUAGAUAUCAAUCAUGGGUUAUAUUAUAGUCCUUCAGGGUCAUGAGCACCAUGUAGCAUUCCGGUUCAGAUAAUCGGGGUGUUACAAACUUUGUAUUAGAGCCUAAGGUUCAAUAGAGUCCUAGGAAAUCUAAAAGCUGCAUCUAGUAGAGUCUUGUACAUGGGUGUGUUGAAAGCCACAUUUAUGUGCAGGAGGCUAUAAGAUGUUUUAGGAAUAGUUUCCCUUCUUUUAGUAUUCAUGUUAUGCUAGUGUGCAUAAUCUUAAGUUAAACUCUCAGUCUAAUCUAUUCUUCUUUUAUUUCAGAAUAUGCCUCCAAAGAGAAAAAACCAGCCAGCUCCUCAGCCCGAAGAUCCUUUGGGAGAAUAUGUUUCUCAUACAGAGUUUAGAGUUGCAUUCACCAUACUUGCUCAGUCUGUGGCUGCCCAAAAUGAAAGGCCACCAGUUAUUUUGGCCAAUUCAGUGGUCAACUCAGCCACAGCUAGGACUCGAGACUUCACCUAGAUAAACCCUCCAUCUUUUUUUGGGUCUAAGUCUAAUGAAGACCCUCAGGAAUUCAUUGACCAAGUCCAGAAGGUCAUUGACAUCAUGGGUGUUACUUCUGUUGAGAAUGUUGAGUUAGCCGCAUACCAGUUGCAAGAUGUGGCUCAUACUUUGUACAAACAGUGGAAGUCUAAGAGGGUAGAGGAUGCAGGUCCUAUAGAGUGGGAGAAAUUUGUCAUGGCUUUCUUUUAGAUAGAUUCUUUCCCUAAGAGCUGAGGAAGGCCAAAGUUCUAGAGUUCAUCAACCUAAGACAGGGAAAUAUGAAGGUUAAGGAGUAUUCUCUUAGAUUUAUGCAGUUAGCCAGAUAUGCCCCUCAUGUGGUUGCAGACAGUAGGGCUAAGAUGAGCAAGUUCGUGUCAGGGGUGAAUGAUAGCGUGAUAAAUAAGUGUAGGUCUGUGAUGCUGAACAACGAUAUGACUAUAGCUAGGCUCAUGACCCAUGCCCAGCAAAUAGAAGAGCAGAAGAUUAGGUCUAGGGAGAGGCAGAACAAGAGAGCAAGAUUAAGCAGUUUCAGUUUUGAUCAGCCCAAGUCAGAAGGAGAAAACCGUUCGCAGUUUUGUCCUAAGUCAACAGUUCUAGCCCCUUCUUCCGCUAGUGCCCUAGUGCCAAAAUUAAGAGACGGCAACAGAGAUAGAGCACCAGGCUCUAAAUCUCAGGGCGGUGUUAGCAGUGCCCACACUUAUCCUCAGUGUCAGACUUACGGUAAGCACCAUCAGGGUGUGUGUAGAGCGGGUAGUGGCAUUUGUUUCGAUUAUGGCAAGCCAGGCCAUAGAGUUAGAGACUGUCCUCAAUAAGGUCCUCAAGGUCGCAGAACCGCUUCUCAGUUCAAUUCGAUCACCCGAACUAGCAGGGUGCCACUUCCAGUGCUACUAGUGGGCAACGCCCAAAUAGACUCUAUGCUCUUCAGACCUGAUAGGAUCAGGAAAAUUCUCCUAAUGUCGUUACUAGUAAGUUACAAAUUUUCCAUGUUCAUGUUUAUGCUUUGCUAGAUCCAGGUGCAUCCUUGUCUUUUGUUACUCCUUACAUAGCAGGCAACUUUAAAAUCAGUCCUAAAAUUUUAGCAGAGCCUUUUUCAGUCUCUACCCUAGUAGGUAAAACCAUCAUAGCUCGGUGGGUAUACAGGAACUGACCGGUUAUGAUAUUUCAGAAAGCCACGUCAGUAGAUUUAGUUGAGUUAGAGAUGACUUAUUUUGAUAUCAUUCUCUGGAUGGAUUGGCUUCAUUACUGCUAUACCACAGUCGACUGUAGAUAGGAUAGUUCAGUUUUAGUUCCCGAAUGAGCCCAUCCUAGAGUGGAAGGGUAGUACUUCAUCUUUUAGAGGUCAGCUUAUUUCCUACUUUCGGGCAAGGAAAAUAAUUUCUAAGGGAUGUGUGUAUCGUCUCGUGCAUAUUAAAAAUUCCAAUUCUCAAUCUCCUAGCUUUGCAUCUGUCCCAGUGGUUAAUGAAUAUUCAGACACCUUUCCCAAAGAUCUUCCAGGCAUUCCUCCUGAAAAGAAAAUAGACUUUGGCAUUGAUCUGCUUCUAGACACUCAGCCUAUCUCUAUUUCUCCAUAUAGAAUGGCACCAACAGAACUCAAGGAACUAAAAUAUCAGUUGAAGGAUCUCUUAGAUAAGGGAUUCAUCAGGCCCAGUGUAUCCCCAUGGGCUGCACCUAUCUUAUUCGUGCUCAAGAAAGACGGUUCUCUCAAGAUGUGUAUUGAUUACUGUCAGCUCAACAAAGUUAUGGUCAAGAAUAGGUAUCCACUUCCCAGAAUAAAUGACUUAUUUGAACAACUUCAGGGUGCCAGUUAUUUCUCCAAGAUAGACCUUAGAUCAGGCUACCAUCAGUUCAGAGUUACAGAAUGUGACAUCCCGAAGACAGCUUUCUAUACUUGGUAUGGUCAUUUCAAAUUUCUAGUCAUGUCCUUUGGUCUUACCAAUACCCCUGCAGCUUUCAUGGACUUGAUGAACCAGGUGUUCAAGCAGUACUUAGACAUGUUCGUCAUAGUCUUCAUAGAUGAUAUUCUGGUCUAUUCCCGUACUGAGCAUGAUCAUUCAGACCAUCUCAGAAUUGUUCUUCAGACUUUUAGGGAUCAUCAGUUGUUCACCAAGUUCAGUAAGUGUGAAAUUUGGCUAAGAUCAGUAGCAUUCCUUGGCCAUAUUGUUUCCAAUGAUGGCAUUAGAGUAGAUCCUUAGAAAACCAAAGCGGUAAGAAACUGGCCUCGCCCCAUAUCUCCAUCAAAUAUCAGAAGUUUCUUGGGUUUUUGCUGGCUAUUACAGAUGGUUUGUUAGGGUAUUUUCUUCUAUUGCAUCUCCUAUGUCCAGAUUGACUCAGAAGAAGGUCAAGUUUCAGUGGUCAGAUCCUUGAGAAAAGAGUUUUCAAGAGUUGAAGAGUCGACUCACUUCAGCUCCAGUUCUAGCUUUUCCAGAUGGUUCAGAUGGGUUCAUAGUAUAUUGUGAUGCAUCUAGAGUGGGUUUAAGUUGCGUCCUCAUGUAGCAUGGUAAGUCAUAGCCUAUGCCUCCACACAGUUAAAACCCAUAAGAUGAAUUAUCCUACUCAUGAUCUUGAGUUAGCAGCUGUAGUAUUUGCCUUAAAUAUUUGGAGGCAUUGUCUAUACAGAGUUCAUAUAGAUGUCUUCAUAAAUCAUAAGAGUCUCCAGUAUGUCUUUUCUCAGGAAGAUCUCAAUCUUCUUCAAAGAAGGUGGUUAGAGCUUUUGAAAGAUUAUGACAUGAGUUUCCUUUACCAUUCAGACAAGGCCAACGUUGUGGCCGACGCUCUCAGUAGACUCUUCAUGGGUAGUUUUUCUCAUGUUGAGGAUAGCAAGAAGAAUAUAGCUCAGGAAAUUCAUCAGCUUGCCAGACUAGGCGUUCUCUUAGUCGACUCUUCAGAGGGUGGUGUAUGUGUUCAGAGUAGUUCAGAGUCAUCUCUAGUUUUCGAGGUGAAAGAAAAUCAAUACAGGGAUCCUAUCCUUGUCAAUCUAAAAGAAUCAGUUUAGAAUCAGAAAGUAAAGGUUUUCUUCCAAAGAGGAGAUGGUGUUCUUCGUUGUCAAGGUCGUCUGUGUGUUCCAGGUGUAGAUGACUUGAGGUAGUGAAUUCUUGUAGAAGCGCAUGGUGCACGAUACUCUAUUCAUACAGGGGCCACUAAGAUGUACCGUGACCUGCGAGAGAUCUAUUGAUGGAGUGGGAUAAAGAGAGAUGUUGCAGAGUUUGUGGCUAAGUGCUCUACAUAUCAGCAGGUUAAGAUAGAGCAUCAAAAACCUAGUGGUUCUAUAUAGGAUUCACCAUUCCUACUUGGAAGUAGGAAGAAGUGAACAUGGAUUUCAUGAUGGGUUUGCCUCUCACUCGUCAUCAGCAUGAUUCAGUUUGGGUCAUUGUAGACAAAAUGACCAAGUCAACUCAUUUCUUUCCAGUUCGUACUUCUUAUUCAUCCAAGGAUUAUGCCAAACUCUAUAUUAGGGAGUUGGUCAGAUUACACGGUGUUCCCUUUUCUACCAUCUCAUACAGAGGUACCCAGUUCACCUAUCACUUCUAGAAAGCAUUCCAAAAGGGUCUUGGUACCCAAGUCCAUCUCAGUACAACAUUUCAUCCUCAGACAGAUGGUCAAGCAGAGAGGACCAUUCAAACUCUCGAAGAUAUGCUAAGGGCGUGAGUAGUUGAUUUCAAGGGAAGUUGGGAUGAACACUUGCCUUUGAUUGAGUUUGCAUACAACAAUAGCUAUCAUUUCAGUAUUUAGAUGGCUCCAUUCGAAGCUCUCUAUAGUAGGAGGUGUAGAUCUCCAAUCGGUUGGUUUGAAGUUAGUGAGGCCUCAGUUAUAGGUCCUGACUUAGUAUUCGACGCCUUAGAAAAAUUUUAGUUGAUCAGAGAGAUACUCCAGGCUGCUCAGAGCCAAUAAAAGUCUUAUGCAGAUGUUCAUAAAAGGAUCUCGAGUUCGAGGUCAAUGACUAUGUCUAUCUCAAGAUCUCUUCCAUGAAGGGAGUGAAGAGGUUCGGCAAGAAAGAGAAACUCAGUCCUCGAUAUAUCGGUCCCUUUAGGAUUCUUAGUCGCUUUAGCAAGGUAGCUUAUGAGCUCAAAUUGCCUUCAGAUCUAGCCUCAGUUCAUCCAGUCUUCCAUGUCUCAUUGCUCAAGAAGUGCAUAAGUGACCCAACAAUUGUAGUCCCUAUUCAGAGCAUUGAUGUUCAGAAUAUGAAGAGAUUCUAGUCGAAAUCUUAGACUAUCAGACUCGUAGAUUGAGGAACAAAGAGGUCCCUUUAGUUAAAGUUCUUUGGAGAAAUCAGUCCAUUAAGGGAGCUACUUAGGAAGCAGAAACAGAUAUGCAUACCAAGUAUCCUCACCUCUUCUCCGCCAAUUCAGACCAAGCUCAAGGUAAUAGUUCUCCUUAAUCUUAUUCAUUUUCAUAUUCAUAAUCCCACUAUAAACUUGGUAUCUAUUACCAUUGCAUGCUCAGUCAUGCAUUCAUGUAUCAGUUCAGUUAUAAAAUUAUGCAUUAGCUAUGCAUUCUCAUCUUGAGAAAUUCAAUUUAUUAGAACACAUAGUCACGCAUACAUGUAUAAGUUAUCCAUGCAUCAGAUAUGCAUGAAGUAUAUUUAGCAUGUCAGUUGUGAAGUCAUGUCUCAGUCAUUCAUGUUUAUUUCAUGUUCAGCUUGUCUUUUAUCCUCUCUCAGUUGAUUCUUAUUCGAGGACAAAUGUUCCCAACGGGGAGAUAUUGUAAGACCCCGUAAACUCCUAAGUAUGAAAUUCAGCUCAUUUGGCUUUACAAGCCUCAAGACUUAGAAAAUUUUUACAAGUGUUCAACACUUAGUCUUAUUUUAGACCUCCAAACUUCGGGGAUUUAUUUGAUGACCUUCCCGACCUUUGUUUUUGGAUUUUCAAGUUGCGUUGCGAUGGGGCAAGGUCGUAGUACAUCCCGGGUAAGUUUUUCAGAAUUUUUUGGAUAGAGUAAGGGUGUGUUUGGGUUUCCAAAAUAGUACCUUGGGGCGAUUAGCCCGCGCCACCCGAGCUAGAGCACUUCUCUAAGGCAGGCGCCGCUGGUCAAGCCCAGCAGACUUGGUGGGCGUCGUCUAGCGACUGCGGUGGUGCCCAGAUUUUUAAGCAUUCCUCCUCCGUGUUUUAAGGGCAUUUUGGUCCUUUUCCACUCAUAUAUAAGCUUCUUAACACGGGAUUUAGCCUCUAAAACACCAAAAUAUAGUGCUUUUGCUGAAUUUCUCUCAAGAACAACCAAGGACAAGUCAAGGGUUUAAUUGGGGGUUUCAAAUUCCAAACUUAAUUCACCGCUAACAUUCACGAAUUCUUAAUCUAAGGUAUGCGUAGUGUUCAUCCACGUAUUCCUUUCAUCCGUGGAGUUCAAGAAUCAAUCUUUAAAUACUAAAUUAUGAUUGUUUUGUGGUGAUAUGAUUUUAUACAUGUUAGUGGUUGUUAUUUGUGGAACACAUUAAUUUGAGUGGUUUAAUAUGGUAAAACUUAUGAAUAUACCUAUAACUUAAAGAGUACAUGCAAGGUGUUUGAUAAAAUGCUUAGGAUGCUAGAAAUCAUGUUCCCAUGGCUCAAUAGCAUUUAAAUGGCAAGCCAAUGUUAGUCAUUAUGAUUUGUUAAUAAUUCCAUGCUAUUGUUGUGUUGCUUGUGUUGUGGUAUGAAGCCUUCAUGAUAGUGGAGUUAUACAAUAUGUACACGAUAUAUAUAUAUAUAUAUAUUCCAUGCACUCCCUACCAUGCACAAGAUGUUGAAAAACUACAUGUGAUAUACUAUCUCCUACUUAUGAUAUUGUGAAUUAUGGACUCUACUCUUAUGAUCAAGUUAAUCAUGUGUGUCAGUUUCCUUCCACUGAGUCCUGAGGGUACUCGUACCCGAAAAAUAUAGCUAUGUUCCUAGAGCUAUGUCAUGUUUCACGAAACUCGAAAUCAAGCCAUGAUUCAGUAGAAAUCAGUCAGUCAUGUGGCCCAUGAAACCUUAUGAUCUCAGUCAGUUAUCAGAUAUCAGUAGUAUUCUGUCAGUCAAUGAAAUUCAGUAAGCUUAGUCCAUGUACAGUCAGUUAAAUCAUGUUCAGUCUUUUCAGAUGGGAGUAGGAGUUAGCACUGAGUGAACCCAAGGAUGGGAACUUACAUGUUUUAUGAGGGUGUGAUUCUUAGCAGUCAUCCCUGCGUUCCAGAACUAUGUAGCCAACAUAGGUUGAGACAUCGUAGCCUGCUAUAUGAGGGUAGAUGAGGUGGCUUAGCUUGUUAUAUGAGGGUUCCCACCGUUCUCACUAGAGUUACUUGUUAUAUGAGGGUUGCUCACAUGUUGUCUUUACCAGUGGCGUGGUAGGGCAGAGAUUGGAACCCAGCUUAGCUAUAAUGGCACAUAUGGGGCAUGUCGAUUAAACCACUACCUCCCACAGUUUUAGUAUUCAGUCUCAGUAAAAGAACUCUGAUAGUGCUUCAGAUAUCAAUAUAUUCGGACUAUCAGAUACAGUCAAUUCAGUUAUAGUACAGAACUCAGAUAGUUCCAUCAGAUUUAGGACUAUCAAACACAAUCGCCCAUGUUAUCAAAACUACAGUAUUAGUCAUGUUAGUUAUUAGUAAACCAUGUAUUAGCAUACAGAUUUGACUAUCACACAUUCACGAUUCUAGUUACUAUGUAUGCAUGUUUGCACUCUCACGUUCAUAUCAGUCAGUCAGUUAGCAUUGUUCAUACAUGUAAACCCUUUUGUAUUUAGCCUACCUCACUCGUAUACUCGGUACAUUCCCACGUACUGAAGUAUUUGCACUAUGGUGCUUUCAUUUAUGUUACACCAUAGGUUCACAGACAUGAAAUCCAGAUCAACAGUAGCAUUCCAGUCGCAGAGUUGUAGUGAGUCCUCAUUUAUUCAAGGACGAUAUUAUUUUAUUCAUUAUUUCAUUUCAGUUUUGCUAGACGGAGUUAGUUGGAGAUAUGUUCCUUCAACUACUUAUACAGACAGUACUUAGAGGCUUUUAGAUUCAGUUCAGAUUUAUGUUCAGAUUUUAGAUUCAAAUUUAAGUUGUUUUGGGUAUUCGUUACCCUAUAUAGAUGUCAUGUUUUUGUCAGAUUCUUUAUUUAGUUGAACCUUAUGGCCUAUUGUUCAUAUUUUCUGCAUAUUACAUGUAUAUUAUGCAUCUAUACAGAUAUUAGUCAUGGGUUAGCUUAUGAUCCUUUGGGGUCAUGAGCACUGUGUAACAUUUCGGUUAAGAUAAUCGGGGCGUUACACUAACUCUGAUCUCUUACUAUUGAUUCACUAGUGCAUAUUGCGUGCCUCCACUUAAAUCUCAACAUGUCAUUCAAGCCUAUCUUUAUAACCACAUAUGAACUCCAAGGCAAACACCCAUAAGGCAUACUUCACAUAUUCUCUAAUCCACUAUUAAUAUAACUCCCAGGUGCUACCCUAAGAACAUACACACAUAAAUUUCCACUAACCAUCACAUAUAUCAAAGACUUGGCCCCAGAUCAUACUUCACACUUAUGGCCUUAUCUAAAAUAAACAUACUAUGAUCUUCAAUUAACAAGAAAAAUUUCUCAUCACCACUAUCAUCACAUAAGGAGGAGUCACUAAAAGGUUAGACCAUAAGACCUUGAAGAAUGGGAGAAUAUUAUACGAGACUUGACAUUUAACUGAGGCCGAAGGAAUAACAAAUCAACAUCAGGGAUUUAUCAAAGUGAUCUGAAUUGGGGCAUACAUGAAUAUAAGCUGAAUCUCGUCAAUCAUAAAGAGUAUAGCAUGAAUUUUGGGAACUGAGCACACUAUAAAGCAUGAGUACAUGAGUCAUGAGCUGCAUGACCUCAAUUUGAAGAUCAUAACAUAUGGAAUGUGAUUCCGACUACUGAAUGAAUUGGAACUCCUCAUUUUUAGAACUGGAAAAGCACGUGAUUCUCUAUCAUAGACAUGAACAUUAACUAUGAUCAUGGAAUUGAAAUGUAAAGCGUGAGUAAGUAUUGGGAUAACUAAAAAAUACUGAGAUGAGAAUGGGUUGAGCCUCACCCUCACUUCCUGAUGUUCUAUAUCAUACUGACAUCACUACUAAAAUCUGAGAGUCUGUCUUGGUCACUUGUUUUAUGAUCUCCCCCUUAGCUUUAAGCCAUCAUCUUAAGUUUGAGAGAUCCUUUACUAGACUCUAAACUGAACUACACUCACUACACUCUAGGUUCUGGAAUACAACAAUACACGCAAUUAGUAGGACUUAACCCGAAUGGCUACACCCGGAAGAGGAAAACCCUCUGCUAAUCCUACCUUCUGAGACACACUCUAUCUUUUUAUAGCCCCAAUAGUCAAUCAUAUAAUACUUGAAUACUUACUAACUUUGAAUCCUCGUGAGUACCCCCAUAGUCGGAGUUCACACUCUAUAGCACUUCAACUUUUAUUUCUAUGAGCUCAACCUUCAAGAACUCAAUCCUAGCUUCUAACAUUUAACAUGGAUAUCACCAAGCCUUUGAUGAACCAUACUACUUCCGUCAUAGCCUACCAAUAUUGCGACUCAAAACUUAUAUCUCUCUGCCAUGAGAAUCAAGAUCAUAUAAAAAAAACUCAACACUAUCAAUCAAAACUCCUUAACUUGGCUAUUUAGAAUACCAUAUUCCGUUCAAGCCUAUUAGAUCACUUCCAUAUAACCAGUAUCAUUAACCAAGAAAUCAUCAUAUCUACCUUUAUGGACAUCAACUGUUCAAACUUAAUGUCUAGUGCUAAGCAUGAUUUACAACCCAACCUGACACACAAUUCUCACAAAAUAUUCAUCAUUAAUCUUAAGCCACUAUUCUUACAUCCACAUCCUACAUUAAAUUCAAGGCAAUAGUCUAGCAUCAAUCAUCUACCACCAAUGAAGAAGGCAACACAAUAUACUAGUCCAUCAAAUUGGGACAUUCUAUCCAAAUACCUCAAAAAUAUACUACAUACCUUCUUAGAAGUAGUACUAGUUUGCAACUACCAACGAAAACAAGGUCAAGGGGGUAAAGUCACAUAAUAGACAUGGUCAACCUUAAUCUUAUAUUAUAACCCCAUACAAUCUUAUCUAUUUAUACGACUUUCUCACAUCACACUUACUUACCCAAGCGUAUAUUUAGACUACCUUCAAAUUCCAAAAAUAAUCAUGAGUCUAUAAUUAUAACUUACUGGCUUAUCUAGCCAUUUUCAUACUUCAAGCAGACAACAAUUCACCUUAACUAAUAACUCCUUCUCUACCUUCUACUACACUAACACACAAGGACGUAUCACUUCAUUACCAACUCAAUCUCAUGCAAAAAGAUUCGGCUAUACAUAUAUUCAACCAACAUAAGAACAACAAGUUGCUAGUGAAUCAAAAUAGGCCUCACAUGGCUUCACUAAACUUUGAUUCUUGUGUUUUGAACAAGAAAAUGAAAUGAAUAACAAAGCAGCUAUGCUAGUGAAUCAUAAGAGCCCCACAGACUACCAUAUAAUCCACACAUGCUACUAAAUACCACCUUAGUCUAUCACUAUAAAGUGGUAAAUCAUCCUUAAACAUCGGUUAUUCAACUAAAAUAUUUAUUUACACAAAAGUCACCCUCACUCUGACUUUUAAUUUUGUGACUUCAUAUCACCAAGUUCUUGGUCUAAUCUCACUACCAAUAGGUCAUGACACCGACACUUUAACUUAUACUACUAAUCGGGUGGAAAUACAGUUCCAACAUUUUGCUACACAUCAUUCCCCUUGAAGCAUGAAAUCUGGAACAUAAAUUUUUGAAAAAGGACGGAAUACUCUUAAUACCGCAGUCCAAAAAGCAUGAUUUCAUCAGAAUCAAAGUUCACACAAAAAUCAAUAUACUCUGAGGCACUAACGAACUCUUCUCAAGUCCUUGCACAAAUUUUAAACUCUUAUAUGGCUCAAUCAGAAAGGACCAUACCAUUUAGACUCUAAACUUCUGCACUUGAAUCACCCCAAUAGCGAGACAUAUCUGGGCAUAUCAAAGUAAGGAAAGAAUUGGGAUAACUUUACUUUUGUAUUGGCGACACCAUAUCACGAAUUAGAGUAUGUAAGAGGAACAUUCUGGCUCAAUAGCAUGAACUAGAACAUGAAAAAAGGGAAACAUUCCUAAACACCUAGUAGCCUCCUUCUUAUAAGUGUGGCGCACUACACACCCAUAAAAAGACUCUACCCGACCCAAUUUUGCAGACACCUUGGGACCAUGAACCGUGCUUUGAUACCAAGUUUGUCACGAAUCAAACCAGGGCCCUGGCCGUGAUGGAUAUCCCGAACUAUGAAGGCCCGAGAGCCCUUCUAACUUGUAAUCAUAUACACCAUUCAUAUAUAAAUAGGAAAUACAGAAAUAAAAUCUGCUACGGAAACAUGGUUAUAAUCUAAAUGUAGUUAACAAUGAGGAAUAAAAUCCAAUAUCAACUAAACACCGUCUGAAAACCAUCUGCGAAAUCUCUACUACAUGAUUAAAUAAAAAUUAUCUAAAAACUGGGACAAGGCCCCCAUAGACCAAAACCAUAAUAAAUAAUAACUAUCUGAAAGAAACUAGGCCUUCUUAAAUAUAGAAGGCUUACCAACUGGUACUCUUCACUCCUGUCUGAUGAAAUCUACUGCUUAUCAGGACCCCUAGACUAUGCCUCAGAACCUGGAGGGGGAGGAAUCAAUAUAGAUGUACUGGUACGCAGAGCAAUCAAAAAUAAAGCUUUUAUAUAAAUAAAAUAGUUGGAGAGCAAUUUGUCAAAUACCAUACAUGAAGUAGUUCUAGAACACAUGCGUACUUUCUGAAAUUCAUAAAUCAUUCUUGCCAAUGCAAUGUCUAAUCUUUGUAUUACUUUUGAGUUAUGUGGCACUCCCCUACAAUUCUGAUAUUCCACGGGCGGUAUAGAAUCUACCAUUGACUCGGCAGAGAAGCCCCCAAAACGAGUGUGCCGCAAGGUUGGAGUUUCUGAUUCUGAUACGCCACACAACACUAGGCCAGCGUAGUGUAAUACACCCAGAUCAGUAAAUCACAAUUUUGGGCAAUGAGUUAUCUGAACUCAUGCCUUCUUCAGGGAACCACCUAACAUCUCUUUAUGCCCAAUUUUGUCCUAUUCUGAAUUAUGCAUUAUUCUAGUUUCAAUAUCUGAAAAUUCUGACUUCAAACAUGCAUUCUAUUCUGUUCUGAAUUUAUCAUGGCAUAAUCUGAAUUGGUGUCAUCACACCAAGACUUGCAAGUCCUAUUUCUGAGCCAUAAUGUAUCAUGCAUAAUUCUUUCAUUAAAGCACAGUUCAGACCACCCAAACAUGCAAACAGUAUAAAAGAUUUCAUGUUCUAAAAACACAAGUCAAAACUAUGCUGAGAUUAUUCAAACAUAUGGUGGUUAUGUGUUCUUUUGGCAAACAUGCUACUCUUAGUUAUAUGCAUAUUCAACAUUUAUCAACAUUUAUAACCCUCUCUUUUUAUAUAGAAAUCAAAUUCAAGUCAUAGCAUAAAUCAAGACAUUUCAUAUCAUGCUUUCAAGAUGCAAUUUAGAACAAUUCAUAUCAUAUGAAAGAUAAGAAAAAUUAUAACAAGAGAGGAGUUCAUUAUAAUUCAUGUUCUCAAUUGAAUAUUCAUCCUUAAACACAUUUAUACACACACACACACAUACACACACACACACACACAUAUAUAUAUAUAUAUAUAUAAUUUUUCUAUCAAUUUAGGGGAAGACCUAAAGGCCAAAACAAUAUCAUCAAUGCUUCUAAAACAUGAAUAUAUUCAUAAAUCUGAAAAAACCCUUUCUUAAAAUCAAGAUUUCUAUACCCAUGAGAUUUUAGAAAAACCCCGCGUACCUUAAAUUAGAAGCUUUUGAAUGAACUCUAACUUUUGGGAUGCUAUACGUACGAUUGAUGGGUGUUUCUUGUAUCCCUCGCAAUGGGGAUUCCAAAUCUCGAAGAAUUAUUGAAAACCCAUGGUGAAAUCUUAAGAUAUUUUGAUCUUUGGGUUGAAACUCUAAGAAGUGUUCUUGAGAGAAUUUGAGAAAAUGGGGGUAUAAUUUGGUUAUUAGAGGCUGAAUCUAAUGUUAUUGGGGCUAUUUAAGGGUGGUAAAUGACCCAAAUACCCCUCUUGGAUGCGGAGCUUGACUGCAGGAAAUUACACUGGAAGGAAUAGGUAGGGCGCCACCUUGCUUAUUGCCCUGGUUUACUGCCUCUCACAAAAAUAGCUGUAACUUUUUUGCUCAGGUAUCAGAUUUUCUAUGAAAUUGGUAUCGUUGGAAAGCUAAUUUGAAGAGAUUUCAUUUUAUAUAUAGUAGGCCCUCUAAUUCAUUAUAUACAAAGAGAUAUGGUCAAUUGAUGUUGACCCAAGUUUCGACGCUCACUCAACUCGAAUGAUAGGAAAGCUUUCAACUUGUCCUUGAGUUAGGGGACCUUUAUGAUCUUAAUUCAUGCUCAAAUAGGUUCCCACACUCCAUAAUUGAUUAACAUACCAAAUUUGCAUAGGAUUUAAGGCUUUUGAAUCAUCUACGCAUAGAAAUAACGAUUUUUGUUCUAGCCCAAAAUGCGGAGUGUUACAUUAUUUCCCCCUUGGGAUCAUUCUUCCCCGAAUGAUGGGUAGGAAUGUUGAAGCUUAAAGGUAUGGAAUAAUGUGGAUAUGAAUGUGUCUUCUAAGAGAGGAUAUAACUGAUCUGAAACAUUUAAACUUCUAUCAUGAAACUGAAUUCUGAGUUGACUUGAAGAAAAUCCCAUAAUAAAUGCAUAAUUCCAUCAUAAGGUUGAGGUUUCAAAAUUCAUGUUUUUUUAAUCAACUUCAAAGCCUUAACUUACAUACAUAAUAAGGAUUAUUAAAAUCAACAUACUUAUGCCAAUAAAUUUUAGGAUAGUUCUACAUACCUUUGAUGUAGAAAAAUUAAAUAAUAACCUUGAAUUUGGAAUCUACAAGCUUUAGCAUUGAGAAACCCCUUCUUGAUGAUAUUGGGAGGAAGAGAAUGAGGAUUUGGAAGAAACCCUAGCUUCUUUCUUGAGAGAGAAGAGGAGAAUGAGCGUUUAAAUCUGAUUAUAAAGAGUAAUAAUUCUUAUUGGAAGAUGUAAGUCGUGUGGGAGGAGACGUUUAUGGUGGGGAAAAAACCCAAAUACCCCCUUGAAAACUUUAUAAUAGUGCAAAACGGUUCCUACUGAUGAUUUGGGUGACGGAUCAUCACUCCCGCGAUAGAUAGUCACUCCAACCGUUCCAAAAUGACCAAUUUUCUCUCUAUUUGCUUAAGGACGACGGUCUGGUGCGACGGGCCAUCACCCUAGCCGUCGCACCUUGGAAGACAAACACCUUUUGAUAAAUCAUGCAUAACUUUUUAUUACGAUAUCAAAUUAAAGCAAAACCGAUGGCGUUGGAAAGAAGACUCGAAGACCUCUCAUUUGAUAUACAGGAUGCCACCCUAACUCAUUAUAUUUUAGGAGUAAUAUUUGUUGAAAGUUGACCCAAGUUGGAACAUUUCCUAAAACUCAAUCAAUAGAAAAAUUCUCAACUCAACUUUGAGUUUGGAGAUUUUUAUGAUCUCAAUUUAUCUGUAAAUAUGUUCCCUCACUAAAGAAUUGAUCCUCACACUUAUAUGGACACAAAAUCAUUAGGUUCGGAUCUAUAUAUGUCGGAAUGAAGGUUCGAAUUCUAACCCGAAAAUGUGGGGUGUCACACAAACGACCCCUUAAUCUAAAUGCCCUAUCAAGUAUUUUAGUCACUUAAACAUGGAAAAUUGCACGUAAGAUUAGAAGCUGUGGAAUCAUACCCUAUCAUCCAUAGUGUAAUAAGAAAAAAGAAAAAGGAAAACUUUACACCUUGUUUGGAUCGUUAUUACAAAUACGACAUUUGCUUAGAUUGCUAUUUAAGAUAUAUUAUAUCGUAUUGUUAAAUCCAUCGUGCAUAACAAUGAAAAGCUCCAUUGUGUGUGUUAGCCUUAUACUACGUUGCAACAUUCUUUUGGACAUUUUUCAAUAGUUUUGUGCAAAUUAUGCACUCCAAAGUCUACCAUUUACCUAGCAUGAAUUUCGUUUAAUCCAUAAAAACGUAGAAUCCCAUGAGACCACCCUUUAAUUUUUGUUUACCAUACAAAUUUUUAUGUGCCACACAUUAAACUGAACAAUAGCUUUUAUCUCUUCCAUCCAUUAUUUCAGCAUCUUAAUUUAAGCAAAACCAUACAAACACACAUGAUUCUUAAUCUAUUCACACCUAUAAAUAAUCCUCCUUUUCAUUCUUCAUUUCUCAUAAUCACAAUUUGUUUUUAACAAAAGUAAAAAGAAUGGAGGUGUCUAACAAGAAAAUAACAUCUCCAUUCUUUGCUUUCUUGUUUAUUUCUUCUCUUCUUAUUCAAUGUUUUCCGUGUGUUUCAUCAAAACCAAUUCCUGGAGGAAAAUACAAUAAGCCGGUCCCAAACCCAGGCCCCAUAAAUCCGGUCCCAAAUCCAGGCCAACCACUUCCAAAUCCUACAACACCGGGGGGCAAAAAAUUUUGCGUACCCAAACCUGAGGCUACAGAUAAAAAAUUGACGGCUUGUAUAAAAUGGGUUUGCAAAGAGGGAGGUGUGGAUUGUGGCCCAAUUAAUCCUGGAGGUGCAUGUUCUCAGCCCAAUACUCUUAGGUCUCGUGCAACCUGGGCCAUGAAUGCUUACUUUCAAAUGAAGGGUAAAACUGACAGUAUGUGUGGUUUUUCGGGCACUGGUGUCGUCUCUUCCAUUGAUCCAAGUAAGUAUUCAACAUUUUUUUGAUCAGUGUAAAGAAUUUUGUAAAUUAUUAAAUCACUUUGAAGAUGAAGAAUUUUUGCGAUACAUAUUGACAACGUUUUGUCAAAUCACCAAUAAGAUAACCAUGUAUAAUUCAGCAUAGUAAUUAAGAUUAGUAACCUAAAAUAUUAGGCAAACAACUGAAAUAACAGUUUAAAUUAUACCGAUAGUGUAAAAGUUUUUGAAAUUUUAAGCUUAUGUAAGUUUUCACAACAUUAAGUGUUUAAUCACUUAUUAUAAAAUAAUAAAAUAUUGAAUUUGGAUUGAAAUCAAAUUUAUAAUUAAUAGACCGUGAAUUCAAUAAGAAAACUAAAAAUGGAGCAAUUCAGUUCUAUCGUAAUACAAUUUUUUUUGUAAUUAGUCCCAUGACAAAAUUAUAAUUAUACCCAUUAGUAAGUUUUCAAAUGGAGAAAAUUAUAACUUAUCAUUUUUUAGUGGAUAUUUUGGUAAGACAACAUUAUUAUUCUUGAUUCUAUAGUAAUAUAGACAGAUAGAUAUAAAUUACAUCUGCUUAUUGUUUAGGCUAUUUAAAUAGUGUAAAACGAUCUUGUAUUUUUAGUUUAUAAAAGUUAAAACUCUGACGAUAAUUAUUGAUAUUGUUCAUAUAAGUAAAUUAGUAACUAAUCUUACAAAUAAGAUAAGUAACUUUUUACAACAUAUUAAAAUCCAGUUCACAUUCAAUAUUGUUAGGGUUUUUGUCCUAAUUUUCUUACUAUAUUUAAGCUUUACUUUUUCUUAGAAGGAAAAUAAAAGUUACCAUAAUUACUUUUACAUUUCCUGAUAGAAAAAAUAUAAUUCUUUUCCAUAUUUGGCAAACCUCUUUCUUGGAGGAAAGGUUUUGGACAUCUAUAAAUAAAAGACCCCCUUCCCAUAUCAUAACACAAUAGCAUCAACAAUGUAGUCAUCAAAGAGUCUCGUUUAGGGGGAGAUUUUCUCUCUAAUAGUUUUACGUUUUCUUUUAUAUUAGGUUUUUAUAUGUAGGCCAAUUGGCCAAACUAUAUAAUCAUCAUGUUUUUAGUAUGUUUUUCUUUUCGCCUGAUUUAUCGUCUCAAUAAUUUGUAACUAAUAGCUUCCACAUGACGCCAUCUCGAUUUCAAACCCAACAAAUAUUUUUAUCAUAAAACAUUCUUGAAUUAUUUUAUUGAAAAUCUAAUGAUAGUUGUCCUAAUAAUUGUUUUUUUUUUUUUGUAGGUUAUGGUACAUGCAAGUACCAAUCUUAAGUUUUUCGGACCCCAAAAGAAAGAUUUUGCAGCUACUCCAACAUUUGAAGAAUUAGUUUUGAAAUAUUAAGCUAUUGUUUCUAAAUUCUCUAUUUAAUUUUCAAAAACUAAUCUAAUUAUGUUGUCAUGUAGUGUGUUUUUAUUACAAAUAAAAAAUAAAAAAGAUUGUUGCCUACUUAAUUUUCCACGAUCAAGUUUUAAUUAUAUUCUAUCUUUUAUCCUUUUUGUUUGAUAAUUUAGUGUGCAACAUUCUACUAAAACUAAACAAUGCUAUUACUAUUUGAAGAAUUAUAUAUAUAUGUAUAUUUUAACCGUGAUUUACUUAAUACUAAAAAUAAAGAAAGUAUGGCAAAUAUUGUUAUUCAGUUCAUAAAAGGUAUGAACUAAAAGUGUUUUUUUCUACUGUUUUUGGGUUUUUAUUGAAAAUCUAAUGAUAGUUGUCCUAAUAAUUGUUUUUUUUUUUUUGUAGGUUAUGGUACAUGCAAGUACCAAUCUUAAGUUUUUCGGACCCCAAAAGAAAGAUUUUGCAGCUACUCCAACAUUUGAAGAAUUAGUUUUGAAAUAUUAAGCUAUUGUUUCUAAAUUCUCUAUUUAAUUUUCAAAAACUAAUCUAAUUAUGUUGUCAUGUAGUGUGUUUUUAUUACAAAUAAAAAAUAAAAAAGAUUGUUGCCUACUUAAUUUUCCACGAUCAAGUUUUAAUUAUAUUCUAUCUUUUAUCCUUUUUGUUUGAUAAUUUAGUGUGCAACAUUCUACUAAAACUAAACAAUGCUAUUACUAUUUGAAGAAUUAUAUAUAUAUGUAUAUUUUAACCGUGAUUUACUUAAUACUAAAAAUAAAGAAAGUAUGGCAAAUAUUGUUAUUCAGUUCAUAAAAGGUAUGAACUAAAAGUGUUUUUUUCUACUGUUUUUGGGUCUAUCAAGAAAAUUCUGUCUCAAAUCAAUAGCACAACCAACACACCAAUAUUACACAUACAAUUUACCAAAAUCAUCAACAACCCAUUCACCAUAAAUAACAUUCGCUAUUCAUCUCCAAACUAUGAGAAGAAGUCAAUAACUUCAAAAGUCCAUAAUAACAAAAGAAUACUCAAACUCUAAAGUCAUGACUAUGGAGCGAUUCUAAGAGCUUUCAACUUGAACAAGUGCGAGGCUUACCAGGAAUAUGUCACGACCCGAGGUUACCCCCUAGUCGCAAUAACGGUGUUUACGGUCACAAGUGACCACAAGCUAAUUCUUGAGCUGAUACCUGCUGUGAGCACUGAGUAUAAUAAUAAUAUAACACAUGUGUGAAAGAUACAAUGAGAAAAUAAUACCAAUCUAAAUAUUGAAAAUGUGGUUCAACCACAAGUCUAAAACAUCUGAUGAAAUACUGGAAGCUAACUAUCAAUUUAAAACAACGGAUAAUACUGAAAGGUCUGGUUAACUGAAUAAUCGUCUAACUGACUGUUUGAUUAUUUGAAAAGCCUCUAACUGAAUGACUAAGAAGUUGUGGGAAAAUCCCCCAACUAACUUUGACAGACUGAACAUAAUGACAUUCUGAAGUACUGAAUGAGAAAUAAUAUGUAACGCCCCAAAAUCUAAUCCCCGAGAUGCCACACGGUGCUCCGAACUACAAGUAGUUCUGAGCUAACCCUAGUUGCUUUCUACUAAUCUGAGUCUCAAAAAGGAUAAAUAUAAGCAUGAAACCAUAAUAAGUGCGGAAAUCUAUUUGAAUUCUCUGAACAUAUAUCAAAAUGCAAAUCUCAAUAGUCUAAUAAAAACAAAUAUUGAAUAGAAUCUGAAUAUGAUUUCUAUACCCAUGAGAUUUUUAGGAAAACCCGGCAUACCUUAAUACCGGAAGAUAAUAGAUAAUUCUUGAAGCUUACGGAUUGGGGAUUCCAAAUAAUCAGUCGAUUUUGAAAAUCCAUGGUUGAAUCUUGAGUUAUUUGGGUUUUUAUUUUGAAACCCUUAAGAGAGUUCUUGAGGAAAAUUGAGAGAAAUAAACUUAUUUUGGUGUUAUGGGAGUUUAAUCCAGUGUUAGAUAUGAUAUGGGGUUGAAAACUAUCACAUUUACCCUUAAUGAGUCGGAAGGAAGCUGAAAAUUGACCCCAGGAUAUACCCAGGGCGGAUCCCUUCUUAGUCCACCGCUCUAGCCCAGGCGGUGCCCUGCUUAUAGCCUCUUUCUACUGGUCACGAAAAUGGCAGUAACUUUUCGCUCCAGUAUCGGAUUUUUUCAAAAUUGGUAUCAUUGGAAAGCUAAUUUAAUUAUCUACAAUUUGGUGGGUAUUGGGAUGAAAAUUUCCAUGUAUAUAAAGAGUCAUACACAUUUGAAGUAGACCCUUGUAGAAUCGAAUAUCGAAUUUUGGACUAAUCAAAUGAUCUUAGCUUAACUUUGUUCUAAGUCAUUGCUAUGAACACUUUUCACCUGUAAACUACUUCAUAGAUUAGGAUAAUGAUCAUGAAACUUGUAUUCACAUUCAAAUCAUUUGGAUUAGAGCUUAGACGUGUAGAAACGACGAUUUAAUUUCUAGUUCGAAAAUGUGGGGUGUUACAUUAUCUCCCCCUUGGGAUCAUUCGUCCCCGAAUGAUAGGUAGGAACUUGUUGAAGCUUAAAGGUAUGGAAUAACGAGGACAUAAUGUGUCCUCUAAGAAAUAUAUAUCCGAUCUGAAAUAUUUAAACUUCUAUCAUGAAAUUGAAUUUUGAGCAGACUUGACUUUACCUGCUUCAAGAAGCUGAUUCAUGCUGAGAGUUUAGGAUUCCCUUAAAGUAUUCAUGAUCCAAUUAUACAUAUUGAGUUGAGAAGUGAUAACUUAUGAAAGUACGAACCAUGAGACAACCAGACUUAGGUCACACAAGGGUAUUACACUGUAUGAGCUAAAAUACUUAGAAAUUUUGAGAUUAUGCACUGAACUUUUAUGCACCGAGCCUUGACCAAAUAGCUGAAUCUAAAACAUGAUGCUUGGAAUGAACUGAAUUCACAAUUUACAUGGAUGGAAUAGGUUAUAUCCUGGGGUGGUCAUAUAUAUGAGACUUCGGAUAGUAAGACUGCGUGAAAAGGUGGAAAACCACAGUAACUAAUUAGCCUGACUGUCAAACUGAAUUGCUGGCUAUACAGACUGAAUUACACUAGACACUUAUACUUAACUUGAGUAUUCCUUGAACACCCUUUCUAAAGAAGUCCUAGUAGCCGUAGAAAGCAAGGAAUCUUGGGAAUGAGUUACAAAAGACAUCCAACUAGGGAAUCACAACAAUGACAUUACUCUUUAACACGGAAUAUAGACAUAUAACUCAUAAACUAGGAUAGAAUUACCACACCUUAAGCAAAAAAACUUCUUACUUUCAGGUUACCCACACUUCUAAAAUACUCUCUCAACUAUAGUUUUCCCCUUAAAUAUCAUGCUCAUUGAUUCCACUUAUUUUUCUCACAUAGACGCUGAUAUCUCCAUCUACUAAUGUCUAAACUUAACUAAAUCCUCUCACUAUCUUCAAGCCUAACUCAAACCAUAAGACACACCACAUAAUACUGUAGUACUAGUCUGAAUCAUAAAUUCAGUAUACCCUUCAUUUCACAAUUCCUCAUCUCAUGCAUAAUUCUUAUUGCCACUCCCAUAAUCACCUUCAACUUCUGAUUAGACAUUCACAAACACUCAAAGCAUCCAUCCGUAUGUAAACAAACAUGACAUUCAAGCCUAUAUUCUUACCCACAUAUGCACUUCUAAACAAAAACUCAUAAAGCACCUUCCUCAUAUUCUCUAAUACUUCUAUCCAUAACAGCUUCCCUAUACUAUUCAGAUGAUACACACAAAAUAUUCUCAACUAACCGAGCCAUACAUGAAACUUCACCUCAAAAUUCUUUCAAACUUACAGACUUGGAGUCAAUCUUACUCCACAAUUACUGCCUUAUCUCAACUAAGCAUACAACCAUAUUUCCUUAAUAAGAAAUGUUUACUCUCUCCCAUCUAGACAAUUGUUCAUCAACACUAUCUCGACCUACGGGAAAGGUCACUGAAAAGUUGGAAUAUCGGGAUUCAGAACAUGAGGGGAUUACUAAGCAUAACUUGAUACCCUUUUGAGGCAUGAGAAAUAGAGCACUCAUGGCAUGGACUCAUUAAAGAGGUCUAAUCUGAGGAAGUACCCAACUGGGAACUCAUCAUACUAGAAGCUAGAAGAGUACAUGAUUCCCUAUCAUAUCCAUGAAUAUGAACUAUGAUCGUGGAGCUGAAACAUAAGUAUGAGUAUGUAUCGGAAUAAAUGAAGCAAACUGCUGAAAUAAGAAUACAUUAAGCAUCACUCUUCUCACGGCUAUUCCACCACUUACUGGCACAACAAUUAAAAUUUGAACGCUUAACUUGAUUACUCGUUCUAUCAUCUCCACCUUAGAUUCAAGCCAUCACUCUAAGUCGGUGAACCACUGUAUACACGCUGGUAUAACUGAAAUCACUCUACUCUAGAGUCUGGGAUAUACAAUACACAUAAAACUAAACUUACUUUGAAAGACAGUAUCUUCGUAUAUAAUACCCAAUACUAAUAUCUCCUUCCAAGAUUCAACCCUUAGGCUUCUAUAGCCCCAAAAGUCGUUAUAUAACAACUUAAACAUUCACCAACUUAGAUUCUAACACUAAACAUGGAUAUCAUCAACCUCCAACACAUCAUACUUCUUCCGUCAAAUUCUACCGGUAUCGCUUCUCAAAACCUUUAUCUCUCCCCUAAUCCAUGAGAACCAAAAUCAUACCUAAAAAGGCUCAACAUCCUUAAUCAUAACUCCAUAACUUAGCUAUCACGAACAUCACAUAUUAUUUAACUAGUCUUUCUCCACCUAGCAACUUAAUGGUACUACUAAUCCACACAACAUGCAAUGAUCCUCAAAAAUAACACAUCCCCAUAGCACCUUGGGCGUACUUCUACAUCAUACUUACAACACCAGACUUGAUUUUGAAUCAAAUAAACUUAAGAUCUUGUAUACACUAUUCAAGCCUACUAGGUUAUUUUCACACAACUAACAUCUACUACAUUAUUCAUUAUACCCACCUUGAUCACCAUCUACUAUUCCAACUUAGUGUUUAGUUCUAGCUACGAAGAACCAUAACUUUACACAAUAUUCUUACAUGCCAAACAUCUGAAAACAUUAACCAACCAAAACUUCAUAACAGUAAGGAUCAAUCACAAUCCUAUGAUCUAUCUUAUUUAAAACCCAUUAAUAUGUCCUCCUUCUACACAAUAUUACUAUCUACCCUGAUACAACUAAAAUUAGGGAAAAACUCUAUAAGUCUCAAUUAAGCUCCCUUUUAUAAUCUUAGGGGCAUCUAAUUCAAUGACACUCUUCCACCAAGUACCUUCAUCAAUAAACUACACCUUCCUUGCUCACAACAAACACCGUCAACAACUCUUUUCAUACUUCAAGCAAUCAACAAUUCACCUUAACUAAUAACUCCUUCUCUACCUUCUACUAAACUAAUAUACAAGGACGUAUCACUUCACUACUAACUCACUCUCAUGCAAAAAGAUUCAACUAUACAUAUAUUUAACCAACACCAGAACAAAAAACUACUAGUGAAUCAAAAUAGGCCUCACACGGCUUCACUAGACUUUGAUUUUUGUGUUUUGAACAAGAAAAAGAAGAUAAAUGACAAGGAAACUAUGCUAGUAGAUCGAAAGAGCCCCACACGACUUCAACAGACUUUGAUUUUUUUUUUACAGAAACACCAUGAUAACAAGAUUGCAUAGUAUAAGAGAUAGAAAAUUAACAUACGAUGUUCAAUGAUCUAGGAAUACACAUCUUACUCUGUAUAAAUAGAAAUUUGAGUCAAACACAUCCCCCACAGACUACCAUACAAUCCACACAUACUACUAGCUACCAUAUUAGUCUACCACUAUAGAGAGGUUAAUCAUCCUCAAACACCGGUUAUUCAAUUAAAAUAUUUAUUUACACAAAAGUCGCCCUCACUCUGACUUCUAACUCUGUGACUUCAUAUCACUAGCUUCUUGGUCUAAUCUUACUCCCAAUUGGUCAUGACACUGACACUUUAACUUAUACUACUAUUUGGGUGGAAAUGCAGUUCCAACAUUCUUCUACACAUUAUUCCCUCUGAAAUAUGACAUCUGUAACAUAAAUUUUGAAAAGGACCGAAUACUCUUAAUACUGCAGGCUGAAAAGCAUGAUUUUAUUAAGAUCAAGGUUCACACCAGAACCAAUACACUCUGAAGAAGUAAAGAACUCUUUCCAAGUCCUUGCAAAACUCUUAUAUGAUUCAAUCAGAAAGAACCAUACCAUUUAGACUCUAAACUUCUGUACUUGAAUUAUCCCAAUAAUGAGACAUAUAUGAGAAUAUCAGAGAAAGGAAAGAAUUGGGAUGACUGUUACUUUCGUAUUGGCGACACCAUAGCAUGAAUUAGAGUAUGAAAGAGGAACAUUCUGACUUUGUUGCAUGAACUAGAACAUGAAGAAAGAGAGACAUUCCUAAACGCCUUAUAGCCUCCUACUUAUAAGUGUGGUGCACUACACACCCAUAAACAAGACUCUACCCGACACGAUUUCACAGAAACCCUGGGAUCAUGAACAGUUCUCUGAUACAAAGUUUGUUACGACCUAAACUAGGGCCUGGCCAUGAUGGACAUCCCAAACCAUGAAGGAACGAAAUGCCCCUCUCUAUAUAGUAAUCAUGCAUAACAUUCAUAUAAUAAAAGAAGAUACGGAAACAUAAUCUGCUACGGAAACAUGGUCAAUUAUAAAUUCAAUAUAAGUAUGGAAACUGUAAACCAACUACAUAUGAAUAACAUCUGACUCAGUCUGCAAAAUCUCUACUAGAUGGAAAUCUAACAACUGUCUGAAACUGGGACAAGGCCCCUAGUAGACCAAAAUGAUAAUGAGUGACAUAAUAUGAAAGGACAGGCCUUCUGGAAUAGAGAAGGCUCACCACUACAUAAUCUGAUCAGCUGUCUGAAUUAUCUACUGCUUAUCUGGACCCCUAGACCGAACCUCAGAACCUGGAGAAAGGAGGGGGUUAAUAUAGAUGUACUAGUACGCAAAGCAUUCCAAAAUAAAGCUUUUAUAUAAAUAAAAUAAUGAAGAGCAAUUUGUCAAAACAUCAUACAUAAAAUAGUUUUCGAAACACAUGGGCACCUUUUUGAAAAUCAUAAAUCAUUCUUGACAAUGUAGUUCCUGUUCUUCAUUUUAAUUCUGAGCUAGGAGGUACACCCCUACAAUUCUAAAAUCCCACGGACUGUAUGGAAUCCGCCAUUGACUCGGCAGGGAAGCCCCCAACCCAAGUGUGCCGCAUGGGUUGGAGUUUCUAUUCUGAUAUGCCACACAACACUAGGCCAACAUAAUAUAAUAUACCCAGAUCAGAAAAUCAUGGUUUCGGGCAAUGAUUUGCCUGAACUCGUGCCUUCUUCGGGGAACCACUUAAGCUCUCUUUACGCCCAAUUUUAUCCUGUUCUAAAUCAUGCAUUUUUUUUCUAGUUUCAACAUCUGAAAAGUUUGAUUUCAAACGUGCAUUCUAUUCUAUUCUGAAUUACCAUGGCAUAAUCUAAAUUGGUGUCGUCACACCAAGACUUGCAAGUACUAUUUCUGAGCUAUAAUGUAUCAUGCAUAAUUCUUUUAAUAAAACACAGGUCAGACCACCCAAAUAUGCAAUUAGUAUAAGAGAUAUUAUGUUUCGAAACUCAAGUCAAAACUAUGUAAAAACUGUCAUCAAGCAUAUGGUGGUCAUGUAUUUCGGCAAGCAUGCAACUCUUUCAUUAAAUGAAUAUUCAACUUUUAUCAAUAUGUACAAAUCUCUCUUUCGAAUUCAAAACCAUAAAUCAAAUUGUAGCAUUAAUCAAGAUAUUUCAUAUCAUGCUUUUCAAGAUACAAAACAAUCCAUAUCAUAUGAAAAUUGAAAAAAUAAUAUCAAGAGAGGGAUUCAUGUGAGUCAUGCUCUCAAUUCAUUCAUAAAUCAUAAAACUUAUGCAUACGUAUAUAUAUGUAAUUUAAAUCCAUUUGGGGGAGGGCCUAAAGACCAAAACAACGUCAUCAAGACUUCUAAAACAUAUUUAUAUUCGUAAAUCCAAAACCCCUUUUCUUAAAACAUGAUUUCUAUGCCCAUGAUAUUUUUAGGAAAACCCCGCGUACGUUAAUACCGGAAGAUAAUAGGUAAUUCUUGAAGCUUACGGAUUGGGGAUUUCAAAUCUUUAAUCACUUUUGAAAAUUCACAGUUGAAUCUUGAGUUAUUUGGGUUUUUAUUUUGAUACCUUUGAGAGAUUUCUUGAGGAAAAUUGAGAGAAAUAAAAUUAUUUUGGUGUUAUGGGAGUUUAAUCCCGUGUUAGAUAUGAUAUGGGGUUGAAAACUAUCACAUUUACCCUUAAUAGGUUGGAAGAAAGCUGAAAAUUGACCCCAGGCUAUACCCAGGGUGGAGCCCUGCUUAGUCCACUGCUCUAUCCCAGGCGUAGCCCCCCUUUAGAGCACCGUUCUAGCUCGGGCGGUGCCCUGCUUAUAGCCUCUUUCUACUGGUCACGAAAAUGGCUGUAACUUCUCACUCCGGUAGCGAAUUUUUGUAAAAUUGCUAUAGUUGGAAAGCUAAUUCAAUUAUAUAAAAUUAGGUGGGUCUUGGGAUGAAAAUUUUCAUGUAUAUAAAGAGUCAUACACAUUUGAAGUAGACCCUUGUAGAAUCGAAUAUCAAAUUUUGGACGAAUCAAGUGAUCUUAGCUUAACUUUGUUCUAAGUCAUUGCUAUGAACAUUUUUCAACUCUAAACUACUUCAUAGAUUAGGAUAAUGAUAAUGAAACUUGUAUUCACAUUCAAAUCAUUUGGAUUAGAGCUUAGACGUAUAGGAACGAUGGUUUAAUUUCUAGUUCGAAAAUGCGGGGUGUUACAAACAUGCCCAGCUGACUCAUAAUGUCUAAAAAUAAUACUAAAAUAAACCUACUAAUGAAACUGAAAAUCUGAAAACUAAGUCCCCAAACUAUGAGGACUCACUAACUGCAAGGAUGUAGAUGAGAUACUCGAAAAUCACUGUCACUGCUGAGAUUGAGCACCUGAACUUACAUUAUGUGAUAUAUGUGGAUUAGUACUUAGAGGAUGUACUGAGUAUAUGGGGGUGCAUGUAAUAAAUAAACAAUUUCAUCAGAAUUUAUAAAUGGCCAAAAACAUCGAUAGGCACUCAAAGUUGUUGCCAAAAUUCACUUAGACACCUAAACUAAGGUUUGUUCCUAUCAGGCCCCUAAACCCCCCACAUUUUGUUCCAAUUGGGCCUUUUUUGCCCUAUUAGCAAAAAGCUCAAAGUGUGUAUUGCACACACGCGAUGAUGUGGCAAAAUGAGCUAAUUGGAAGCUGAUACGUGGCAUUGUGGGUCCAAUAAUUAUUAAAAAUUAAUUAUAACUUUUUUAAAAAAGUUAUAUAAAAAUGGCAUUGAGGAAAUUAUUAAAAAAUAAUUCUAAAAUUAUUUUAAUAAAAUUGUUUAUUUAAAAAAUAUUAUAAUGUCCUUAUAAUACAAAAAACAAAUUAUAGUUUCUAAAAAUCAGUUUUUAAAAAGAAAUAUUAUAAAAGUCAGUUUUUUUAAAAACUAUAAUAAUCAGUUUUUUAAAAACUAUAAAAUUUUAGUUUUACAAACUAUAAUUUUUGAUUAUUAAAAACUAUAAUAAUCAGUUUUUUGUAAAAUUAUAGUUUUUAAAAAACUUCAUUUUUUUGUAUUAUAGUUUUUAAUAAUCAAUUUUUAAAAAGAAAUUAAAAAAUAUUUUUAAAAAGAAAUUAUAAAAUUUUUAAAAAAUAAAAAUAAAAAAUGGCAUUGAGGAUCCAAAUUAUNNNNNNNNNNNNNNNNNNNNNNNNNNNNNNNNNNNNNNNNNNNNNNNNNNNNNNNNNNNNNNNNNNNNNNNNNNNNNNNNNNNNNNNNNNNNNNNNNNNNNNNNNNNNNNNNNNNNNNNNNNNNNNNNNNNNNNNNNNNNNNNNNNNNNNNNNNNNNNNNNNNNNNNNNNNNNNNNNNNNNNNNNNNNNNNNNNNNNNNNNNNNNNNNNNNNNNNNNNNNNNNNNNNNNNNNNNNNNCCCCCUCCCCCACCUCCGACGUUCCUUUUCUCCAUUAAACUUCUCUGUGAAUCUAAAAAAUACACACAUACAAUUAGAGUGUAGGGUUGGCUGGUCCGUUUAUGUUAUAAUUGCAUAAUUUUUAUCUUAUUGUCAUGGAAAAAGCUGUAUCUUCGGUCUUCUAACAAAUACUUCUGCUAUUCUUUUUACAGCCCUCCUAUCUGAUACUCUUGAAUGAAGAAUGAGGAUGGAUCUUGGGAUUCGUUUUUGAUGUUAUAUGAAUUUUUAUUCUGCUCCUGUGCUGGAUCUUUCAUUAAUUACUAUUGAUCUUCUAGGGGUGGGGUAGGGUUAAAGAUGAAGAGGGUGGGGUGGGGUGGGGUGUUGUGAAGAAGAUGACAUGUAAUUUAGUAAAACAAAAAUUCCUCACGCGCCUACAGCAAGUGCAUUGCACACGCAGUGCCAUGUAGGCAAAAAAUGCCCAAUUGAAACAAAAUGUGGGGGGGUUUAGGAGCCUGAUAGGAACAGGCCUUAGUUUAUGUGUCUAAGUGAAUUUUGGCAACAAGUUUGAGUGCCUAUCGAUGCCUUUGGCCUUUAUAAAUCAUGCAUGCUAAAUGUAAAUGACUCACAUAGCUCGAGUAAAUCUGAAAUACUGAAAUUUGAAAGAGUGGAUAAUAAAGAACAUAUUCUAAAUCUUGUGAGUUAUUACACUUAGUUCUAAAAAUUUGUAUUCUCUUCUUGUUCUCAAUUCAUGUAAACUUGAAGAAAUCUGAGACUCAUUUUGCAUAGCAAUUACUUUAUCUCAAUACUUUAAACAUUUAAACCGUUUUAAGAACGGGGGACGUUUUGGGAGGUUCUUCUAACCGACAUGUACAACAUAUGAGCAUCCAUGGUGUCCCACGACUAGCCCCUGUAAGGUUAGGGCUAUUCUGCCCUUACCAUCGAAAUAGAACAAUUUAUCUCAGUGAUCACUAUCUUUGUCAUCCACGUAUAGUGGGAAUAAAUAUCUCAACCUACGGUGAUACAUAGUUCAAGGGUAUGAAACCGUAGUAAUAUAACCAACUUGGCGCUUAAUUAUAACACCCCAAUUUUCUGAACCGAAAUGCUACAUGGUGCUCAUAACCCCGAAGGACCACAAGCUAACCCAUGAUUGAUAUCUGUACCUGUAUACUGCAUAAUAUAACAUGAAAAUACGGAAACAUGUACUGAAUGGCCAUAAGGUUCAAACCUAAAUAAAUAUCUGAUAAUAACAAUAUCUGAAAACGGUAUAACAAUAUCAAAAUAAAUCUGAAAUAACUGUCUGACAUAUUAUAGUCUGGAAAGCCUCUAAACUGUCUAAAUAAGGAGUUGAUGGGACAUGUCUCCAACUAACUACAACUACUGAAAUAAACUGAAGACUGAAAUAAUAAUGAAAUCAUCAUGUCCUCGAAAGAUGAGGACUUACUUCUAACUCUGACUGUUGUGACUGGAAUCUACUGCUGAUCUGGAGCUCGUGUCUCUGAACCUAUGGCGUAAAAUAAAAUGCCAUAGAAUAAAUACGUCAGUACGUCUGAAUGUACUGAGUAUAUGAGUGAGGUAGGCUAAAUGCAAAGGGUUAUAUGCAUGAACAAUGCUGACUAAUAUGAGCGUGAUAAUACAUACAUACAUAAGCAACUAUAACUGAACUCGUGGUGAUAUUGACUACAGAAUCUGAAUACUGACGACAUGACUUUGCUGAUACUGAGGUACUGAAUAGAUAAACGACUAUUUUUGACAGUUUAAAUUAAGAAAAAAUGGUCUGAUCGACUGUGUCUAACAAUCCUGAACUGAAUACUGAUAACGUAUCUAUGAUGACUGAUAUAACUGAUAUAACUAUGAUGAUUGGCGUAACCGAUAUAACUGAUAUUGAGCGACUGUAUCUGACAGUCUAAGUUCAGAUGGAACUAUCUGAGUUCCAUUUUGUAUGGAGUAACUAAAUCUGAGAUCAGUCCUAUCUAGUGGGUGAUCUUUAAGUAUACUGAUAAUAAAGAUGAUUUGACUUAGUCUGAUAUCAGUCCUAUCUAGCAAGUGAUCUUUAAAUCUGAUGAUUCUGAUACUGAUUAACCAUAGUUGAGAUCAGUCCUAUCUAAUGGGUAUUCUUGAAGACUAUUUAUAAUGAUAAGUAUUGACUGUAUCUAACAGUACUGAAUCUGUACUACUGAGCUGAGUUGACUGUGUCUGACAGUCAUGAAUCUGUAACUAAAAUGGUAGGAUGUAUUCAUCUAACCGAAAUGCCCCAUGCUAAGCUGACUGAGGUCCAAUCUCUUCCCUGACUGGAAGGGUGUUAGUACUGCGCCACCAGUAAAGACAACUACUGUAGAGUCAGUCCUAAUUUAGUGGGUGACCCCUGGUACCAGUCCUAUAUAUAUAAAUAUGAUGACGGGUGAUCCCUGAGUAUGUCAGUACUAUUUAAUGGGUUACAUCUCGUACCUACACUGGCUCUGUAGUUUUGGAACUUAGGGAUCUCAGUCCUAUUCUAGGGGGUGAGCCCCCAUCCGUAGGUUCGCUCGGUGCUGAAUCCUACUCCCAUAUGAAAGGUACUGAAUUGAUUAACUGAACUAAUACUAGUGUUAUUGUUUACCGAAGUGAAACUGAGUUUACUGAGUUCCUUUGACUGACGGAACAUACUGAGUUCUGAUUGCUAACUGAGUUCAUGAGAUUACUGAUCUUACUGAGUACUAUUUUAUGAGAUUUCUGAGAGUACUAAAUUAUGGAUAUUACUGAAGUUUACUUAGUACUGAGAUUACUGAAAUUAACCGAGGUUACUGAACUGGUGAGACUACUGAGAUUUCUGAGUUUUCCUGAGUCACAUGACUGAUUGAAUUCUAUAGAUCAUGGCUUGACUGAGAUUAUCGUGAUAACAUGACAUGGCUCUAGGCACACAACUAUAUUUUUUGGGUACGAGUACCCCCAGGACUCGAUGGAAGGAAACUGACAAGACUUGACAAUUCUUGAAUACAUAAUCAAGAUCAACAAUUCAUAACACACUAACUUGGGGAUUUCAUACAACACAUGGUUAUCAUAUUCUUGUUCAUGAAUAAGAAUGCAAACAUUCAUAGCAUAAUUCCAUACUUUAACAUCAUGAACAUUCUAUCAACAUAUGCAUGUCACAACAAUAACAUGGGAACCAUUUAAGCAUGAGAGAGUAGUAUGGAUUUAUCAUGUAGGUCAUACUUUAGCUAUUAUUCAUGAAUUCUAGGAUCUUAGGCCUUUUAUCAAACACCUUUCAUGCACACUUUAUGGCAUAGGCAUAUUCAUCACAUUAAUGAUUCAAACUAACUAAAAUUCAUAUAUUUCAAUUUACAUGUCAUCCUAGUUUCAUAAAAUCACAUAAAUAUUCUAACUUGGGAGUUCUAUAGCAAUCAAUCACACAAACAUAAUAAAACCACAACAUGACUUCAUGAUUCAUAAUUUAAAAGAGGGUUCUUGAACUCAAUGGAUGAAAGGGAUCCAUAAAUCAACACUAUGCAUACCUUAGUUCUUGAUUUAGUGAAGAUUGAUGGAGAGAUUCUUGGAAUUUGAUGGUAUAAUUUGCUUGAACUUGAAUCCCCUAAUUGAAACCCUAGCUUGCUCUUGAGAGGAUUUUAAGACAAGAGGUUAAAUUUUGGUGUAAUGGAGGCUUAAUCCCAUGUUAUUGAGUAUAUAUAUGAAGGCAAAAUGAUCAAAAUACCCCUAAGAGCACAGAAAUGGAAUGCUGAAAUACUGGGCAAGCACUGGAGUUCACAGGCGGUGCCUGGCUAAUCCCGGGGGACUUUCCCAAGCGGCUCCUGCCUUAGAGCAGUGCUCUAGCUGGGGCGACGCAGGCCAAUUGCCCCGAGCUACUAUUUUUGAAAUCCAAACACGCCCUUACGCUAUCCAAAAAAUUCCAAAAUUUACCUGAGAUGUACUACAACCUUGCCCCAUCGUAACAUAACUUGAAAAUCUAAAAAAGAAGGUCGAGAAGGUCAUCAAAUAAAUUCCCGAAGUUUGGAGGUCUAACGUGAUACUAAGUGUUGAAUCUUGAACACUUAGCAAAAUUUUCUAAGUCCUGGAGCUUGGAAAGCUUAAUGAGCUGAACUUUAGACUUAGGAUUUUACGGGGUAUUACAAUAUCUCCCCCUUGGGAAUAUUCAUCCUCGAAUGAGUCUGACUGAGAGGAAAAACAAUAAGCUGAACAUGAAUGACUAAAAUAUGAUCUCAUGACUAACAUGACAAAUAAACUGAUUCAUACUAAACAUGCAUAUCUGAUGCAUGGGUAACUUAUUAGUGAAUGUAGGACUGAGGAUUUUGAUAAACUGAAUUUUCUCAAAAUGAGAAUGCAUAUCUAAUGUAUAAUUGGAAAGCUGAAUCCAUGCAUAUCUGAUGCAUGAUUACAUGAUUGACAUAACUGAUAAACUGAUCACGCAUAUCUGAUGCGUGAAUACAUGACUGAACUAACUCAUGAACGUGCGACUGAACAUGCAAUGGUAAAGGCACUAAGAUUGAACUGAAAUAUGAGAAAAUGACUGAGUUUGCUACAUGACAUAUGGAUUGAACAUCAUGAACUGAACUGAACCUUUGAAUACUUGACUUACAGCUGAGGUUUUGACUUAAGGGUCAACUUAUGAGUCCCCUCUAUUCUAAAUUGAAUUUGUUAUGCAAUGAGAAACUGAAGGAUCUAAGACAUAAGAGCAUUAAGAAAAGGUGGGGUAUCUCCCCCUUGGGAUGCUAUGUCCCUCUAAAAAUGCUUACCUUACGGAGAUAUUGGGGUGAUGCACAGGGCAUCUAUGAACUAAUUUAUAACUAAACCUCGGGAGUCUGGAACUAAUGCCUGAUGCCUGAGCUGAACUGAACUUGCUGGUUUUACUAACUAACUCAUGCUGAAACAUAUGCUCAAAUAAGAGAAAAAUAUCUAACAAUGCAUACCAUGAACAUGAAAGACUUGUAACAUACCCGAAUCUAGGUCAGGAAAACUUUUCGGAUCAUGACGGGUCUGGAGAGCAUAAAGUCUAUUCUGACGCUGACCACUCUUUGUACCUUGCUGACGCAACUCUUUACCCCUCUGUGCUAGAAGUCUAUACUCUCGCAUCCUGUGGCCUAUAUUGCCACACCCAAAGCAUAAAUUACUGCCUGCUCUACAUGCACUUAGAUGAUUCUUACACACUCUUCGCAAGGAGGAUAGGUAAGACUUCUAUUUUUACUACCCUGGGUCUCGGAGCCUGGCACCCUAUCAUGACAGUCAUUUUUGGAGUUAGGUACUGGUGUACAAGUUGAGGAUGGAGCUGGGACUGAAAACUUCUGACCAUGCUAAGAAUGGUUACCACCCUGUGACUUAGGCUGAGCAAAGAUGAAACUACCUAUCCUUGGUCUCUUACUCUAUCUCUCUCUCAUCCUAAUCUUCUACUCCUCUAUCUUCUGAGCAUGAGUCAUAAUUUUGGAUAAAGUCAUAUCACUAUUCAACAUGGCAGAUCUGCACUCGUUUACCAUAUUAUCAUUUACCCCUGACACGAACUUACUCAUCUUGGCUCUACAGUCUGCAACUACAUGAGGGGCAUAUUUGGAUAAUUGAGUAAACCUGAGAGAAUACUCUUUCACCGUCAUAUGGCCCUGCCUGAGGUUGAUGAACUCUAGAACCUUAGCUUCUCUAAACUCUAGCUGAAAAAAUCUAUCACCAAAAGCAGAGGCAAACUCCUCCCACUAUAUAAAACCUGCAUCAUCUAACCUUUCUGACUUCCACUGUUUGUCCCAAGUAUGAGCCAUAUCCUGAAACUGAUAUGCGGCUAACUCAGGGUAUUAAAAUAUCUCCCCCUUGAGAACAUUCAUCCUCGAAUGAGAGGGAAACAAUAAGCUGAACAUAAACUAAACAUGAGUAACUAGAACAUGAUCUCAUGACUAACUUGAUUGACAAGCUGAACAUAUAAUACUGAACAUGCAUAUCUAAUGCAUGUGUACUGAUUCAUGAAUGCAUGACUGAGUAUUCUGAGGAACUAAGUUUUCUCGCAAUGAGAAUGCAUGUUUGGUGCAUAAUCAUAUAACUGGACUGAUACAAGUAUGCAUGACUAAAUAUGCAAAGGUACUUGAUACCAAGUUUAUAAUGGGAACAUGAGUAUGAAACUGAUACCAAUUUUGUGAUGAACACAGAACAUGAAACUGAGUAAGCUUAAGGAGAAUUGUUACCUUGAGCUUGAUCUUAGUUUACGGAGAAGAGGUGAGGAUACUUGGUAUGCAUGUCUGCUUCUGUUUCCCAAGUAGCUUGCUCAAUGGACUGAUUUCACCAAAGAACUUUAACUAGAGGGACUUCUUUGUUCCUCAAUCUAUGAGUCUGAUAGUCUAGGAUUUCGACUGGAAUCUUCUCGUAAGAGAGGCUACUCUGAACAUCUAUGCUCUGAAAAGGGAAUACAAUUGAUGGGUCACCUAUGCACUUCUUGAGCAAAGAGACAUGGAAGACUGGAUGAAUUGAGGCUAGAUCUGAAGGCAACUCGAGCUCAUAAGCUACUUUGCUAAAGCGACUGAGAAUUUUGAAGGGAUUGGCAUAUCGGGGACUGAGCUUUCCCUUCUUCCAAACCUCUUCACUCCCUUCAUGGGAGAGAUCUUGAGGUAGACAUAAUCACCAAUCUCAAACUCGAGAUCCUUUCUACGAACAUCUGCAUAAGACUUCUAUCGGCUCUGAGAAGCCUGGAGUCUUUCUCUAAUUAACUGGAAGUUUUCUAAGGCAUCGAAUACUAAGUUAGGCCUUAUAACUGAGGCCUCACUAACUUCGAACCAACCAAUUGGAGAUCUAUAUCUCCUACCAUAGAGAACUUUGAAUGGAGACAUCUUAAUACUGGAAUGAUAGCUGUUGUUGUAUGCAAACUCAAUCAAAGGCAAGUGGUCAUCCCAACUACCCUUGAAAUCAAUUUCACAUGCUCUUAGCAUAUUUUCUAGAGUCUGAAUGGUCCUUUCUGCUUAAACAUCUAUCUGAGGAUGAAAGGCUGUACUGAGAUGGACUUGGGUACCAAGACCCUUUUGGAAUACUUUCCAGAAAUAAGAGGUGAACUGGGUACCUCUGUCUGGGAUAAUAGAGAACGGAACGCCGUGCAAUCUGACCAACUCUUUGAUGUAGAGUUUGGCGUAGUCCUCGGCUGAGUAAGAGGUAUGAACUGGAAGAAAAUACUCUAUUUGGUCAUUCUAUCUAUAAUGACCCAUACUGAAUCAUGCUGAUGAUGAGUUCGAGGCAAACUCUUCACGAAGUCCAUGUUCACUUCUUCCCACUUCCAAGUAGGAAUAAUGAACUCCUACAUAGGACUACUAGGCUUUUGAUGCUCUGUCUUAGCCUGCUGACAUGUGGAGCACUUAGACACAAACUUUGCAAUAUCUCUCUUCAUCCUACUACACCAAUAGACCUCCCAUAAGUCGCGGUACAUCUUUGAGGCCCUUGGAUGAAUGGAGUAGUGCACACCAUGCUUUUCUGCAAGAAUUCGCUGCCUUAAGUCAUCUAAAUCUGGAACUCUUUCAACUUGGCAAGGCCGGGAUCACUAUCUUACUUUUCUUUUACCUCGAAAACUAGAGAUGAUUCUGAACUACUCUGAACACAAAUGCCACCCUCUGAGGAAUCGACUAAGGGAAUGCCUAGUCUGGCAAGAUGAUGGACUUCUUGAGCUAACUUCUUCUUACUAUCUUUAACAUGAGAAACACUACCCAUAGAGAGUCUACUGCGAGCGUCGGCCACUACGUUGUCCUUGCCUAGAUGAUAAAGGACACUCAUGUCAUAAUCUUUCAAGAGCUCUAGCCACCUUUUCAGACGAAGAUUGAGAUAUUUCUCAGAAAAAAUAUACUGGAGACUCUUAUGAUCAGUGAAGACACCUAUAUGAACUCCGUAGAGAUAGUGACUCCAAAUCUUUAAGGAAAAUACUAUGGCUGAUAACUCAAGAUCAUGAGUAGGAUAAUUCUUCUCAUAGGGUUUAAGCUGUCUGGAAGCAUAGGAUAUGACCUUAUCAUGUUGCAUGAGUACACAACCCAAACCUACUCUGGAUGCAUCACAAUACACUAUGAACCCAUCUGAACCAUCUGGAAGAGCUAAAACUGGAGCUGAGAUGAGUCGAGUCUUCAACACUUGAAAAAUCUUAUCACAAGGAUAUGACCACUGAAGCUUGACUUUCUUCUGAGUCAAUCUGGACAUAGGGGAGCAACAGAAAAAAUCCCUUAACAAACCAUCUGUAAUAGCUAGCCAAACCUAAAAAACUCCUGAUAUCUGAUGGAGAGACAGGGUGAGGCCAGUUUCUUACUGCUUCAAUAUUUUGAGGAUCUACACUAAUGCCAUUAUCGGAAAUGAUAUUGCCAAUAAAUGCUACUGGCCUUAGACAAAAUUUGCAUUUAUUGAAUUUGGCAAAUAGCUGAUGAUCUCUGAGAGUCUGAAGUACUGUUCUGAGAUGGUUUUCAUGAUCGCGCUCAGUGUAGGAAUAGACCAAAAUAUCAUCUAUGAAGACUAUGAAGAACAUAUCCAAUUACUGAUUGAAUACAUGGUUUAUCAAUUCCAUGAAAGCAGAUGGGGCAUUGGUAAGACCAAAGGAUAUAACUAAGAAUUCGAAGUGACCAUCUAGAAGAUCUGCUAGCUGCUCUUUCAACUCUUUCAGCUCCACAGGAGCCAUCCUAUAUGGCGGAAUAGAGUUGGGACGGGUGUCCAGCAACAAAUCUAUACCAAACUCUAUCUCCCUAUCAGGUGGUACCCCUGGGAGAUCUUCGGGAAAGUCCUCCAAAAAUUCUUUUACCACAGGGACUGACUGAAGAGAUGGACUCUCCACAUUAGAAUCUUUCAAUCAGAUCAGAUGAUAUAGAAAACCUCUGGAAAUGAGCUUACGAGCUCUAAGAUAAGAUAUAAAAUUCCCUCUAGGUGCUAGAGAAUGUCCCUUCCACUCUACCACUGGUUUAUUUGGGAAGGCAAAAGUGACUCUUCGGGUCCUACAAUCUAAUGUAGCAUAACAUAAAUGGAGCCAGUCACUAGGAUAGCAUCAAAGUCAACCAUCUCAAGAUAUAUGAGGUCUACCACAGUAUCUCGGCUAUAGAUGGAUACAAUAUAAUUUCUAUACACCUGUCUAGCUAUAAUAGAAUCUCCCACUGGAGUGAAAACAGAAAAAGGCUCAGCAAUUACAUCGGGCUUAAACCCAAAACCAAUAGUCGUAUAAGGGUUUACAUAGGACAAGGUAGAUCCAAGACUAAGUAAUACAUAUACAUCACGAGAAAAGAUUUACAACGUACUGGUAACUAUAUCUGGGGAAGAUUCUACAUCCUGACGAUUGGUCAAGGCAUACAACCAGUUGCGUCCUCUCUCUGUAGCUGAAGUGGUGCCUUUAGGAACAGGAUCUAUGGAGGCGGCUUGGGACUUAUCUCCCCUUGCAUUACCUCUAGUAGAAGGGUAAUCUCUCUGAAUAUGACCUACUUAACCACAGGAAUAACAAUUCCUCCUCUCAAAGUAACACUUUCCAGGGUGGUUCUUCCCGCAAACACUACAACGGGGAAAAGAUCUUACGAGUUGCGUCAUGCUGCCCCAAGAAUGGGUGUCCUACAUCCUCCACCCACUAUUUACCUGUGUAUUUAAGGGUUGCUGACCACGUGGAGGUCUGGGCAUGGGGGCACUUCCUGCAGGAUGAGAAUUACCCCAAUUCUUUCUCUUCUGACAUCUGUUACUCCAAUUACCACUCUGCAACUGGUUGUGACUUUGGUCUGCUAUCUUGCUCUUUUGCUCUCUUUUCCUACCUGUCCUUUUCCCUUGAUUCAGAGAUUCUCUGCUUAUGCUCCUCUAACUGCUGCAUGUGGAUUGUCAGUUUAGAGAAGUCCACAUCCUUAUUUAGCAUUAACCCCUUACACUCAAGCACUAAGUUAUCUGAAAGGCCAGAUGCAAACUUUCUCAUUUAGGCUCUCAUAUUUCCAGUCAUUUCCAGAGCAUAUCGGUCUAGUUGGUUGAACUUCUGAGUGUAUUCCUUGACACUUAUUUUUCCUUGCUUUAGAUUCUUGAACUCUUCUACUUUGGUCUCCCUCAACUCUAGAGGAAAGAACCUAUCAAGGAAGGCUUCCACGAACUUGUCUCAUACUGUGGGCUCAGCAUUCUCACCCUUCAAAUCCUCCCACUCAUUAUACUACUAAUUUACAACUUCUUUAAGCUGAUAAGUUGCUUACUCCACCCCUUCCACCUCGUCUAUAUGCAUCACUUUAAAAAAUUUCUCCAUCUUAUCCACAAAUUCCUGUAGAUCCACCUCUACUUUGGUGCCAGUAAACUUGGGCGGGUUCAUUCUCAUGAACUGACCCACCCUAGUAGUCUCAGAUAUAAUGAAUGUAGACCCAAUAUAUUAUGAUCGUUUAGUCUGUAUGACCACCAAUUACGCCAGCAUGUGAAUGGACUCUCUGAAUUCUGCAUUAGAAAUGUCCCUCUGGGAAGACUUGGGACGGUUAACAUUUGUUCUUGGAGCCUGAGGAGGACUGGUCAGGACUGGUGGUAUUCUUGGAGUAGGGACAGGUUCUGGGGUGUGAGCUAUGUUAUGGUUCUGUAUCCCAUGAGUGGGAAGGACCUCAUCAGUCUAAGCGUUCUGAUUGUUAGAGAGACGAGGAGGCAUGGCUAUUUUCUGACAUGCAAAAGAUCAUUGAUUAGAGGACAGAUUAGACUCCAAAGCACGAACUGAAUCACAAAGAGGGAAACAUUCCUAAACGCCUAGUAGCCUCCUGCUUAUAAGGGUGGGGCACUACACACUCAUAAAUAAGACUCUACCCAAUGCAAUUUCGCAGACAACUUGGACCAUAAACCGUUCUUUGAUACCAAGUUUUUCAUGACCCAAACCGGGGCCCUAGCCAUGAAGAGCAUCCCAAACCAUAAAGGAUCAGAUGCCAUUCUAACUUGUAAUCACAUACACUGCUCAUAUACAAAAGACAAUGCAGAAAUAUAUAUAUACUGAAAUGGGAACAUGAUCAUAAGUCUGAAAUAAAUUUAACAAUAGAGUAUGUCAUCCAAUACUAACAAAUAGUAUCUAAAAAUCGUCUGCAAAAUCUCUACUACAUGGUCAAUAACAACUAUCUGAAAACUUGAACAAGGCCCCAGUAGACCAAAAACCAUAACAAAUGAUAAAUGUCUAGAAAUAAUCAGGCCUUCUGAAUUAUAGAAGGCCCACCAACUGGACUCUGCGCUUCUGCCUAACAGAAUCUACUUCUUAUCAGGACCCCUGGAUUGUUCCUUAGAACCUGAGAAGGAGGGGGGUCAAUACAGAUGUACUGAUACGCAGAGUAAUCCAAAAACAAAAUAUAAUCUUUAUAUAACAUAUAUGAGAGCUGGUAUAAAAUACUUUAUCACAAAACAAUUUAAAAACACAUGGGCAUAGUAUAAUGAUUUUUCAAUGACAAUGCAAUACUACUGAGCUAGGUGGUACACCCAACAACUUUAUAUUUUCACCAACUGCCAAAUCUCGAUUGCCGCCCAGAUUAGAAUAUGAGUGAGGGAAGGACACAAAAGAUCAGACAAUAGGGUGCCAUACCCCAAUUAAGUCAAUAUGUCGUGGUUGGGCUCAAGAUCACAAAGCAGGGAUCCUAACCAUUGGUCCCAAUUUGGGAUGACAUAAUAGUAGGUACGCAAGAUCACAUAGAAGGGUACCAAAUUCCCGUGUCGGCAAUCACGAUUUCCAUCAUAGAUUCAUUUGACUAGUGCUUUCUUUGGGUAACCACCUAACUCACAUAAAAAUAAGCUUUAAGCUUGAUUCAAGACAAAGCAUACAUCUUACUCUACAGGGUAUCGUCAUACCCUGACUUGCAAGUCAUCGGUACCACAUCAAUUCAUCAUCUCGUUAUGUAAUUCAUGGUAUGCACACACAUAAUACUUCCACACCUCAAACACAUGAACAAUGGUUCUCAACAUGUAAUAAUUCAAGAAAUUUUUAUCAUUUAUAAAGUAGUAUCAUAGUAGUUACAAAACCCAUUAUCAUGGGAAUAAACAUUAUCAUGGGGAAAUUUAAAGAGUUCACAAUUUAUAUUCAUCACAUCCUUUUUAAUUCAAUUCGCAUGUCCACAAAUUCAACACAUUGAGAUAUAUGGCAAACAAUCCCAUGAUAUUUCAAUAUUCCUUUCAAAAUCAUAUCUCAAAACAUGUUAUUGGCAUUAAAACGAAAACCCCACUUGUAAUAACAUAUAUAUACUUGUAUGAAUAUUAAAGUCUUGUGUAAAUUCUUUUCAAUAUCAUGCCAAUGAGAUUUAGGACAACCCCACGUACCUCAAUAUAGGCAUUCAAUGGAUGCUUCUUAAAGCCUAUGAUUUGGGAAUUCCGAAUCUUUGAUCAAUUUCUGAAAUUCACGGUUGAAUCUCGAGUUAUAAAGAAUUUUUUUGUUUGAAACCCUAAGGGUAUUCUUUAAUGGAUUUUGAUGAAAAAAUGAAUAGAGCGGUCUUUUGGGAUAAAAAUCUCAUGUUUGGGCACAUUAGAAUGAGGGAAAAUUAUCCAAUUGCCCCUUUAAGAUGUAAAUUUUAAAAUCUGAAAUAAUUGGGAACCGAUGUGAUUGGGGACGCGGUGCGUCGAUGCCAUCGAUGCUAUACCCGACUCGUUAUGCCUUAAUCGCGCCAAGCCUCAAUACUUUUUGCCUGGAAUUUCCUGCACGAAAUUGACCAACGCGAUGGGCAAUGCAGCGCGCUGAGAUCGAGUUGGUCCAGUAUUUUGGUACACCAAACAAGGUCUAAACAUGGUCCGAAAAAUCUAAAACUUGUUCGAAAACACCCAUUGACCUCCCGGAUCAUGAAUUUGCUAAAAUACCAAGUAUAGAGGGUCGGUAAGGUCGAAAAUAAGAUCAUCGAAGAUUAGAAGCUCAAAAUAAUUCUAAAUCCUUUUUACACUUAGAAAAAUUUUCAAGUCUUUAACUCUUUAAGCAUACUACUAGGAGCUAAUACAUGCACGAUUUUUUCAAGGUGUUACAGAAUGAAAAUCCAAACAAAGUGUAUUCAAUUUAAAAAUAUAUUUUUAGGCUUUGUUGUAUCCUGAUAGAGAAUUGCUUGUAAUUCAUAAAGAAAAUACGGGCAAUAACUCUUGUCAUUUUCUUGAUAUUCAUGUUAUCACAAAGUGUCACGAUUUGUGAUACAUAAUUUGUAACUUUUGAAUGGUUACUUGGCACAAUUAAGUAGUUGUAUUGCUGCCUUCUGUAGUUAUUUUUAAGUCCCAACUGCUAAAUAAAUAUGGAUGUAGACUUCCCUAAGUUUCUAUUAGUUGAAUGCAUGUAGGGAAAUGAAUAUAUAAAUGGUUUUAGGGGUUCGUGAUUUUGUAUCUAUUGUCAUUCAUGGCUUAGGGUGUGUUUGAUAUGAAGAAAAAUACUUUUCACUAAAAAUAAGUGUGUUUAUUACUUAUUUUUUAAAAUAAGCAGAAAAUAUUGGUUGAAAAAUAUUUUAUAUAAUUUAUACAAUUACCAUGGAGAGGAGUGGGGAUAGGAGUGUGGGGAUGCUUAGAGAUGGAGGCUGGAUGUGUUGGAGAAUGAAGAGAAAAUAAUUAAUAUGGAAUACCACUUAUAUAACUUGCUCUUGUACUUCUGCGAGAGAGGUUACUUUUCUCAUUUUAAGGAACUUAUUUUUCUAGAGAAAAAUAUAAUCGACCAAAUAUAGGAAAAUUGAAAAAUGUAAAGUGAAAAAUAUUUUUCUCUAUGCCUAGAUAGCCUUAGGGGACUUUUGGUAGAGUAUAUAAGAAUAAGGCAUAAUAUAGUGUAUUAGUAAUGCUUGUACUAGUUGUACUUGCAUUAGUUAUAUUGAUAUUGUUUCUUAUACAUUGUUUGGUUUGAUGUAUUAAAAAUAAUAUCUUACAGAAUUCCUACAAAAAUGUUUGUUUACAAAAAUAUCCUUCUUUGACAUUGUACACUUUCUUUGCAACAAAGUUCUUUUGCCAUCUUAAACAUAAUUAGUAUUGUUGAACUAAUAUAUAGAGGUGUAGGAUUACUUGCAAGACCUUCAUCUUUGCGCAUGAAAUGUUAUGUUGAUGGAUUAACAUAGUCGAAACGAAAAAAAUACAAGAUGUAGAAUCAAUGAAUAGUCUCAUGAAAUUUAUUUUUAAUCUUUUUAUAGACCCUUGAAGCAAAAAAAGGAUAUAUUAUAGUUAUUUAAACCAGCUAUCAUAAGCAUAAUCCAUACAUAAUUCAACAUGCUGAAGAAAUAGUGAAAUUCAACUUUAUCUUAUGAUCAGAAUAACCUGGUAUAUCCCCCAAUCCAAGUUUUCCACAAGGAUUGGAGUUUUCAUAACUUGUUAUAUCCCCCAGUGAGUAUACCGUAGGCAUCCCUUUAUGUGAGAUGUCCUAAUUAUACUCCCAUGUAAGGUAACAUAUCAUAAAUUUCUCAUCGGCAAAACACAAUUUUCGACAAUGAGUUAUCUGAAUUUGUUCCUUCUUCGGGUAACCAUCUAACUUUCUUAGAGCCCAUUUAUAGUCUUUUAAAACAUGCAUAUUUCCCAAAACAUGGUCUGAAGUCUGAAAAAUUCUGUAGUCUAUCAUGACAUUUAUCUGAUUUAGUAUUGUCAUACCAAAACUUGUAAGUCAUAUAAGUUGUAUCAUAUCAUAUUAUGUCAUGUCUUCAGCCCUUUAUUUAAAAGCAUGCUAUUUGAGCAAAUAAAUGAUGAGUUCUUAUUUCAAAAGAACAUGAAAACUUAUGCAAAAUACUAUGCUUUCAAGACUUUAACAUCGGUUGGCCAUCAUUUUCAUAAAUCACAUGCAAUUAUUUUAUUUAACACAAAAGGGCAUUUGUCAAUACGAAACACCUCUUGAAAAAAUAUAAAAGGACAAGGCAUAUUUGAUAAAGAUUCGUUUAAAAGUCAUGUUUCUCAUCGUUCAUUAAACAACCCCCAACAAUAGAAUAAAUAAAUCUCAUGAUCGAAAAAGGGAGUCUAUUAGUUCAUGCUCUCAAAUUCACUUCAAAACCCAUAAUACAUGCACAUAUUUCGUUAUUAUUUAGGAGCCACAAAAUUUUUUAAAUACAUGAAUCUUAUAAAUAGUUCAAAUACUUCAAAACUCUUAACAUAUGCACAUAAUCAAAGUCUCAAACUUGAAGAAAAUCCCAUAAUAAAUGCAUAAUUCCAUCUUAAGGUUGAGGUUUCGAAAUUCAUGUUUUUUAAAUCAACUUCAAAGCCUUAACUUACAUACAUACAUAAUAAGGAUUAUUAAAAUCAACAUACUUAUGCCAAUAAAUUUUAGGAUAGUUCUACAUAUCUUUGAGGGAGAAAAAUUAAAUAAUAACCUUGAAUUUGAAAUCUACAAGCUUUAGCAUUGAGAAACCCCUUCUUGAUGAUAUUGGGAGGAAGAGAAUAAGGAUUUGGAAGAAACCCUAGCUUCUUUCUUGAGAAAUGAGAAGAGAAUGAGCGUUUUAAUCUGAUUAUUAAUGAGUAAUAAUUCUUAUUGGAAGAUUUAAAUCAAGCGGGAGGAGUUUGUGGUGGGAAAAAAUCCAAAUACCCCCUUGAAAACUUUAUAACAGUGCAAAACGGUUCCUACUGAUGGUUUGGGUAACGGAUCAUCACUCCCGUGAUAGGCUGUCACUCCAGCCGUCCCAAAUUGACAAAUUUUCUCUCUAUUUGCUUAAGGGCGGCUGUCUGGUGCGACGGGCCAUCACCCUAGCCGUCGCGCCUUGGAAGACAAACACCUUUUGAUAAAUCAUGCAUAACUUUUUAUUACGAUAUCAAAUUAAAGCAAAACCGAUGGCGUUGGAAAGAAGACUCGAAGACCUCUCAUUUGAUAUACAGGAUGCCACCCUAACUCAUUAUAUUUUAGGAGUAAUAUUUGUUGGAAUUUGACCCAAGUUGGAACAUUUCCUAAAACUCAAUCAAUAGAAAAAUUCUCAACUCAACUUUGAGUUUGGAGAUUUUUAUGAUCUCAAUUUAUCUGUAAAUAUGUUCCCUCACUAAAGAAUUGAUCCUCACACUUAUAUGGACACAAAACCAUUAGGUUCGGAUCUAUAUAUGUAGGAAUGAAGGUUCGAAUUCUAACCCGAAAAUGUGAGGUGUCACACAAACGACCCCUUAAUCUAAAUGCCCUAUCAAGUAUUUUAGUCACUUAAACAUGGAAAAUUGCACGUAAGAUUAGAAGCUGUGGAAUCAUACCCUAUCAUCCAUAGUGUAAUAAGAAAAAAGAAAAAGGAAAACUUUACACCUUGUUUGGAUUGUUAUUACAAAUACGACAUUUGCUUAGAUUGCUAUUUAAGAUAUAUUAUAUCGUAUUGUUAAAUCCAUCGUGCAUAACAAUGAAAAGCCCCAUUGUGUGUGUUAGCCUUAUACUACGUUGCAACAUUCUUUUGGACAUUUUUCAAUAGUUUUGUGCAAAUUAUGCACUCCAAAGUCUACCAUUUACCUAGCAUGAAUUUCGUUUAAUCCAUAAAAACGUAGAAUCCCAUGAGACCACCCUUUAAUUUUUGUUUACCAUACAAAUUUUUAUGUGCCACACAUUUAACUAAACAAUAGCUUUUAUCUCUUCCAUCCAUUAUUUCAGCAUCUUAAUUUAAGCAAAACCAUACAAACACACAUGAUUCUUAAUCUAUUCACACCUAUAAAUAAUCCUCCUUUUCAUUCUUCAUUUCUCAUAAUCACAAUUUGUUUUUAACAAAAGUAAAAAGAAUGGAGGUGUCUAACAAGAAAAUAACAUCUCCAUUCUUUGCUUUCUUGUUUAUUUCUUCUCUUCUUAUUCAAUGUUUUCCGUGUGUUUCAUCAAAACCAAUUCCUGGAGGAAAAUACAAUAAGCCGGUCCCAAACCCAGGCCCCAUAAAUCCGGUCCCAAAUCCAGGCCAACCACUUCCAAAUCCUACAACACCGGGGGGCAAAAAAUUUUGCGUACCCAAACCUGAGGCUACAGAUAAAAAAUUGACGGCUUGUAUAAAAUGGGUUUGCAAAGAGGGAGGUGUGGAUUGUGGCCCAAUUAAUCCUGGAGGUGCAUGUUCUCAGCCCAAUACUCUUAGGUCUCGUGCAACCUGGGCCAUGAAUGCUUACUUUCAAAUGAAGGGUAAAACUGACAGUAUGUGUGGUUUUUCGGGCACUGGUGUCGUCUCUUCCAUUGAUCCAAGUAAGUAUUCAACAUUUUUUUGAUCAGUGUAAAGAAUUUUGUAUAUUAUUAAAUCACUUUGAAGAUGAAGAAUUUUUGCGAUACAUAUUGACAACGUUUUGUCAAAUCACCAAUAAGAUAACCAUGUAUAAUUCAGCAUAGUAAUUAAGAUUAGUAACCUAAAAUAUUAGGCAAACAACUGAAAUAACAGUUUAAAUUAUACCGAUAGUGUAAAAGUUUUUGAAAUUUUAAGCUUAUGUAAGUUUUCACAACAUUAAGUGUUUAAUCACUUAUUAUAAAAUAAUAAAAUAUUGAAUUUGGAUUGAAAUCAAAUUUAUAAUUAAUAGACCGUGAAUUCAAUAAGAAAACUAAAAAUGGAGCAAUUCAGUUCUAUCCUAAUACAAUUUUUUUUGUAAUUAGUCCCAUGACAAAAUUAUAAUUAUACCCAUUAGUAAGUUUUCAAAUGGAGAAAAUUAUAACUUAUCAUUUUUUAGUGGAUAUUUUGGUAAGACAACAUUAUUAUUCUUGAUUCUAUAGUAAUAUAGACAGAUAGAUAUAAAUUACAUCUGCUUAUUGUUUAGGCUAUUUAAAUAGUGUAAAACGAUCUUGUAUUUUUAGUUUAUAAAAGUUAAAACUCUGACGAUAAUUAUUGAUAUUGUUCAUAUAAGUAAAUUAGUAACUAAUCUUACAAAUAAGAUAAGUAACUUUUUACAACAUAUUAAAAUCCAGUUCACAUUCAAUAUUGUUAGGGUUUUUGUCCUAAUUUUCUUACUAUAUUUAAGCUUUACUUUUUCUUAGAAGGAAAAUAAAAGUUACCAUAAUUACUUUUACAUUUCCUGAUAGAAAAAAUAUAAUUCUUUUCCAUAUUUGGCAAACCUCUUUCUUGGAGGAAAGGUUUUGGACAUCUAUAAAUAAAAGACCCCCUUCCCAUAUCAUAACACAAUAGCAUCAACAAUGUAGUCAUCAAAGAGUCUCGUUUAGGGGGAGAUUUUCUCUCUAAUAGUUUUACGUUUUCUUUUAUAUUAGGUUUUUAUAUGUAGGCCAAUUGGCCAAACUAUAUAAUCAUCAUGUUUUUAGUAUGUUUUUCUUUUCGCCUGAUUUAUCGUCUCAAUAAUUUGUAACUAAUAGCUUCCACAUGACGCCAUCUCGAUUUCAAACCCAACAAAUAUUUUUAUCAUAAAACAUUCUUGAAUUAUUUUAUUGAAAAUCUAAUGAUAGUUGUCCUAAUAAUUGUUUUUUUUUUUUUUUUUUUUUUUGGUUUUGGUAAUUGCAAAUACCAAUUUUUAUAAUUUUCAAAAACUAAUCUAAUUAUGUUGUCAUGUAGUAUGUUGUUAUUACAAAUAAAAAAUAAAAAAGAUUGUUGCCUACUUAAUUUUCCACGAUCAAGUUUUAAUUAUAUUCUAUCUUUUAUCCUUUUUGUUUGAUAAUUUAGUGUGCAACAUUCUACUAAAACUAAACAAUGCUAUUACUAUUUGAAGAAUUAUAUUUAUAUAUAUAUAUAUAUUAACCGUGAUUUACUUAAUACUAAAAAUAAAGAAAGUAUGGCAAAUAUUGUUAUUCAGUUCAUAAAACGUAUGAACUAAAAGUGUUUUUUUCCAUUGUUUUUGGGUCUAUCAAGAAAAUUCUGUCUCAAAUCAACAGCACAACCAACACACCAAUAUUAAACAUACGAUUUACCAAAAUCAUCAACAACCCAUUCACCAAAAAUAACAUUCGCUAUUCAUCUCCAAACUAUGAGAAGAAGUCAAUAACUUCAAAAGUCCAUAAUAACAAAAAAAUACUCAAACUCUAAAGUCAUGACUAUGGAGCGACUCUAAGAGGUUUCAACUUGAACAAGUGCGAGGCUUACCAGGAAUAUGUCACGACCCGAGGUUACCCCCUAGUCGCAACAACGGUGUUUACGGUCACAAGUGACCACAAGCUAAUUCUUGAGCUGGUACCUGCUGUGAGCACUGAGUAUAAUAAUAAUAUAACAUAUGUGCGAAAGAUACAAUGAGAAAAUAAUACCAAUCUGAAUAUUGAAAAUGUGGUUCAACCACAAGUCUAAAACAUCUGAUGAAAUAAUGGAAGCUAACUAUCAAUUUAAAACAACGGAUAAUACUGAAAGGUCUGGUUAACUGAAUAAUCGUCUAACUGACUGUUUGAUUAUUUGAAAAGCCUCUAACUGAAUGACUAAGAAGUUUAGGGAAAAUCCCCCAACUAACUCUAACUGACUGAACAUAAUGACAUUCUGAAGUACUGAAUGAGAAAUAAUAUGUAACGCCCCAAAAUCUAAUCCCCGAGAUGCCACACGGUGCUCCGAACUACAAGUAGUUCUGAGCUAACCCUAGCUGCUUUCUACUAAUCUUGUCUCAAAAAGGAUAAAUAUAAGCAUGAAACCAUAAUAAGUGUGGAAAUCUAUUUGAAUUCUCUGAAUAAAUAUUGAAUAGAAUCUGAAUAUGAUUUCUAUACCCAUGAGAUUUUUAGGAAAACCCGGCAUACCUUAAUACCGGAGGAUAAUAGGUAAUUCUUGAAGCUUACGGAUUGGGGAUUCCAAAUAAUCAAUCACUUUUGAAAAUCCACGGUUGAAUCUUGAGUUAUUUGGGUUUUUAUUUUGAAACCCUUGAGAGAGUUCUUGAGGAAAAUUGAGAGAAAUAAACUUAUUUUGGCGUUAUGGGAGUUUAAUCCAGUGUUAGAUAUGAUAUGGGGUUGAAAACUAUCACAUUUACCCUUAAUGAGUCGGAAAGAAGCUGAAAAUUGACCCCAGGCUGUACCCAGGGCGGAGCCCUUCUUAGUCCACCGCUCUAGCCCGAGCGGUGCCCUGCUUAUAGCCUCUUUCUACUAGUCAUGAAAAUGGCAGUAACUUUUCGCUCCAGUAUCGAAUUUUUUUUAAAUUUGUAUCAUUGGAAAGCUAAUUUAAUUAUCUACAAUUUGGUGGGUAUUGGGAUGAAAAUUUCCAUGUAUAUAAAGAGUCAUACACAUUUGAAGUAGAUCCUUGUAGAAUCGAAUAUCGAAUUUUGGACUACUCAAAUGAUCUUAGCUUAACUUUGUUCUAAGUCAUUGCUAUGAACACUUUUCACCUCUAAACUACUUCAUAGAUUAGGAUAAUGAUCAUGAAACUUGUAUUCACAUUCAAAUCAUUUGGAUUAGAGCUUAGACGUGUAGAAACGACGAUUUAAUUUCUAGUUCGAAAAUGUGGGGUGUUACAUUAUCUCCCCCUUGGGAUCAUUCGUCCUCGAAUGAUAGGUAGGAACUUGUUGAAGCUUAAAGGUAUAGAAUAAUGAGGACAUAAUGUGUCCUCUAAGAAAUAUAUAUCCGAUCUGAAAUAUUUAAACUUCUAUCAUGAAACUGAAUUCUGAGCAGACUUGACUUUACCUGCUUCAAGAUGCUGAUUCAUGCUGAGAGUUUAGGAUUCCCUUAAAGUAUUCAUGAUCCAAUUAUACAUAUUGAAUUGAGAAGUGAUAACUUAUGAAAGUACGAACCAUGAGACAACCAGACUUAGGUCACAUAAGGGUAUUACACUAUAUGAGCUAAAAUACUUAGAAAUUUUGAGAUUAUGCGCUGAACUUUUAUGCACCGAGCCUUGACCAAAUAGCUGAAUCUAAAACAUGAUGCUUGGAAUGAACUGAAUUCACAAUUUACAUGGAUGGAAUAGGUUAUAUCCUGGGGUGGUCAUACGUAUGAGACUUCGGAUAGUAAGACUGCGUGAAAAGGUGGAAAACCAUAGUAACUAAUUAGCCUGACUAUCAAACUGAAUUGCUGGCUAUACAGACUGAAUUACACUAGACACUUAACUUAAGUAUUCCUUGAACACCCUUUCUAAAGAAGUCCUAGUAGCCGUAGAAAGCAAGGGAUCUUGGGAAUGAGUUACAAAAGACAUCCAACUAGGGAAUCACAACAAUGACAUUACUCUUUAACACGGAAUAGACAUAUAACUCAUAAACUAGGAUAGAAUUACCACACCUUAAGCAAAAAAACUUCUUACUUUCAGGUUACCCACACUUCUAAAAUACUCUCUCAACUAUAGUUUUCCCCUUAAAUAUCAUGCUCAUUGAUUCCACUUAUUUUUCUCACAUAGACGCUGAUAUCUCCAUCUACUAAUGUCUAAACUUAACUAAAUCCUCUCACUAUCUUCAAGCCUAACUCAAACCAUAAGACACACCACAUAAUACUGUAGUACUAGUCUGAAUCAUAAAUUCAGUAUACCCUUCAUUUCACAAUUCCUCAUCUCAUGCAUAAUUCUUAUUGCCACUCCCAUAAUCACCUUCAACUUCUGAUUAGACAUUCACAAACACUCAAAGCAUCCAUCCGUAUGUAAACAAACAUGACAUUCAAGCCUAUAUUCUUACCCACAUAUGCACUUCUAAACAAAAACUCGUAAAGCACCUUCCUCAUAUUCUCUAAUACUUCUAUCCAUAACAGCUUCCUUGCACUAUUCAGAUGAUACACACAAAAUAUUCUCAACUAACCGAGCCAUACAUGAAACUUCACCUCAAAAUUCUUUCAAACUUAUAGACUUGGACUCAAUCUUACUCCACAAUUACUGCCUUAUCUCAACUAAGCAUACAACCAUAUUUCCUUAAUAAGAAAUGUUUACUCUCUCCCAUCUAGACAAUUGUUCAUCAACACUAUCUCGACCUACGAGAAAGGUCACUGAAAAGUUGGAAUAUCGGGAUUCAGAACAUGAGGGGAUUACUAAGCAUAACUUGAUACCCUUUUGAGGCAUGAGGAAUAGAGCACUCACGGUAUGAACUCAUUAAAGAGGUCUAAUCUGAGGAAGUACCCAACUGGGAACUCAUCAUACUAGAAGCUAAAAGAGUACAUGAUUCCCUAUCAUAUCCAUGAAUAUGAACUAUGAUCGUGGAGCUGAAACAUAAGUAUGAGUAUGUAUCAAAAUAAAUGAAGCAAACUGCUGAAAUAAGAAUACAUUAAGCAUCACUCUUCUCACGGCUAUUCCACCACUUACGGGCACAACAAUUAGAAUUUGAACGCUUAACUUGAUUACUCGUUCUAUCAUCUCCCCCUUAGAUUCAAGCCAUCACUCUGAGUCGGUGAACCACUGUAUACACUCUGGUAUAACUGAAAUCACUCUACUCUAGAGUCUGGGAUAUACAAUACACAUAAAACUAAACUUACUCUGAAAGACAGUAUCUUCGUGUAUAAUACCCAAUACUAAUAUCUCCUUCCAAGAUUCAACCCUUAGGCUUCUAUAGCCCCAAAAGUAAUUAUAUAACAACUUAAACAUUCACCAACUUAGAUUCUAACACUAAACAUGGAUAUCAUCAACCUCCAACACAUCAUACUUCUUCCGUCAAAGUCUACCGGUAUCGCAUCUCAAAACCUUUAUCUCUCCCCUAAUCCAUGAGAAUCAAAAUCAUACUUAAAAAGGCUCAACAUCCUUAAUCAUAACUCCAUAACUUAGCUAUCACGAACAUCACAUAUUAUUUAACUAGUCUUUCUCCACCUAGCAACUCAAUGGUACUACUAAUCCACACAACAUGCAAUGAUCCUCAAAAAUAACACAUCCCCAUAGCACCUUGGGCGUACGUCUACAUCAUACUUACAACACCAGACUUGAUUUUGAAUCAAAUAAACUUAAGAUCUUGUAUACACUAUUCAAGCCUACUAGGUUAUUUUCACACAACUAACAUCUACUACAUUAUUCAUUAUACCCACCUUGAUCACCAUCUACUAUUCCAACUUAGUGUUUAGUUCUAGCUACGAAGAACCAUAACUUUACACAAUAUUCUUACAUGCCAAACAUCUGAAAACAUUAACCAACCAAAACUUCAUAACAGUAAGGAUCAAUCACAAUCCUAUGAUCUAUCUUAUUUAAAACCCAUUAAUAUGUCCUCCUUCUACACAAUAUUACUAUCUACCCUUAUACAACUAAAAUUAGGGAAAAACUCUAUAAGUCUCAAUUAAGCUCCCUUUUAUAAUCUCAGGGGCAUCUAAUUCAAUGACACUCUUCCACCAAGUACCUUCAUCAAUAAACUACACCUUCCUUGCUCACAACAAACACCGUCAACAACUCUUUUCAUACUUCAAGCAAUCAACAAUUCACCUUAACUAAUAACUCCUUCUCUACCUUCUACUAAACUAACACACAAAGACGUAUCACUUUACUACUAACUCACUCUCAUUCAAAAAGAUUCAACUAUACAUAUAUUUAACCAACACCAGAACAAAAAACUGCUAGUGAAUCAAAAUAGGCCUCACACGGCUUUACUAGACUUUGAUUUUUGUGUUUUGAACAAGAAAAAGAAGAUGAAUGACAAGAAAACUAUGCUAGUGAAUCGAAAGAGCCCCACAUGGCUUCACCAGACUUUGAUUUUUUUUUUACAGAAACACCAUGAUAACAAGAUUGCCUAUUAUAAGAGAUAGAAAAUUAACACACGAUGUUCAAUGAUAGAAAAUUAACACACGAUGUUCAAUGAUCUAAGACUACACAUCUUACUCUGUAUAAAUAGAAAUCUGAGUCAAACACAUCCCCCACAGACUACCAUACAAUCCACACAUACUACUAGCUACCAUAUUAGUCUACCACUAUAGAGAGGUUAAUCAUCCUCAAACACCGGUUAUUCAAUUAAAAUAUUUAUUUACACAAAAGUCGCCCUCACUCUGACUUCUAACUCUGUGACUUCAUAUCACUAGCUUCUUGGUCUAAUCUUACUCCCAAUUGGUCAUGACACUGACACUUUAACUUAUACUACUAUUUGGGUGAAAAUGCAGUUCCAACAUUCUUCUACACAUUAUUCCCUCUGAAAUAUGACAUCUGUAACAUAAAUUUUGAAAAGGACCGAAUACUCUUAAUACUGCAGGCUGAAAAGCAUGAUUUUAUUAAGAUCAAGGUUCACACCAGAACCAAUACACUCUGAAGAAGUAAAGGACUCUUUCCAAGUCCUUACAAAACUCUUAUAUGAUUCAAUCAGAAAGAACCAUACCAUUUAGACUCUAAACUUCUGUACUUGAAUUAUCCCAAUAAUGAGACAUAUAUGAGAAUAUCAGAGAAAGGAAAGAAUUGGGAUGACUGUUACUUUCGUAUUGGCGACACCAUAGCAUGAAUUAGAGUAUGAAAGAGGAACAUUCUGACUUUGUUGCAUGAACUAGAACAUGAAGAAAGAGAGACAUUCCUAAACGCCUUAUAGCCUCCUACUUAUAAGUGUGGUGCACUACACACCCAUAAACAAGACUCUACCCAACACGAUUUCACAGAAACCCUGGGAUCAUGAACAGUUCUCUGAUACCAAGUUUGUUACGACCCAAACUAGGGCCUGGCCAUGAUGGACAUCCCAAACUAUGAAGGAACGAAAUGCCCCUCUCUAUAUAGUAAUCAUGCACAACAUUCAUAUAAUAAAAGAAGAUGCGGAAACAUAAUCUGCUACGGAAACAUGGUCAAUUAUAAAUUCAACAUAAGUAUGGAAACUGUAAAUCAACUACAUAUGAAUAACAUCUGACUCAGUCUGCGAAAUCUCUACUAGAUGGAAAUCUAACAACUGUCUGAAACUGGGACAAGGCCCCUAGUAGACCAAAACAAUAAUGAGUGACAUAAUCUGAAAGGACAGGCCUUCUGGAAUAGAGAAGGCUCACCACUACACAAUCUAAUCAGCUGCCUGAAUUAUCUACUGCUUAUCUGGACCCCUAGCCCGAACCUCAGAACCUGGAGGAAGGAGGGGGUUAAUACAGAUGUACUGGUAUGCAAAGCAUUCCAAAAUAAAGCUUUUAUAUAAAUAAAAUAAUGAAGAGCAAUUUGUCAAAACAUCAUACAUAAAAUAGUUUUCGAAACACAUGGGCACCUUUUUGAAAAUCAUAAAUCAUUCUUGACAAUGUAGUUCCUGUUCUUCAUUUUAAUUCUGAGCUAUGAGGUACACCCCUACAAUUCUAAAAUCCCACGGACUGUAUGGAAUCCGCCAUUAACUCGACAGGGAAUCCCCCAACCCAAGUGUCAUGGGUUGGAGUUUCUAUUCUGAUACGCCACACAGCACUAGGCCAGCAUAAUAUAAUAUACCCAGAUCAGAAAAUCAUGGUUUCGGGCAAUGAUUUGCCUGAACUCGUGCCUUCUUCGGGGAACCACUUAAGCUCUCUUUACGUCCAAUUUUAUCCUAUUCUAAAUCAUGCAUUUUUUUUUUAGUUUCAACAUCUGAAAGUUUGAUUUUAAACGUGCAUUCUAUUCUAUUCUGAAUUACCAUGGCAUAAUCUGAAUUGGUGUCGUCACACCAAGACUUGCAAGUACUAUUUCUGAGCCAUAAUGUAUCAUGCAUAAUUCUUUUAAUAAAACACAGGUCAGACCACCCAAAUAUGCAAUUAGUAUAAGAGAUAUUAUGUUUCGAAACUCAAGUCAAAACUAUGUGAAAACUGUCAUCAAGCAUAUGGUGGUCAUGUAUUUCGGCAAGCAUGCAACUCUUUCAUUAAAUGAAUAUUCAACUUUUAUCAAUAUGCACAACUUUCUCUUUCGAAUUCAAAACCAUAAAUCAAAUUGUAGCAUUAAUCAAGAUAUUUCAUAUCAUGCUUUUCAAGAUACAAAACAAUCCAUAUCAUAUGAAAAUUGGAAAAAUAAUAUCAAGAGAGGGAUUCAUGUGAGUCAUGCUCUCAAUUCAUUCAUAAAUCAUAAAACUUAUGCAUACGUAUAUAUAUGUAAUUUAAAUCCAUUUAGGGGAAGGCCUAAAGACCAAAACAAUGUCAUCAAGACUUCUAAAACAUAUUUAUAUUCGUAAAUCCAAAACCCCUUUUCUUAAAACAUGAUUUCUAUGCCUAUGAGAUUUUUAGGAAAACCCCGCGUACCUUAAUACCGGAAGAUAAUAGGUAAUUCUUGAAGCUUACGGAUUGGGGAUUCCAAAUCUUUAAUCACUUUUGAAAAUUCACGAUUGAAUCUUGAGUUAUUUGGGUUUUUAUUUUGAAACCUUUGAGAGAUUUCUUGAGGAAAAUUGAGAGAAAUAAAAUUAUUUUGGUGUUAUGGGAGUUUAAUCCCGUGUUAGAUAUGAUAUGGGGUUGAAAAGUAUCACAUUUACCCUUAAUGGGUUGGAAGGAAGCUGAAAAUUGACCCCAGGCUAUACCCAGGGUGGAGCCCUGCUUAUUCCACCGCUCUAUCCCAGGCGUAGCCCCCCCUUAGAGCACCGUUCUAGCCCGGGCGGUGCCCUACUUAUAGCCUCUUUCUACUGGUCACGAAAAUUGUUGUAACUUCUCACUCCGGUAUCGAAUUUUUGUAAAAUUGCAAUCGUUGAAAAGCUAAUUCAAUCAUAGGGUUUAAGCUGUCUGGAAGCAUAGGAUAUGACCUUAUCAUAUUGCAUGAGUACACAACCCAAACCUACUCUAGAUGCAUCACAAUACACUACGAACCUAUCUGAACCAUCUGGAAGAGCUAAAACUGAAGCUGAGAUGAGUCGAGUCUUCAACACCUGAAAAAUCUUCUCACAAGGAUAUGACCACUGAAACUUGACUUUCUUCUGAGUCAAUCUGGACAUAGGGGAACUACAGAACAAAUCCCUUAAUAAACUAUCUGUAAUAGCCAGCCAAACCUAAAAAAACUCCUGAUAUCUGAUGGAGAGACAGGGUGAGGCCAGUUUCUUACUGCUUCGAUAUUUUGAGGAUCUACACUAAUGACAUUAUCGGAAACGAUAGGACCAAUAAAUGCUACUGGCCUUAGACAAAAUUUGCAUUUAUUGAAUUUGGCAAAUAGCUGAUGAUCUCUGAGAGUCCAAAGUACUGUUCUGAGAUGGUCUUCAUGAUUGCGCUCAGUGUAGGAAUAGACCAAAAUAUCAUCUAUGAAGACUAUGAAGAACAUAUCCAAUUACUGAUUGAAUACACGGUUCAUCAAGUCCAUGAAAGCAGAUGGGGCAUUGGUAAGACCAAAGGACAUAACUAAGAAUUCGAAGUGACCAUACCGAGUUCAGAAAGCUAUUUUCAGAAUGUCACAUUCUCUAACUCUGAGCUGAUGAUAGCCAGAUCUAAGCUCGAUCUUAGAAAAAUUACUGGUACCUUGAAGUUGGUCAAACAAGUCAUCGAUUCUAGUAAGAGGAUACUUGUUCUUGACCAUGACCUGACGAUAAUCGAUGCACAUUCUGAGAGAACUGUCUUUCUUAUGCACGAAUAAGACUGGCGUACCCCACAAGGAAAUAAUGGGUCUGAUGAAUCCCUUAUCUAAUAGAUCCUUCAACCGUUCUUUUAAUUCUUUGAGUUUUACUGGUGCCAUUCUGUAUGGCAGAAUAGAGAUAUGCUGAGUAUCUGGAAGAAGAUCAAUACCGAAGUCUAUUUCCCUUUUGGGAGAAAUUCUUGGAAGAUCUUCGGGAAAGACAUCUGACUAUUCACUCUCGACUGGAAGUUAUUCAAGACUAGAAGUCUCGAAACUGGAAUCCUUAACAUGAACAAGAUAAUAGACACACCCUUUAGAUAUCAUUUCCUUUCCCGAAGGUAAGAAACAAGAUGACCUCUGAAAGCAAAUACAUUACCCUUCCACUCUAGGAUGGGUUUAUUCAAAAAUUGAAACUAAACUAUUUUAUUUCUGUGGUUGACUGUGGCAUAGUAGGAAUGAAUCCAAUCCAUGUCAAGAAUGACAUCAAAAUCAGUCAUCUCCAAUUUGACUAAGUCUGCUAAAGUGAAUUUCUGAAAAAUCAUAAUCGGGCAGUUCCUGUACACCCACCGAGCUAUGAUGGUUUUAUCCACUGGGGUAGAGACUGAAAAGGGUUUUGCUAGAAUUUCGAUACUGAUUUUGAAAUCAACUACUAUAUAAGGUGUAACAGAAGACAAAGAAGAUCUUGGAUCUAGCAAAGCGUAAACAUGCACAAAAAAGAUCUGUAACGUACCAAUAAUCACAUCAAAAGAAUUUCUAGAUCCUGGUAGGAGUGAAGAGCAUAGAGACAAUUUGGGUGUUGCCCAGUAGUAGUACUUGAGGUGGCACCCUAUUGAUUUGGGCGACUGGACUGAGCUGAGGAGUGGAGAUGACUCUGGUAGCCUGACUGAGGGCAGUCUCUGACUCUGUGGCUUGGCUUGCCACAAUCGAAACAGACAUCACUACCCGCCCUGUACUCACCCUUAUGGUUCUUACCAUAAGUCUGACAAAGAGGAUUUGUUCGGGGACUGCUAACACUGCCCUGGGUCUUAGAUCCUAGCACUCUAUCUCUAUUUCCCUCUCUGAACUUAGGAACAGGAGCACUGGCUAUAGAGAGAUCUAGAACUUAUGACUUAGGAUGAAACUAAGAAUGGUUUCCUCUUUAUGACUUAGGUUGAGCGAAGUUGAAACUACCUAUCUUCACUCUCUUAUUCUGUUUCUCUCUUAUCUUAACCUGUUGCUUCUCUAUCUGCUGAGCAUGGGUCAUAAGUCUAGCUAAGGUUAUGUCACUAUUUAGCAUGACAAAUCUGCACUCAUUAACCACACUAUCGUUUACUCCUGACAUAAACUUACUCAUCCUUGCCCUGCUAUCUGCAACCACAUGAGGGGCAUAUCUGGCUAGUUGAGUAAAUGUGAGAGAAUACUCUUUCACUGUCAUAUUGCUCUUGCUGAGGUUGAUGAAAUCUAACACCUUGGCUUCUCUAAGAUCUAGGGGAAAGAACCUAUCAAGGAAAACUGAAGCAAACUCCUCCCACUCAACUGACCCUGCAUUUUCUGCCCUUUCUGACUUCUACUGCUUGAACCAAGUGUGAGCACCAUCCUACAAAUGAUAUGCAGCUAGCUCAGCACUCUCAACAGUAGUCACCCCCAUUAUAUCUGCCACCUUCUGCACCUGAUCAAGGAACUCCUGAGGGUCCUCAUCUGUCUUAGACCCAAGAAAGGUUGGAGGAUUCAUUCGGGUGAAGUCCCAAAUUCUAGCUGCAGCUGAAUUGGCCACUGGGUUGGCCAGAAUGACAACUGGUCAUUCAUUCUAGGUAGAACUGACUGAGCAAGAGUGGUAACUACGGUCCUAAACUCCGCAUGAGAAACAUGAUCGCCCAAAGGUUUUUCGGGUUGAGGGGCUGACAGAUUUCUUAUCUUAGGAGGCAUAUUCUAAAAUAAAGAGAAGAAGCAGAUUAGACUGAGAGACUGACUUGAGUUUAUGCUCACUGGCAUAAUAUGAAUACUGAAAGAGGGGAAACUAUUCCUAAAACAUCUCAUAGCCUCCUACACAUAAAUGUGGCACGCAACAUACCCAUGUACAAGACUCUAGUAGAUGCAACUUUCAGAAUUCCUAGGACUCUAUUGAUCCUUAGGCUCUGAUACCAAGUUUAUAACACCCCAAAUCUGGUACCCAAAAUGCUACACGGUGCUUAUGACCCCAAAGGACCAUAAGCUAACCCAUGACUGAUAUUUAUAUCUGUACACUGCAUAAUAUGACAUAAUAAUGCGAAAACAUGCACUGAAAGGCCAUAAGGUUCAAUACUGAACAUAACAUGGAUAAUAUAACAUCUGAGUGGGGUAAUGGAAUACCCAAAACAAAAUUGAGAAAUACUGAAGUUUGAAACAUAACAGUCUAGAAAGCCUCUAACAUGACUAUCUGAAUGAGUAAGGAAUUGAUGGGACAUAUCCCCAACUAACUCCAACUAAUAAACUAAUUAAUGAGAUAAUAUAAAAAUCAUCAUGUCCUCAGAGGAUGAGGACUCACUUCUACUCUGAUGGCUGAGACUGGAAUCUACUGGUGAUCUGGAGCUCGUGUCUCUGAACCUAUGGUAUAAGACACCAUAGCAUGAAUGCGUCAGUACUUUGAAUGUAAUGGUAUACAUGUGAGGUAGGAUAAAUACAUGGGGCUCAUAUACAUAAAUAAUAAUAAUAACUGACUGGCUAUCAUGAGCGUGAGAAAUGAUGCAUGAGAUGCGAUAACUAACACUGAUACCGUGAAUACAUAAUAACUGAACCUGAGUACUGAUAACUGAAUACUAGUAACAUGACAUACAAAUAACAUAAAUAACUGUAUCUUGAAAGCAGAGUCCAGCAACCAGAAAAACUCUCUUUCUAAACUCACCAGUGAUCGUUUUUCCACUAAGAAAAACUAUUAUAAAAAGCCUUCUCCUCCAGAUGUUCAAUUUGAAGAAAAUCCCUACCUCUCAACCUUCAACCAUGACGGUAGAGGAAUAACUAAAUGGAAUGUAGACGGUUUGGCUGAACACCAAAUCUACAACAACCUCACCUGCAAAGACCUAGCAGACUUCAGGUGGUAUAAAGACACCUUUUUAGUAAAGGUCAUGAUCCGACCUGAUUGUAACAAUGAUUUCUGGAAGGAACGAUUCAUUAGUGGCCUUCCUUCUCUGUUCACAGAAAAGGUUAGAACCAAAAUUAAAGACAGAUUUGAGGGAAAGAUCCCUUAUGAUAUCCUAAGCUAUGGCGACUUGAUCAGUUUCAUCACCACCGUAGGGAUAGAUCUUUGCACUGACCUCAAACUUAAAAAUCUCAAAAUCCGACUUGACCAAGUAGAACUUAACGUUCUUACGGAUCAAGUCCUCAAAAAUAUAUCUCCCCCAGAAAAGGUUUCUCCACCAGAGUCACCUAAAGCCUUUCCGAUCAUCCCAAAUGACCAUCUCAGAGAACCAGAGCCUAGUUCCUUUCCUGGCUCAGAUUCUCCCUCCACGUCCGGCAAAGCUAUUACGGCCAUAAAGGAUUAUAGCGAACAUAUAGCCAUAAAAAUUGUCAUAAACAUAGACUUUGUUCUUAACAGAGUCGCACUCUUCGAUACAGGAGCAGAUAGUAACUGUAUCAUUAAAGGUUUAGUACCUACAAAGUACCUCCAAAAGAGUACCUCUCGUCUUUACUCAGCGACGGGAGAAGAAAUGGAAAUCCAUUAUCAGCUCCCUAAAGCUCAUGUCUGUAACAAUGGCAUUUGCCUUGUUAAUGACUUCGUCAUCACCGAAGAUAUCACAGAAGAUAUCAUUUUGGGGAUACCUUUCGUCAACCAAAUUCGACCUUACUGGAGUGACUACGACGGAAUUCGUACAACUCUUUUAAACCAGAACUUAUUCUUCCCUUUAUUACGGCCCCUCUCGCAAGAAGAAGGUAACCUUAUUAUAGAACGAACGGUUUUUAAAAUUAACCGACUUUCUUCCCAUAUCAAUUUUCUUAAACAAGAUAUUCACAUCAAGAAAAUUGAGCAGUCUUUAAAAACCCUGGAGAUGAUCACUAAAAUAUCUAAUCUCCACAAAAAUUUUGAAAAUGAAAUUUGUUCCGAAUUUCCUAAUGCUUUUUGGGAACGGAAAAAACACUUNNNNNNNNNNNNNNNNNNNNNNNNNNNNNNNNNNNNNNNNNNNNNNNNNNNNNNNNNNNNNNNNNAUCCAAAUGAACCAAGAAAUGAUGGAAAUCUGCAAAAAGAAAAUUGACCAUCUUCUAAAGAAUGGUAUUAUUAGAAGCUCUAACUCUCCCUGGAGUUGUUCUGCCUUUUAUGUCAAUAACAGUGCAGAAAAGGAGCGCGGAACCCCUAGACUUGUAAUAAAUUACAAGCCUUUGAACGCAGUCUUAAAAUGGAUCAGACAUCCUAUUCCUAAUAAAAGGGAUCUAUUAAAAAGAACUUUCAAAUCUAAUCUUUACAGCAAAUUUGAUAUGAAGUCCGGGUUUUGGAAAAUUCAAAUUGCUGAGAAAGAUAAAUAUAAGACGGAUUUUAACGUCCCAUUUGGACAUUAUGAGUGGAACGUCUUGCCUUUUGGUCUCAAAAACGCUCCAUCAGAGUUUCAAAACAUUAUAAACAAUAUCUUCAAUCCUUAUACUUAUAUGUCGAUUGUUUAUAUUGAUGAUGUGCUUAUUUUCUCGGAGAACAUUGAUUCUCAUUUCAAACAUUUAAACACUUUCUUUAAAAUUAUUAAAUUUAAUGGUUUGGUUGUUAGUGCCAAAAAAAUGAAGCUCUUCCAGACAUAUACAAGAUUCUUAGGACAUGAUCUUUAUCAAGGUAGCUAUAAACCUAUUUGUAGAGCCAUUGAGUUCUCCUCCAAAUUCCCUAAUGAAAUUACUGAUAAGACUCAACUCCAAAGGUUUCUAGGAAGCCUCAAUUAUGUUGCGGAUUUUAUUCCUAAUAUUAGGCAGGUCUGUGAACCUCUUUAUAAAAGACUCAAAAAAAACCCCAGUUCCUUGGAGUCCUGAUCAAACCAAUGCUGUCAUUAAAAUAAAAAAUUUAGUCCAGAACCUUCCUUGCUUAGGAAUUCCUAACCCUGAAGCCUUCAUGAUAGUUGAAACUGAUGCUUCAGAUAUAGGGUAUGGGGGUAUCUUAAAGAUAGGGUUGGCUAUAGGAUUAGGGCUUGGGGCUCCUUUCUCAGGAGUAGGGGAAACAAAAGGAAAUACCGAGUUUUUAGUAUGUCGUAUUUGCUGGUAGAUAGUGUGAAGGACCUGAUUAGUAUAGUUGUUUUGUUCAACUAUCCUAUCGAGGUCUCUAUUGAUAGGGGCAGAUAGAGGUCUAUCAUGCUUCUUCUUGAAUGGUGAAGCAUUGAGAACUUUAUUGGAAUGAGGAAUUUUUAUCCCUUCGAGAGGAGGAGUAACAGAUUUAAUUAUCUUGUUACUCUGAGUAUAACAUUUGUUAAUGAUACCGUUGAGGGAUUCAUUUUGGUUUUCCAUUCUUCCGGUGAACUCAAACCAUCGAAAGAAUUCUAUGUCACAUCGGAGCCUUUUCAUAUCGGUUAUCCAUAGCCGACCUAACUCCUUUUGUUGUUCUUUGGAAUAGGUACUGGUAUACCAUUUACUUUUUAUUGUGUCCUUUGGGAGGUACCAGCGGACUUCAAGAGCUUUAAGAUCAGGUGUAUACUCUUCAUCAAAUUUGAUGACGAGUAGGCUGGGGUCGGUCCGAAUUUUUUGACGGGAUAUGGUAGGGGGAGGUUCCAUAUCAGAGGCUGUAGGACUGCCUGGAUCAUAAGGAUUUUCAGGUUCUAGGGACUCAUAGACCCUAGUGGAUUGCUGAUAAUAAACUUUUGGGACAGGACCAGAGAAGUCGACUCCUCUUACUUUGCCCUUGUCAUUGUUAUUAUCAUUUUCGUCACUUCCCUCCUNNNNNNNNNNNNNNNNNNNNNNNNNNNNNNNNNNNNNNNNNNNNNNNNNNNNNNNNNNNNNNNNNNNNNNNNNNNNNNNNNNNNNGGAACAAAGACAUUGGUUCUGUCUUUAUUGGCCUCCAUGAGUGUGGUGACACCCCUAGGACUUGUGAAUCUAGCUUGGGGUGCUAGAGUUGUACCCAUUAGUCGAUAGUAUACUCUGUAUAUUAUUGCGAUUUCUCUAGUAUUAUCCUUACUGUUCAUGUUUUAGUUUUAACAUUAAGGGUUAAAACAUCCAUGAUGUUAGGAUCAUUAAUGUCUACUGAGAAAUUAGGGUAACAAUUAAAGUAUACCGGGCCAUCAGCUAGGUUACUUUGGAUAACUCCUAAGAGUGAGUCGUCAAAAUUUAAUAGACGAGCAUCUCUUAGAAUAGCACAGACAGGGAUGUCUAGACCCUGUCUAAAGAGUGGCUUAAUGGCCACUUGAACAAGUCCGAUAUGCAGAUAAUUAAACUGAUUUUUAAAUCGGUUUAUGUCGUGGUCAUUUAAAAGUUGAAUAAUUUCCAAAGAAUUAUUGAUAGCAACCGUAGACUCAGAGGUCUUAAUAUUAUGUUUUUUGAAAAAACUAAAUUUUCUGAUUUGAUAAAUCGUGCUAAAAGAUUCUUCUGGAAUACUCCAGUUUUGAAGAUUAUUUUCUAUAUUAGCAAUCUGAGUUGCUUUAGAAGAUAAGUUGAUAGUAUUUUUAGUAUGAACGUUGGAAUUCAUAUUUGAAAAUACUGUCUAGAGACUGACUGGGAAAGCAAAGAUUUUCACAUGAGGAAGCAUAAAACAAUUAUCAACUAUGAUACAACCUAUAAUAAAUUAUAUUAAUACAUCUAAGACCAUCAACCUAGACAAGUCCAUAUCACUAAUCAACACUGCAGUCCAUCACUCUUUAUCCACUCUACCUGAUACUCCAAAAACAAACUUAUUCAUCGUGGACCUACUGUCUGCCACUACAUAAGGAGCGUACCUGGCUAACUGGGUGAACUUAAGGGAAAUAACCUAUCUAAGAAAGCUGUAGCGAACUCUUCCCACUCUAUGGGCUCUGUAUCUAUACCUUUGUCUACCUUUUACUGUUUAAACCACGUAUAGGCUACAUCUUGUAGCUGAUAGGUGACUAACUCAACACUCUCACUGGAAGUCACUCUUAUGAAGUCUGUGACUUUUUGAACCUGAUCAAGGAACUCCUGUGGAUCCUCUUUGGACUUGAAACCGUUAAAUAGAGGAGGGUUCAUUCGAGUGAAAUCUCAAAUCCUAGAUGGAUCAACAUUGGCCUCUGGGUCGGCUAGAACAGCGGCUGGCUAUUCGUUUUGAGCUACGACUGAACUGGCUAGAGUAGUGAAUGCAGUCCUGAAUUCUGCAUGAAAGAUGUAUUCGUCCAUGGAAUCUGCUUGGUCAGGAUGAGGUGCUGACUGAUUUUUGGUUCUUUUUUCACUAGUUCUUUCUAAAGAUAUGUUCUAUAAAUGAAAGAAAGAAGUGAAUUAGAUUGAGAGUUUAAUUAGAGCUUUUGCCCACUGGAACUACAUGAAUACAGAAAGAAAGGAAACUGUUCCUAGAACAUCUUAUUGCCUCCUGCACAACACAUGCAUGUACAAGGCUCUACUAGAUGCACCUUUUUAGACUUCCUAGGACUCUAUGGAACCUUAGGCUCUGAUACCAAGUUUUUAAUACCCUGAUUUUCUAAACCGAAAUACUGCAUGGUGCUCAUGACCCCGAAGGACUACAAGCUAAUUUAUGACUAAUAUCUGUACCUGUAUACUGUAUAAUAUAACAUGAAAAUGCAGAAAUAUGAACUGAAUGGCCAUAAGGUUCAAACCUAAAUAAACAUCUGAUAAGAACAAUAUCUCAAAACGGUAUAACAAUAUCAAAACAAGUCUGAAAGAACUGUCUAAUAUGUUGUAGUCUGGAAAGCCUCUAAAUUGUCUAAUAAGGAGUUGAUGGGACAUGUCCCCAACUAACUCCAUCUACUGAAAGAAAAUAACUACUGAAAAAAUGAACUAAUCAAAUAAUAUCAUCCUCAAAUGAUGAUGACUCACUGCUAACACUGUCUGCUAAAAUCUGGAAUGCUACAGCUGAUAUGGAUCUCGUGUCUCUGUACCUAUGGUGUAGAAUAAAAGAAACACCAUAGCGCAAAUGCGUCAGUACGUUGGAAUGUACUGAGUAUGUAAGUGAGGUAGGCUAAAUAUAAAGGGUUUACAUGCAUGAACAAUGCUGACUGAUAUGAACGUGAGAAUACAUAUGUACAUAAAUAACUAUAACUAAACUCGUGGAAAUACAGACUACAGAGUCUGAAUACUGAUAACAUGAUCCUACUGAUACUGAGAUACUAAUUGAUUGAGUUUACUAGAAUUAAAGUGUAAGUCACUAAUGAGUGAGAAAACUGAUACUGUAUUGUUGAAUACUGAAGGACUGAAAAUGCAUUACUGAUACAUGGAUAACUAUUUUUGACAGUUCUGGUUAUGAAGAACUGGCCUGGUUGACUGUAUCUGGUAUUCUAAUUAUAAAGAAUAAAUCUGAUGGACCGUAUCUGACAGCCAUGAACAUGAAGAAUUGAUAUGCUUGAUCAUAUCUGACAGUCAUGAAUGUAAAUACUGGUAAUAUGAGUUCUGAUAACUAGGAAUUCUAAUAACAUGAGUUCUGAGAACUGAUAUGACUGAUAAUAAAGUGACUGUAUCUGAAAGUCCUAAAUAUAGGGAAAUAGCUAAGUUCCAUAUUACUGGGUGACUGUGGCUGACAGUUCUAAAAUCUGAAGAACUAUCUGAGUCCUUUUACUGAGACUGAGAAUGAGACAAUGGGAGGUAAUCAUCUAACCGACAUACCUCGAAACUGAACUAGUUAGGGUCCAAUCCUUGCCCUGAUUAGAAGGCAUCAAUACCAUGCCACGGGUAGAGACAACAUAUGAGUAAACCCUAUUUUGUUAUUAAGAGCUCAUUCCGUCUACCCUACUAUCAGGCAAACUCAAAGGAGAUGCUUUAACCCUAUGGGUAGGGACAUCUCAACCUACGAUGGCUACGUAGUUCUGGAAUGCAAGGAUUGCUUUUAGGAAUCACACCCUUUGAUUGUAACAGGUGAGUCCCCAUCCUUGGUUCUCUCGGUGCUGAAUCCUACUUCCAACUGGAUAGACACUGAACGAAUUUACUGAUCUGAACUGAUUAACUGAACUGAUGCUGGUGGAUUGUUUAGUAGAGCUAAACUAAGUUUACUAGAUUCCGAUGACGGACGGAAUGUACUGAGUUCUGAGGACUAAUUGAAAGUACUGAAGUUACUGAGAGAACUAGAAUUACUGAAGUUUUCGAUAUCACUGAGUACUGAGAUCACUGAGAUUACUGAACUAUUGAGACUUACUGAGGUUUCUGAGUUACUAAAAUUUCCUGAGUCACACGACUGACUGAGUUCUAUGAAACAUGGCCUGACUGAGAAUAUCAUGAAAAUAUGACAUGGCUAUAGGCACACAACUAUAUUUUUUGGAUACGAGUACCCCAGGACUCGAUGUAUGGAAACUGACACACAUGACGUUUCUUGAAUACAUGACCAAUGUCAACAAUCCAUAAUAUCAUAACAUAGGGAAUUUCAAGAAGUACAUGGUUAUCAUACAUCUUAUACAUAAGUAGGAUUUUCAAGAAAGCAUAGCAUAAUCUCACAAGACUAGUUCAUGAACAAUCCAACAACAUUUACAAUUUAUAAUACCAUAAAUAGGGGAUUUCAUACUACACUUGGUUAUCAUAUUCUAGAUCAUGGAAGAUAAUGCAUAUAACAUGUACAUACUUGCAUGAUUCCAAUUUCAUGAACAUUCCAUAUCACAACAACAAUACACAAUAAUUAGCAUGGAAUUCUAGUCUCUUAGGUAUUUUAUCAAACACCUUGCAUGCAUACUUUAUGGCAUAGGUUUAUUCAUGAAUUCAACAACCCACAUCACACAAAGUUCAUAUAUUUUAACCAACAUCUCAUCCUAGUUUCAUUCAAACCCAUAAAGAUUCUAUCUUGACAUCAUUAAACACAAAAACAAGAUCAACAAUCAAAUCAAAAUAUAUCAAGCAUGGCAUAUAGUUUAAAAUAGGAUUCUUGGACUUCAUGCACGAAAGGAGUCCAUGAAUGAACACAUACAUACCUUAUUUCUUGAUUCAAAAAAGAUUGACGGAAAAAUUCUUGGAAUUUGAUGGUGUAAUUUUCUUGAACUUGAAUUACCCAAUUGAAAUCCUAGCUGGUUCUUGAGAGGAAUUUGAGACAAGAUAGUGUAUUUUGGUGUUUUUGAGCCUUAAUCCCCUAUUUUUGAGUAUAUAUAUGAAGGUAAAAUGACCAAAUACCCCCGAGAGCAUGGAAGUGGAAUGCUAAAAAUUGGGCUAGCACUGGAGUUGCUAGGCGGCGCCUGCCUAAGCCCAAUGGACUACCCCAGGCGAUGCCUGCCUUAGCCCAGCGGACUACCUCAGGCGGGGCCUGCCUUAUGGCAGUUCUAUAGCUGGGGCGACGCGGGCUUAUCUCCCCGAGCUGCUAUUUUGGAAUUCCAAACAUGCCCUUACGCUAUCCAAAAAAUUCCAAAACUUACCCGAGAUGUACUACGACAUUACCCCAUCAUAACGCAACUUGAAAAUCUAAAAACGAAGGUCGGGAAGGUCAUCAAAUAAAUCCCCAAAGUUUGGAAGUCUAAAAUGAGACUAAGUGUUGAAUCUUGAACACCUAGCAAAAUUUUCUAAGUCUUGGAACCUUUCAUGGAGCUUCGCGUGCUGAAUUUGACACGCGAUUUUGUGUGGUCUUACAGUUUUUAAGGGAUAAAUGGGUAUCUUCCAUCCCUUAUCCAGCUUUAAUACGGGAUUAAACUCCCAAAACACCAAAAUAUGAUUCUAUUCACCCAAACUACCCAAGAACACUCUCUAGGAUUUCAAACUAAAAACCCAAAUAUCUCAAGAUUUAGCCGUGGGUUUUUCGUAAUUCUUCAAGAUUUGAAAUCCCCAUUGCGAGGGCUACAAGAGGCAACCAUCAAUCGUAUGUAUAGCAUCCUAAAAGCUAGAGUUUAUUCAAAAGAUUCUAAUUUAAGGUACGUGGGGUUUAUCCUAAAAACUACAUGGGCUUUUAAACUCUAGAACAUGAUUUAAAGAUUAUCAAGCAUGAAUUUUAAAGGGGUUUCAGAAUUUAUGCUUUAAAUUCUGCAUUAUGGAUGUCUUGAUAAUGAUAUUGUUUUGCCCUUUAGGCCUUUCCCUUAAACUGAUUUAUACCUAUAUGUAUAUGUAUCAUAUUGAAGGUUUGACUGAGAGCACUGCUAUUGAAAUCCCUCUUUUUGAUGAUUUAGAGUUUAUGAACUUGUUGAGAAUGAUUUGAGAUGCAUGCACAAUGUUUAGAAAGUGAUCUUUUCAAUAGUCAAGAAUUUAAUAUGAUUUUGAUGAUGAUGAGAGGGAGCCUUUUGAAUAUGAUUUUAUUUUUACGUUAAAGAGAAAGAAUUUGCAUAUGAUUGUUAUUUUUGGCAUGACCACCUUGUAUAUUUAAUGUUGAAAGAAGAGAGUUUCUUACAUAUGAUUACAUGAAUUAAAUAAAUGAGUUCUUUGAAAUGAUUUGUUGAUAUAGUGGUCCUAAACAUAUGUUUUGAGAGCAGAGAUUUUUAUAUGCUAAAAUGGCUCAGAGAUGUCACUUGCAAGCCAGUGGUAUAACGAUACCACAAGUAUGUAUGCCAUAACAGAGUAUGUUUUCAGAGUAUGAUUUCAGAUGUUGUUCUCAAAGAAUGGAUGUUUUGAAAGAGUUAGAAAUGGGCUUAAAAAGGGUUAGGUGGUUUUCCGAAGAAUUCUUGAGCUCAAGUAACUCAUAGCCAGAAACUGUUUUUUGCCGAUGCGGGUACAUUAUUUCCCCACGAGGGAUUUUUAUGCUGGUCUAGUGCCCUGUGGCGUACAAAGUAGAGAGUCCGACCUUUGUGUCAAACUUGGGUUGGGGGCUUGGCUGCCAAGUUAAUGGCAGAUCCCAUAUAGCCCGUGGGAUAACAGAGUUGUAGGGUAUACUACCUAGCACAGAAUUAAUACAAAGAGUAUCACAGAUUUUAGAUAUUUUCAUAGAGUCUUUUAAAAUGCCCAUGUGAUUUCUUACUAUAUGAUAUGCUUAUGAAUUGUUUUAAAUUGCUCUCAUAUAUGUUGAAUAUAAAAGAUUAUUUUGGAUUUACCCUAUGUACUAGUACAUCUAUAUUAACCCCCCUCCCCCUACCUCUCAGGUUCUAAGGUUCACUCUAGGGGUCCAGCUAAGCAGUAGAUAAUUCAGACAGCAGAACAGAUUGUGCAGUGUGAAUCUUCACUAUUCCAGAAGACCUUUUUUCUUUCAAAUUUUGUUGUUCCUUCAUUUUGGUCUACUGGGGGCCUUGUCUUAGAUUUUUCAGACAGUAUUGUUUUGAGAUAUAGUAGAGAUUUUGCAGACUGAGUUAGAUGUUGUUUAGAUAUUGUUGGAGUUUUCCUUCAUUGUUAAACUAAUUUCAGAGUAUGUUCAUGUUUCUACAUUCUAUUUAUAAUUCCGCAUUUUCCUUUUAUUAUAUAAAUGUUGUGCAUGAUUACUAGAUAGAGUAGGACAUCUGGCCUUCAUGGGUCAGAUGUCCUUCCAGGCCCUAGUUCGGGUUGUGACAAACACCGGGUGAAUAAAACCCAAACUUGCAGGCAAUUCUAACUCAUAUGCAACCCCAUCUAUCCUUUUCAAAAUUUGUUAUGGCCCUAUAUAGCGAGGACUCAACUUCUCUUUCUUUCCAAAACGUAUGACUCCCUUCAUAGGGAGACCUUGAGAAAUACCUAAUCACCAACCUCGAAUUUUAUCUCCCUUCUCUGAAUAUUAGCAUAGUACUUCUGUCUACUCUGGGUUGUUUUAAGUCAUUCUCUAAUAAUUUUCACAUCUUCCAUAUCCUGGUGAAUAAGAUCAGGCCCAAGAAAUUGUGUCUCACUAACCUCAUACCACCCUAUGGGCGACCUGCACCUUCUCCCAUACAGUGCCUCAAAAGGUGUCAUCUUAAUAUUGGCAUGGUAGCAAUUAUUGUAGGUGAAUUCUAUCAAUGGAAAAUGGUCUACCCUACUACCUUUGAAAUCAAUUACACAAGAUCUCAACAUAUCUUCAAGGGUCUGAAUAGUCCACUCAGCUGGCCCAUCCGUCUGAGGGUGGAAAGCCGCACUCAGGUUCACUUGGGUACCUAAAACCUCCUAAAAAGAUCUCCAAAACUACGAUGAGAAUUGCGUACUGCGGUCAGAUAUGAUGGACACAGGUGCUCCAUGCAAACGGACUAUCUCCUCAAUGUAAAUCAUGGAAUAGUCAUCUCCCAAAUAAUUAGUCCGCACAGGCAGAAAGUGAGCUGACUUAGUCAGCCUGUCAACAAUCACCGAGAUAAAAUCAUACUGGUUUUGGUACCUCGAAAGUCCCAUAAUGAAGUCUAUAUUAAUCAUCUCCCACUUCUAUAAGGGAAAAGCUAUCCCUUGGGAAGUACCACCUGGCCUCAAAUGCUCUACUUUAACUUGCUGGCAAUUCAAACACUUGGAAACAUAAUUAGCCACAUCACGCUUCAUAUUAUUCCACCAAAAUAUAGUUCUCAAAUCAUGGUACAUUUUUGUAGAGCCUGGAUGAACAACAUACCUCGAUGUGUGAGCUUCAUCAAGGAUUCUUUUCCGCAGGUCAUUUACAUCUGGCACACAUAAUCUACCUUGAUAUCUCAGAAUACUGUCACCACCAAUUUCAAAGGACAUCACCUUCCGCUACCCCACAUCAUUCUUAAUUUGCAUCAAAAUAGGAUCUUCAGCCUGCUUUUCUUCAACCUCUGCACAAAGGGAUGAUUUUGUUAUUUCAUGAACAACCACCCCUCUAUCUUCGGAAUCCAAGAGUUGAACCCCAAGAUUUGUAAGUCGGUGAAUAUCCUUCACCAUCUCCCUUUUCCCCUGCCUCUACAUGAGAAAGACUACCCAUAGAUAACCUGCUGACGGCAUCGACUACCACAUUCACCUUUUCCAGAUGAUAGUGCAGGCUCAUGUCAUAAUCCUUUAGCAAUUCCAUCCGGCGUCUUUGCUUGAGAUUUAAUUCUUUCUGUGAGAAAAUGUGCUGAAAACUCUUGUGGUCACUAAGAAUAUCAACGUGUACCCAUAAAGAUAUUGCCGCCAUAUCCUAAGCGUGAAUACCACACCCGCUAACUCUAAGUCAUGAUUAGGGUAAUUACGCUCAUGCACUUUCAACUGCCUUGAUACAUAAGCCACCAUCUUACCAUGUUGCAUAAGUACACAUACAAGUCCCACACGAGAUGUAUCAAAGUACACAACAAAGCCCUCUGUACCUUUCGGAAGAGUCAAAACAGGAGCAGUGGUCAACUUAUCUUUCAACUUCUCAAAAUUAUUCUCACAGGAGUCAAACCACACAAAAUUUACCUUCUUCUAUGUCAGCUUAGUAAGUGGUGCAUCUAUGGAAGAAAAACUCUCUACAAACCUUCUAUAAUAUCCUUCCAAACCCAAGAAGCUACGAAUAUAGGUUGGAGUCCUGGGUCUAGGCCAUCUUCUCACAACCUCAACCUUUUGGAGAUCAACCUUAAUUCUCUCACUAGACACAAUAUGACCCAAGAAACAAAUAGCAUUCAGACAGAAUUCACACUUGGAAAAUUUUGCAUAAAACUUAUGCUCUCUGAGAGUCUGAAGAAUAAUUCGGAGGUGAUUGGCGUGGUCCUCCUCACUCUUAUAAUAAACCAAGAUAUCAUCAAUGAAUACUAUGACAAACAGAUCCAAAAACUGAUGGAACACCCUAUUCAUUAGGUCCAUGAAAGAUGCAGGGGCAUUAGUCAAUCUGAAGGACAUGACUAAGAAAGCAUAAUGACCGUAUCAGGUUCGGAAAGCUAUUUUGGGGAUGUCUGACUCUCUAAAUUUCAACUAAUAGUAUCAGAAUGAAGGUCUAUCUUUGAAAAAUAUUUAGCACUCUGAAGUUGGUCAAAGAGAUCAUCAAUCCUAUGAAGAGGAUAUUUAUUUUUAACAGUGACCUUAUUUAACUGGCGGUAAUCUAUGCACAUACGCAAGGAACCAUCUUUCUUACGCACGAAGAGUAUAGGUGCACCCAGGGAGAAACACUAGAAUGGAUAAAACCUUUAUCUAGAAGAUCUGCUAGCUGCUCUUUCAACUCUUUCAGCUCCACAGGAGCCAUCAUAUAGGGCGGAAUAGAGUUGGGACGGGUGUCCGGCUACAAAUCUAUACCAAACUCUAUCUCUCUAUCAGGUGGUACCCCUGGGAGAUCUUCGGGAAAGUCCUCCAAAAAUUCUUUUACCACAGGGACUGACUGAAGAGAUGGACUCUCCAUAUUAGAAUCUUUCAAUCAGAUCAGAUGAUAUAGAAAACCUCUGGAAAUGAGCUCUAAGAUAAGAUAUAAAAUUCCCUCUAGGUACUAGAGAAUGUCCCUUCCACUCUACCACUGGUUUAUUUGGGAAGGCAAAAGUGACUCUUCGGGUCCUACAAUCUAAUGUAGCAUAACAUAAAUGGAGCCAGUCACUAGGAUAGCAUCAAAGUCAACUAUCUCAAGAUCUAUGAGGUCUGCCACAGUAUCUCGGCUAUAGAUGGAUACAAUAUAAUUUCUAUACACCUGUCUAGCUACAAUAGAAUCUCCCACUGGAGUGAAAACAAAAAAAGGCUCAGCAAUUACAUCGGGCUCAAACCCAAAACCAAUAGUCAUAUAAAGGGUCACAUAGAAAAAAGUAGAUCCAAGACUAAGUAAUACAUAUACAUCACGAGAAAAGAUUUGUAACGUACCGGUAACUAUAUCUGGGGAAGAUUCUACAUCCUGACGAUUGGUCAAGGCAUACAACCAGUUGCGUCCUCUCUCUGUAGCUGAAGUGGUGCCUUUAGGAACAGGAUCUAUGGAGGCGGCUUGGGACUUAUCUCCCCCUGCAUUACCUCUAGUUGAAGGGUAAUCUCUCUGAAUAUGACCCAUUUAACCGCAGGAAUAACAAUUCCUCCUCUCAAAGUAACACUUUCCAGGGUGGUUCUUCCCGCAAACACUACAACGGGGAAAAGAUCUUACGAGUUGCGUUAUGCUGCCCCAAGAAUGGGUGUCCUACAUCCUCCACCCACUAUUUACCUGUGGAUUUAAGGGUUGCUGACCACGUGGAGGUCUGGGCAUGGGGGCACUUCCUGCAGGAUGAGAAUUACCCCAAUUCUUUCUCUUCUGCCAUCUGUUACUCCAAUUACCACUCUGCUACUGGUUGUGGCUUUGGUCUGCUAUCUUGCUCUUUUGCUCUCUUUUCCUACCUGUCCUUCUCCCUAGAUUUAGAGAUUCUUUGCUUAUGCUCCUCUAACUACUGCAUGUGGAUUGUCAGUUUAGAGAAGUCCACAUCCUUAUUUAGCAUUAACCCCUUACACUCAAGCACUAAGUUGUCUGAAAGUCCAUAUGCAAACUUUCUCAUUUGGGCUCUCAUAUUACCAGUCAUUUCCAGAGCAUAUCGGGCUAGUUGGUUGAACUUCAGAGUGUAUUCCUUGACACUUAUUUUUCCUUGCUUUAGAUUCUUGAACUCUUCUGCUUUGGUCUCCCUCAACUCUAGAGGAAAGAACCUAUCAAGGAAGGCUUCCACGAACUUGUCUCAUACUGUGGGCUCAGCAUUCUCACCCUUCAAAUCCUCCCACUUGUUAAACCACUAAUUUACAACUUCUUUAAGCUGAUAAGUUGCUAACUCCACCCCUUCCACCUCGUCUAUAUGCAUCACUUUAAAAAAUUUCUCCAUCUUAUCCAUAAAUUCCUGUAGAUCCACCUCUACUUUGGUGCCAGUAAACUUGGGCGGGUUCAUUCUCAUGAACUGACCCACCCUAGUAGUCUCAGAUGUAAUGAAUGCAGACCCAAUAUAUUAUGACCGUUUAGUCUGUAUGACCACCAAUUACGCCAGCAUGUGAAUGGACUCUCUGAAUUCUGCAUUAGAAAUGUCCCUCUGGGAAGACUUCGGAUGGUUAACAUUUGUUCUUGGAGCCUGAGAAGGACUGGUCGGGACUGGUGGUAUUCUUGGAGUAGGGACAGGUUCUGGGGUGUGAGCUAUGUUAUGGUUCUGUAUCCCAUGAGUGGGAAGGACCUCAUUAGUCUAAGAGUUCUGAUUGUUAGAGAGAUGAGGAGGCAUGGCUGUUUUCUGAAUGCAAGAGAUCAUUGAUUAGAGCAUAGAUUAGACUCCAAAGCACGAACUGAAUCACAAAGAGGGAAACAUUCCUAAACACCUAGUAGCCUCCUACUUAUAAGUAUGGGGCACUACACACCCAUAAACAAGACUCUACCCAAUGCAAUUUCGCAGACAACUUGGACCAUAAACCGUGCUUUGAUACCAAGUUUUUCAUGACCCGAACCGGGACCCUAGCCGUGAAGAGCAUCCCAAACCAUAAAGGAUCAGAUGCCAUUCUAACUUGUAAUCACAUACACUGCUCGUAUACAAAAGACAAUGCAGAAAUAUAUAUAUACUGAAAUGGGAACAUGAUCAUAAGUCUGAAAUAAAUUUAACAAUAGAGUAUGUCAUCCAAUACUAACUAAUAGCAUCUGAAAAUCGUCUGCAAAAUCUCUACUACAUGGUCAAUAACAACUAUCUGAAAACUUGAACAAGGCCCCAGUAGACCAAAAACCAUAACAAAUGAUAAAUGUCUAGAAAUAAUCAGGCCAUCAGAAUUAUAGAAGGCCCACCAACUGGACUCUGCGCUUCUGCCUAACGGAAUCUACUACUUAUCAGGACCCCUGGAUUGUUCCUCAGAACCUGAGAAGGAGGGGGGUCAAUACAGAUGUAUUGAUACGCAGAGUAAUCCAAAAACAAAAUAUAAUCUUUAUAUAACAUAUAUGAGAGCUGGUAUAAAAUACUUUAUCACAAAACAGUUUAAAAACACAUGGGCAUAGUAUAAUGAUUUUUCAAUGACAAUGCAAUACUACUGAGCUAGGUGGUACACCCUACAACUUUAUAUUUUCACCAACUGCCAAAUCUCGAUUGCCGCCCAGAUUGGAAUAUGAGUGAGGGAAGGACACAAAAGAUCAGACAACAGGGUGCCAUACCCCAAUUAAGUCAAUAUGUCGUGGUUGUGCUCAAGAUCACAAAGCAGGGAUCCUAACCAUUAGUCCCAAUUUGGGAUGACAUAAUAGUUGGUACGCAAGAUCACAUAGAAGGGUACCAAAUUCCCGUGUCGGCAAUCACGAUUUCCAUCAUAGAGUCAUUUGACUAGUGCUUUCUUUGGGUAACCACCUAACUCACAUAAAUAUAAGCUUUAAGCUUGAUUCAAGACAAAGCAUACAUCUUACUCUACAGGGUAUCGUCAUACCCUGACUUGCAAGUCAUCGGUACCACAUCAAUUCAUCAUCUCGUUAUGUAAUUCAUGGUAUGCACACACAUAAUACUUCCACACCUCAAACACAUGAACAACGGUUCUCAAUAUGUAAUAAUUCAAGAAAUUUUUAUCAUUUAUAAAGUAGUAUCAUAGUAGUUACAGAACCCAUUAUCAUGGUAAUAAACAUUAUCAUGGGGAAAUUUAAAGAGUUCACAAUUUAUAUUCAUCACAUCCUUUUUAAAUUCAAUUCGCACGUCCACAAAUUCAACACAUUGAGAUAUAUGGCAAACAAUCCCAUGAUAUUUCAAUAUUCCUUUCAAAAUCAUAUCUCAAAACAUGUUAUUGGCAUUAAAACGAAAACCCCACUUGUAAUAACAUAUAUAUACUUGUAUGAAUAUUAAAGUCUUGUGUAAAUUCUUUUCAAUAUCAUGCCAAUGAGAUUUAGGACAACCCCACAUACCUCAAUAUAGGUAUUCAAUGGAUGCUUCUUGAAGCCUAUGAUUUGGGAAUUCCGAAUCUUCGAUCAAUUUCUGAAAUUCACAGUUUAAUCUCGAGUUAUAAGGAAUUUUUUUGUUUGAAACCCUAAGGGUAUUCUUUAAUGGAUUUUGAUGAAAAAAUGAAUAGAGCGGUCUUUUGGGAUAAAAACCUCGUGUUUGGGCACAUUAGAAUGAGGGAAAAUUAUCCAAUUGCCCCUUUAAGAUGUGGAUUUUAAAAUCUGAAAUAAUUGGGCACCGAUGUGAUUGGUGACGCGGUGCGUCGAUGCCAUCGGUGCUAUACCCGACGCAUUAUGCCUUAAUUGUGUCAAGCCUCAGUACUUUUUGCCUGGCAUUUCCUGCACGAAAUUGACCAACGCGAUAGGCAAUGCGGCGCGCUGAGAUCGCGUUGGUCCAGUAUUUUGGUACACCAAACAAGGUCUAAACAUGGUCCGAAAAAUCCAAAACUUGUUCGAAAACACCCAUUGACCUCCCGGAUCAUGAAUUUUCUAAAAUACCAAGUAUAGAGGGUCGGUAAGGUCAAAAAUAAGAUCAUCGAAGAUUAGAAGCUCAAAAUAAUUCUAAAUCCUUUUUACACUUAGAAAAAUUUUCAAAUCUUUAACUCUUUAAGCAUACUACUAGGAGCUAAUACAUGCACGACUUUUUCAAGGUGUUACGGAAUGAAAAUCCAAACAAAGUGUAUUCAAUUUAAAAAUAUAUUUUCAGGCUUUGUUGUAUCCUGAUAGAGAAUUGCUUGUAAUCCAUAAAGAAAAUACGGGCAAUAACUCUUGUCAUUUUCUUGAUAUUCAUGUUAUCACAAAGUGUCACGAUUUGUGAUACAUAAUUUGUAACUUCUGAAUGGUUACUUGGCACAAUUAAGUGGUUGUAUUGCUGCCUUCUGUAGUUAUUUUUAAGUCCCAACUGCUAAAUAAAUAUGGAUGUAGACUUCCCUAAGUUUCUAUUAGUUGAAUGCAUAAAGGGAAAAACAUUUUUGAGAAUCCCAUUGUGGAUGUUCUUCCAUUCAAAUUUCGUUUAACAGUUUGAUAAUCUAGUGUGGUCUGAAAAGUUUGAAAUGACUUAAAACUAAGCCUUGAUGAAUAUAUAAAUGGUUUUAGGGGUUCGUGAUUUUGUAUCUAUUGUCAUUCAUGGCUUAGGGUGUGUUUGAUAUGAAGAAAAAUACUUUUCACUAAAAAUAAGUGUGUUUCUUACUUAUUUUUUAAAAUAAGCAGAAAAUAUUGGUUGAAAAAUAUUUUAUAUAAUUUAUACAAUUACCAUGGAGAGGAGUGGGGAUAGGAGUGUGGGGAUGCUUAGAGAUGGAGGCUGGAUGUGUUGGAGAAUGAAGAGAAAAUAAUUAAUAUGGAAUACCACUUAUAUAACUUGCUCUUGUACUUCUGCGAGAGAGGUUACUUUUCUCAUUUUAAGGAACUUAUUUUUCUAGAAAAAAAUAUAAUCGACCAAAUAUAGGAAAAUUGAAAAAUGUAAAGUGAAAAAUAUUUUUCUCUAUGCCUAGAUAGCCUUAGGGGACUUUUGGUAGAGUAUAUAAGAAUAAGGCAUAAUAUAGUGUAUUAGUAAUGCUUGUACUAGUUGUACUUGCAUUAGUUAUAUUGAUAUUGUUUCUUAUACAUUGUUUGGUUUGAUGUAUUAAAAAUAAUAUCUUACAGAAUUCCUACAAAAAUGUUUGUUUACAAAAAUAUCCUUCUUUGACAUUGUACACUUUCUUUGCAACAAAGUUCUUUUGCCAUCUUAAACAUAAUUAGUAUUGUUGAACUAAUAUAUAGAGGUGUAGGAUUACUUGCAAGACCUUCAUCUUUGCGCAUGAAAUGUUAUGUUGAUGGAUUAACAUAGUCGAAACGAAAAAAAUACAAGAUGUAGAAUCAAUGAAUAGUCUCAUGAAAUUUAUUUUUAAUCUUUUUAUAGACCCUUGAAGCAAAAAAAGGAUAUAUUAUAGUUAUUUAAACCAGCUAUCAUAAGCAUAAUCCAUACAUAAUUCAACAUGCGGAAGAAAUAGUGAAAUUCAACUUUAUCUUAUGAUCAGAAUAACCUGGUAUAUCCCCCAAUCCAAGUUUUCCACAAGGAUUGGAGUUUUCAUAACUUGGUAUAUCCCCCGGUGAGUAUACCGUAGGCAUCCCCUUAUGUGAGAUGUCCUAAUUAUACUCCCAUGUAAGGUAACAUAUCAUAAAUUUCUCAUCGGCAAAACACAAUUUUCGACAAUGAGUUAUCUGAAUUUGUUCCCUCUUCGGGUAACCAUCUAACUUUCUUAGAGCCCAUUUAUAGUCUUUUAAAACAUGCAUAUUUCCCAAAACAUGGUCUGAAGUCUGAAAAAUUCUGUAGUCUAUCAUGACAUUUAUCUGAUUUGGUAUUGUCAUACCAAAACUUGCAAGUCAUAUAAGUCGUAUCAUAUCAUAUCAUGUCAUGUCUUCAGCCCUUUAUUUAAAAGCAUGCUAUUUGAGCAAAUAAAUGAUGAGUUCUUAUUUCAAAAGAACAUGAAAACUUAUGCAAAAUACUAUGCUUUCAAGACUUUAACAUCGGUUGGCCAUCAUUUUCAUAAAUCACAUGCAAUUCUUUUAUUUAACACAAAAGGGCAUUUAUCAAUAUGAAACACCUCUUGAAAAAAUAUAAAAGGACAAGGCAUAUUUGAUAAAGAUUCGUUUAAAACUCAUGUUUCUCAUCGUUCAUUAAACAACCCCCAACAAUAGAAUAAAUAAAUCUCAUGAUCGAAAAAGGGAGUCUAUUAGUUCAUGCUAUCAAAUUCACUUCAAAACCCAUAAUACAUGCACAUAUUUCAUAAUUAUUUAGGAGCCACAAAAUUUUUUAAAUACAUGAAUCUUAUAAAUAGUUCAAAUACUUCAAAACUCUUAACAUAUGCACAUAAUCAAAGUCUCAAACUUGAAGAAAAUCCCAUAAUAAAUGCAUAAUUCCAUCUUAAGGUUGAGGUUUCGAAAUUCAUGUUUUUUAAAUCAACUUCAAAGCCUUAACUUACAUACAUACAUAAUAAGGAUUAUUAAAAUCAACAUACUUAUGCCAAUAAAUUUUAGGAUAGUUCUACAUAUCUUUGAGGUAGAAAAAUUAAAUAAUAACCUUGAAUUUGGAAUCUACAAGCUUUAGCAUUGAGAAACCCCUUCUUGAUGAUAUUGGGAGGAAGAGAAUGAGGAUUUGGAAGAAACCCUAGCUUCUUUCUUGAGAAAUGAGAAGAGAAUGAGCGUUUUAAUCUGAUUAUUAAUGAGUAAUAAUUCUUAUUGGAAGAUUUAAAUCAAGCGGGAGGAGUUUGUGGUGGGAAAAAAAUCAAAUACCCCCUUGAAAACUUUAUAACAGUGCAAAACGGUUCCUACUGAUGGUUUGGGUAACGGAUCAUCACUCCCGUGAUAGACUGUCACUCCAGCCGUCCCAAAUUGACAAAUUUUCUCUCUAUUUGCUUAAAGGCGGCUGUCUGGUGCGACGGGCCAUCACCCUAGCCGUCGCGCCUUGGAAGACAAACACCUUUUGAUAAAUCAUGCAUAACUUUUUAUUACGAUAUCAAACUAAAGCAAAACUGAUGGCGUUGGAAAGAAGACUCGAAGACCUCUCAUUUGAUAUACAGGAUGCCACCCUAACUCAUUAUAUUUUAGGAGUAAUAUUUGUUGGAAUUUGACCCAAGUUGGAACAUUUCCUAAAACUCAAUCAAUAGAAAAAUUCUCAACUCAACUUUGAGUUUGGAGAUUUUUAUGAUCUCAAUUUAUCUGUAAAUAUGUUCCCUCACUAAAGAAUUGAUCCUCACACUAAUAUGGACACAAAAUCAUUAGGUUCGGAUCUAUAUAUGUAGGAAUGAAGGUUCGAAUUCUAACCCGAAAAUGUGGGGUGUCACACAAACGACCCCUUAAUCUAAAUGCCCUAUCAAGUAUUUUAGUCACUUAAACAUGGAAAAUUGCACGUAAGAUUAGAAGCUGUGGAAUCAUACCCUAUCAUCCAUAGUGUAAUAAGAAAAAAGAAAAAGGAAAACUUUACACCUUGUUUGGAUUGUUAUUACAAAUACGACAUUUGCUUAGAUUGCUAUUUAAAAUAUAUUAUAUCGUAUUGUUAAAUCCAUCGUGCAUAACAAUGAAAAGCUCCAUUGUGUGUGUUAGCCUUAUACUACGUUGCAACAUUCUUUUGGACAUUUUUCAAUAGUUUUGUGCAAAUUAUACGCUCCAAAGUCUACCAUUUACCUAGCAUGAAUUUCGUUUAAUCCAUAAAAACGUAGAAUCCCAUGAGACCACCCUUUAAUUUUUGUUUACCAUACAAAUUUUUAUGUGCCACACAUUUAACUAAACAAUAGCUUUUAUCUCUUCCAUCCAUUAUUUCAGCAUCUUAAUUUAAGCAAAACCAUACAAACACACAUGAUUCUUAAUCUAUUCACACCUAUAAAUAAUCCUCCUUUUCAUUCUUCAUUUCUCAUAAUCACAAUUUGUUUUUAACAAAAGUAAAAAGAAUGGAGGUGUCUAACAAGAAAAUAACAUCUCCAUUCUUUGCUUUCUUGUUUAUUUCUUCUCUUCUUAUUCAAUGUUUUCCGUGUGUUUCAUCAAAACCAAUUCCUGGAGGAAAAUACAAUAAGCCGGUCCCAAACCCAGGCCCCAUAAAUCCGGUCCCAAAUCCAGGCCAACCACUUCCAAAUCCUACAACACCGGGGGGCAAAAAAUUUUGCGUACCCAAACCUGAGGCUACAGAUAAAAAAUUGACGGCUUGUAUAAAAUGGGUUUGCAAAGAGGGAGGUGUGGAUUGUGGCCCAAUUAAUCCUGGAGGUGCAUGUUCUCAGCCCAAUACUCUUAGGUCUCGUGCAAC